rnacentral:lncRNA from 1 species
AUACAUUUUUCAAUUUAUCACACCCUUCCACCCUUAUGGUCUUUAAUUUGCAAAAAGACUCUGCUGUGAGUGGACCACGACAUAUUUCCUCAAGGUUCCUUAAAUCUCUUAGAAAUAAUGACUCCAAAAGGGGGAAUGCAGUCGUCCGAGCUGGCAUACAAUCCAUUGUGUCAACAACACAAGAAAGGUUGCCAUUAUGUUCGAUUUGGAGACCCUUCAGUUUUGGAAAGCCUUCUCUGUCUGAUCCAAAAAGAACAUUCUUCAUGUCGAUCAAUCCAUCUAGAGACAGGCCUUCAAUACCCUUCAAUUGCAUGAUAUGCCCCUCGUUCAAGCAAAUGUUGGCACCAUUUGUGAGCCCCAGUUUGAAUAUUCUAGAAAUCCCAUCCGAUGGGGGAACCACAAUAAACUGCGACAACUGUCCUAUAGAUAUCCUGUACCUUUGCAGCAUUUUGAAGAACGACAAGUCUCUUGAUAGAGUCUUUUCAUCGCCGAUGAGUAUUUCUAAAGAGGUCAAUUUAGAUAAAUUAUUCAACUCAUCAAGGCUGGCAUUUCUUCUUUCACCGUCUACUCCUUCAACUUUCCCCCACUCAAUGGGACUCUCACCAAUAUAUAGUUCUUCUAAUCGUGAUAAGCUUGAUAUCACAUUUUGGGGAAUAACUCUCAGUCGGUAACAUAGGCGCAAAUUCAACAACCUCAAUUGAGUCAGCUGGCCUAUCUCUCCAGCCAGUUCCUCCAUAUCAGAACCUCGAAGCGCAAGGAUGACUAAUUUCUUUAGGUCUCCGAUAAUGGCCAUGUCUCCUAGUUCACAAUCAUCUAGAGACAAUGUUUGAAGGUUUUGCAAGCGACCAAGCGAUGAAGGCAAUGCCAACAAAUGCAUCUUAGUGAAAUCUAAAACUCUAAGCUCUGUCAUCCCAGUAAAAAAUUUAUCUGGGAUCCUCAAAGAAGCAUGACAGCCAAUACAAAGGAAUUUAAGUUGCGGGCAUUCGAACCCUUGAGGAGGCUCACUAAUAUUACUAUUCUUUAAGGAGAUUGCGGUGCAAACCUUCAGUGUAUCCUUAUCUGGCCAGCUGGUCAGCGGAACAACCUCAUUUUCCACCGCAAACACAUGUUGGUCUCUUGAUGCAAUUGAUCUGGCUACAUCACGAACAACAUCAUGCAUUGAAAACCAUUCACUUGAACGGCCAUCAAGCAACAAACAAGAGUUCUUGAGUUUAUCAACCAAUGUAUGUGCUCUAUCCCGUGCCUCUUCCAACGUGUUGAUGUUUUGAAACAGACCCAAACCCAUGCCAUAAUAGAGUAGGUCUUCAACACAAGAGAAGAACGUGUACCCUAUUAGCAAAAAUGUUUUCUUCAGUUCCUCUCCGUUUAAAUGAUUGUAACUUAGCUCUAUACUUUUGUACGCCACCUGCGUUGUUCCAGUGAAGUUUCUCAAGGAAGGCCUUCUAAAUUCCAGCAAAGCAUCCUUCCAUUCAGACAAUCUCUUAUUUCUCAAUGCCCUUGCUACGGGUACAAUGGCAAUCGGCAAACCACCACAUUCCUUGACUAUCUCUGUUGCUACAGAUUUCAGUUCACCAUUUUGUAUGCAAUCACCUGUCAUCUUUUUGAAAAGACUCCAAGCUUCUUUUUCGUUCAGAACAUCAACAAAAAAUUUUUGUUGACAAUCCAUCUUACAAGAUAACACAUCCUGACUUCUUGCUGUCAGCAGAACUUUACAUCCGCCGUUGUCAUCUGCCAAUGGAAUUCCAAUCGCCUCCAAAUCAAGACUCCCCCAAAUAUCAUCCAAGAUUAUAAGGAUCUUCGUCUCUUUCUUCAAUCGUUCAAGCAGCCUCCCUGCUCUUACAGUUUCAUGACUCUGUUCAGCCAAUUCUAAGCCUAUCUUCUCAGCGAUUUCUCCUUGUAUGUUCUUUAUUUGCCGUGUUUGGGAAACACGUGAAGAAAUGAACUUCUCAAAGAGAUUAUUUUCCUUGGCCUGUCUGCCAACUUCUUCCACCAGCGUGGUCUUUCCAAUGCCACCCAUCCCGUACACUCCAAUCGUGUUGAAGUUACGGUUGCUGAGUGCGUCUAGUAUCUCCUUCAAGGUGGACUUUCUCGAUUCAAAGUGCAUGAAAUCCCGGGUAGACUUAAGCCAUGUCUCCUCUGGAAUGGUACGGAAGGAAACACUGUCGAAUCUCCCUCUUUCAUGGAGUCCAACUAUAGCAUUCGCUUCUCUUUCUGCUUUCUUGCUAAGCUGGUACCGAGUCUUCAAAUUAGGACACAACCCUUUCAGACACCGGUUGUUUGACUUCUCUUUGUCUUCAAUAAGGGUUUCGACUUCAUUGAUGGCCUUGUCCACAGUAAUCAUCCACUUCUCAACGUGGUGUUGAAUUCCGUCCCCUUUAAUUCUGGAAUCAUCAACCUUAUAUUGCACACUGUCUCUAGCAUUCUUGAGCUUAUCGACUUCAUUAUUCACCUUCUCGAAGUUGGUCUUAUAAGUGCAGCAAUAAGUAAAUGGAUGAAUUAUGGGAGCAACCAAGUACUCUGUAACUUUUGCAGCAACGGAAAUAACAAUAUCCAUUAUCCCUUUCUUUUUUAUUUUUUGCUCUUAGAAAACAGGGGAAAGCAAAACUAAUCAAACUGAGCAGAACUAAUCAAUCAGUUGUGAAGAGGGAAAUAAGAAGUUUGGAUAAAUUGUUAAAAUAAAAGGUUGAAUAGAUUUAAGGGAGGAGGAGGGGAAAGGAGUGAAAAAUCUGGAGAUGAAACAAAGGGGGGUCCAUUUUCUGCUAAGACAAAUUGAAAAGCGAGUGCAAUGAAAGAUUUGCAAAGAAGGUGUAGGAUCGAGGACAAGAACGAUACAGAAACGGGAGACAGAAAAUGAAGAAGAGAUUUCAGAGAACUCUAGAGAUUAGACAAGAGGGAUGAUUAGGAAAAUGCAGAGGCAGGCAGUUGUGAUCUCAAGUCUCAAGGGUAAUCUGAAUACUGCAAAAAUGCCAAACUAAAUUCAUACUGGAGAAGACUCAUGCUUCCAAGUCAACUAGAUUCUUAAUAACUGAGAUAGAUGGUUAUAAUUGCAUGUAAAUAAUGUCAAAGUUGUUGGUUAAUUGGACAGCGCAAGGUGGCAUUUUGGCAUUUCAUUGAAUUCUCCUGUUACCAGUAAGUGCUAUGCUGCCGUUGCCGGACUUUAUGAUUUUUUAUUUUUUUAAGAAAUAGAUAUACAAAUAAGGACUCGCCUACCGUGCAACAGUAGCACCAUGCCACCGCUUUUGUCUUUUCUUGGUAAAAUUUCAUAAAGUCCUUUCACUUAUUCUUAUUUGAACUUUGCUUCACAAAUAUUAAGUUCAUUUCUCCCAAACCCGUGAAUCCUUCAAUGGCCGAUCAACGGCAAAUCGGCUCCUCUGGUGGCUGUGGUUGGUCAGAAAAGACAGAGGAAACUGUGGAGAACAAACCCCAAGUGGUGGCGUCACUGGAAACCGGAGAAACCGCCGCGAAUUGAAGCAGGGAUUCUGUAACUUUCACGGCUUCGAUCGGCAGCUUUCCGAAUGCUUUACGGCGACAAGGAUGGCAUGGAGAUGACUGGCGUAGCACGAGCUUCUGAUCGGUACCAACCUUGGCCGGUGGAGUAGCUGGAAACGAAAACAAAAUCUGGGUCGGGUUUGCGGGUCAGGUUGACCUAGUUAUUUUUUCGACAAGGAUGGCGUGGAGAUGACCGGCAUCACACGAUCUUCUGAUCGGUACCAACCUUGGCCGGUGGCAUGGACGAAAACAGAAACGAAAUUCAGGUCGGGUUCACCGGUAUUUGUGGUAAAGAGAGGGGUAUUGUGAUAAAUGUGCAAUAUAGAAGAAAAAUGUAUAAAUAACAAAUAGUAUAAGGUGCUAUUAUAAUGUUAUAUGGAUGCAAUAGAAAUUAAUUUAAUAUUUAUGAGGUAAAGGUUAAAUAAAAAUGAAUGAAAGGGGUUCAAUGAAAUUUUACAACACUACUGACACAAAAGAUAAAAUCAGUUGUACGGUACCACGGUGGUACCGUAGCUGGAUCCCACUCACUGACAUUCAUGAGAAAUUUAACGGUAGGAAAAAGAAGUUAAAAAAAAUGGACAUUCAUGGGAAACCGGCUUUGAUGGUUAAUGUGCAACCGGAUGUGAGCAAAAGGUCACGUGGUGAGGGCAUUGUCACAUGGUUGGAGAAAUUGACAGUCUUUUUUAUUUUUGUCAAUGAGGUUGGUGAAGGUAGGAAAAAAACAAGUUUGGGUUAUUCCAUUGUUUUGGGAAAAACAUUGAAAGCGGUGAAAAGAAAAUGUCAACUACACUGUAAUGUCAGUGAAAAUUGGUCGGAGUUGUACAAAGAUCAGUUAUGAAGAAUAUUAGGGAAAUGAAAAAUAAUAUACUUAAAAUUAUAUCAUUUAGGUUAAUUUUUUUAAAAUAAAACCAAAACCACAUCAUUUUAAAUAUAUUUCUUUAUCAAUUUUUUUUUGUCUCCAAUCAUUUUCUAACUUUCAAAUAAGUAAUUCUUAGGCUCUGUUUGGUACAUUUUUUCAAGUAGAGUUUAUUUAAGUAGAGCUUUUAUAAAUAGAGAUUUUACAAAAAAAAAUUAGUUAUUUGGUUGUCAAUAAGAGUUUUUAUUAAAAAUUUAUAAAAUUACUUUAAGAGGUAAAUUUUUUAAAGUUAUGUUAUGAAAAGAAUAAAAUAAAAUUGUCAAUAAGGAGAUGAUAUUUUAGAUAUUUUAACAUUUAAAAAAAAUUAACCUCUACUCCCAAAACCUAAAAUUUGAAUUUUUUCUAAUAGAGAUAAAAUAACUUAUUUAAGUUUUAAAAGCUCGAUUAUAAAAACAACCAAACAACAACAAAAAUUAUGAUAAGAGUUUAUAAGAUUAAAUAAGCACUUAUGACUCUUAAAUAAAGCAUAUCAAAAGUAAACAUUGUCUUGUUCAAAAGUGAACGAAAACGAAAUGAAAAAAACUAAGCUUAUUUAAGUUUUAAUAUCAAAAGUUAUUUGGUACUUAUUCAAAUUUUACAUUUUCUGUUCUCAAAAGUAAACGAAAAUGAAAUGAAAAAGAGAAUGAGUCUCGGCUCGGGUGGCUAAUGCUGACAGUGGCUAAUGCUGCCGACAUCUUCCAACUUGCAACAACGUUAAAAAUACGUAGCCUUAAUUAAUUGCCUAAAUAAUAAAAAUAAUUGUUCAAUAAUUCCCAUUCAUCAUCUAAUUGCCGAUAUAAUAAAAAUACUUAGCCUCAGCUGACUUGUUCCAAAUCAUUCAAUAAUUCUUUUAAUUAUUAAAUAAGUUUGUUCUUGCUAAAUGCUAAUGGAUACUGAGCUGAAUGUCAAAGACGAAUAACUACAUUAGGAAUAAAAAUAUUUCGAUAUUAGUUUGAAGGAAAAGUCUAGUAUUGUUCUUCAAAUAUGUACAAGCUUAGAGCUUGUAUGACCUUUUUUCGAACAUGAGAAUAUUUCUACCUUACACGCUUUAGAAAAACUAGGUGAUAGGAAAAGAGUGUAGGAUAUAAAUUAAAGCUUAAUAAUAUUAUGAUCAAUUACUGAAAUAUUACCAUGGGCACUAGAUGAUAGGAAAAGAGCUCAUUUAUACAUUAAUAUAUUAUAUCAGUGAUAUAAGAACUUUAAUCAAACACAUGCCCCAAGUUGGGAACAGCUAAACGGGCAUUUCAUCGAACAGUUGAUAUUUGUAAGUAAGCAAGCACACGGCAAAGCAUUUGAGCAAAUAUUUUUGUCUUCUUAUUGUCGCAUUCUUCUAAUCAAUUAGCUUUGACCAACAAAAAUAAUUAAUAAUGUAAAUGGAGGAACUUGGGUUCAAAUCUAUAAAUUAAUAUCGGUAAACUACAACCCUAUUUUGAUCAAAGUUUUCAACUCAACAAAUAUAGAUUAGAGAUUAUUUGUUAAUAAAAUAUAAAAGAGCCCAAACAAAAAAAGAUUUGACAGUAUACGAAUAAUAAUUUAUACUUAUUUAUUGAAUAUAUCUUAUUUUAAUCGCUUAAGGAAUUACAAAGUUGAUGAAAUUUUUUUUUUAUUUUUUAUUUUUCACUUCUUAAAAAUUGUUGGAUUAAGAGAAUCCUCAAUCUUCAUUUACGUUCAGUGGUGGAUCCACACGGAGCCUAUAGUGGGCAAUUAAUUGACUCCCGUAAAUUAUUUUUUUUCCAUAAUUUUCUAUUUAUUUUUUAUAUUUUCAUGAAAUUACAUAAAUACUUGCAUAAUUGCCCCUAAUAAAUACAAAGUCUAUCAAUUUCAUUAAUUUUUUUUUUUUAAUUAUUGUGUUGUCCCUUGUAAGCCAAAUUUUUAGAUCCGCCCUUUAAAUAGGUUGUUACAUUUAUUGUUCUCAAAAGUGAUGACUUCUCCUAGUAUGAAGCUCCUACCAUAAGAAAAAGGUCUCCAUAAAACAUUUCGAGCUUUAACUAUGAUCUUCGGUACUGAUCUAACUUUUUUUAGUCCCUCCCAAAAAAGAAGCCUACACACACACACACAUAUAUAUAUAUAUAUUGUAACACAUUAGGACAUGAACUUGAAGCUUCUCAAGUGUUUAUGCAAUCCGGUUAACAUAUACAAGUUAUGAUAGGUAAAAUUGCUAAUAAAUUUAGAAGCCUAAAAUAUGGAAUUUGAUUAAGACUUACUAAUUAUUGGAGCAUUUUUUUCAUCUAGUUUUUGGAGAUUGAAAGAACUUAAAAUUACAGGUGAUCAUAUCUUAAUUGGCAGACUCUUGAUGCUGAUAAAUGACAAAAGUCGUAGAUUAGAGAGUUCUACUGAUUGAGUAGCGACUUGAGACAUUGUACAAUUUGUUCCAAUGCGAAUGAUUCAUAGUGACUGCACAUAUGACACCUUUUUGUCGAAAUGACACAAUUUCUCUUCAUUGUGCUAGAGAAAGGUGGGUAGAUUUCUGUUGUACAAGCAUUAUUGGAAGAGAUAUCAAGCCACUCAAUGUUCAGAUGGUCCAAACAUGUGUUCAGGAGGCACUAACAUAGCAGAAAUUGAGAUAGUUUUAGUUUCAUCAUACACUAAAAAAAUAUAAACCAGAAAUCCUGAUGGAGCGAGGCGUAGAGGAAGCGAAAAUUAAUAGGAUAGGAAACACUAGUUAUCAUUUUAGUACAGGAUUAAGCCAACGCAAUUAGGUUAUAUUCUAAUCGAAGCGUGAUUAGAUAUCGUUUUAAUCCAAACGACUCAAUGAGAUUUUUAAUAACACGUAAUGUGAGAUUAGAUGACACUCUAAUCCAAACGACUCUACAAGAGAGAUUUUGAUAGAUAAUCCCAGAGGGAAUUAUAAAAUGGGAGUUUUAUUGAAUAAUUGAAUUUGAAGUGCUCAAAACAAUGACAAGAUCUCUCUAGUUAUAAUAGAGGAAACCCACUUUCCUAAAUUAACCUAAAAGGGAAACUGAAUCACAAUUAGAAUGGAAAUAAAAGACUAAGAUACAUACCAUAAUUGACUCAAACUAAAAUAGGAAAUCCUAAAACAAUAAAUAUUCUAGAAUCCUAAAUCACCUAAAAUAACGUAAAUUAACUUCCUACAUCAUUCUUCCCCUCUUAAAAGAAACUCGUCCUUGAGUUUGAAUGCAGUCUGGAGGAUGAAACUUAUAGUGUAGGAGCAAAUCAUCUUGUAAUUUGAACUUGUAGCCUUGCUCAUCAAUCUUCCUUGAAACUUUGAAGUAUCCUAACUUCAUCAACUUCCUUCGCUUGUACAUUCUUCGAGUCGAUGACGACUUUCAAGAACGAACAAUGAUCAAAUAACUCUUGCACUUCCCCAAUUGUCGCUCAAUGCGCUCGCCAAUAAGUUUCACCUUUUCAACCAAAUCUUCUUCAAGCACAAUCUUUUUUUCUUCAAUGUGAAUAGGCAGAACCAUUUCAAUCAUUUCAACUUCUUCACCUUGAUUUUGUUGUACAACCUCGAUCGUAUUGUUAAGUUCACUGCUUAAAUUAAGAGCAGGUUAUAUAUCUUCUUAAAAAUUAUCAAAUAGGUCAAUAAUAUCAUUAUCUUCAGCACUUAUCUUCUCUUCCAAGGAAACAUCACGCACAUUCUCGAACAACUUGUCAGAUUGAAACCUUAAAUCAAUAAUAAAUUGUACAUUUUCUUCUGGCAACUCAUGCGAGUCUUCUUCCUUAACAAUAAGAGAACUCAUUGGUACAUCUUUGGGCACUUUCAUGGUGACACGCCAUUUCUUGCUUAAAUUCUGGAUUUCGUCAAGUUUUUUAAUCACAUCAUCAAAGUUUCUUUGACGUUGCGACUUAAUUUGCGAUUCGAUUUUCUUGGCUAAAUGAAUUGCAUGUUGUAAAUUGUAGAUAGUGUAUAUAGGCAUCCUUUCUUGAAUAUGCAAAUCAAGCCCUUUAAUAAAUCUUGUAACUGUGUUCUCUUCAGGCUCAUAAUAAUAAUGACAUCCAUAAAAUCAUUCAAACUCAUAAGCACAAGCAGAAACAUAUCUCGUACCUUACUGUACCAAACAAUAAUCAAGAGGAAUAAACUCAGAUCGUAAAAUAUGCUUCAUACAGUUCCAUGAUUGAACUUUGCAUUUGCCUUGGUCAAGUCGAGACAUUUGCAACUCAUCGCACCAUUCUGAAGCACUUAUGCUUAAUCUACUGGCAGUAAACGAGACUUGCUUUUCUUUAGGAGUGUGCCAAAAUAGAAACUAGUGCUUAACCUUGUCCAACCAAUCAAGAAAUUUGUUUGGACGUGUAUUUUGUAAAUAAUAUCGGCACAUGAUAAAUAGGAGGGCAAUGAUGGUAGCUUGCCAUUUAAGUUUCCACACAAUGGCAAAAUUGUAAUUAAGGCUCAACUCUCGGGUUUGGUAUGGUCGGCAGCUGGUGGCGUGAUUGGGACCAGAGGGAUCGGAUCUGGGAGAUUUGGUGAUAAGGAACUCGAUGAUGGUCGUGGAUCGGCUAGAUUCGCUGCGGUUUUGGUCGGAAAAUCUGACUUAAAGUGGCGGCUGAUUUUGGUGAUGUGGCUUUUGGUUUAUGGCGGCCUUACGGUGGCGGACGUGCUGGAUUUAUGGUCGCCGAUUGCUAGGGAUUAUGGUGGUGGUAGUGCAAAUUGACAGAAAAAAGGAGGUGGUUUGGUGGCGGCGCAUGUGUGAAGCACUUGUGGGUUGUCGUUUCGUGUGGUGGCUGUGGGCGGCGAUCAAGGGCUGAAGUUGGUCGGUGUUUUGGUUAGUGGAGGCCUGCAAGCUCGUUGGUAGAGGUGGCUGGCUGUGAAAGUGGCUGAAUGGUGGUGGAUUGCUUGGUGGAGCCGCGGGUUUGGGUUGGUGAUUUGCGGCUGUUUAGGCGGCGGUUGAGGAGGCGAUGGCUGAGGCUUGGUCGGCAGUGGCUAGCGAGGUUUGUGGUGGUGUUGGCUGGCUGAUCGGUGGUGGAAGUUGAUGUGGUGGCUAGGGUUUUCAAAUUUGUAAAGUUUUGAUUUAUUUAUUUUGUUUUAUUUUAUUUAUUUUUUGUGAUAGAUUUGAUGUGGAUGGAUAUGGAUAGUCAGGAAAGUUGUGCAAUUGGCACAAAACUGCUCUGAUACCAACUAAUGGAGCGAGGCGUAGCGGAAGCAGAAAUUGAUAGGAUAUGAAAUACUAAAUACCAUUCUAGUACAGGACUAAGCCAACGCGAUUAAGUUAUGCUCUAAUUGAAGCAUAAUUAGAUAUCCUUCUAAUCCAGACAACUCAAUGAGCUUUUUAAUAACGUGUAAUGCGAGAUUAGAUGACUCUUUAAUCCAAACAAUUUUACAAGAGAGAUUUUGAUAUAUAAUCCCAGAAGGAAUUAUAAAAGGGGAGUUUUAUUGAAUAAUUGAAUUUGAAAUGCUCAAAACAAUGACAAGAUCUCUCUAUUUAUAAUAGAGGAAACCCAAUUCCCUAAGUUAACCUAAAAAAGAAACUAAAUCACAAUUAUAAUAGAAAUAAAAGACUAAGAUAUAUACCAGAAUUGACUCAAACUAAAAUAGAAAAUCCUAAAACAAUAAAUAUUCUAGAAUCCUAAAUUACCUAAAAUAACGUAAAUUAACUUCCUACAUUAUUCAAUACAUCAAUAACAAGUGCACAAACACAAAUAUGAUACACUCAUCUCUUUAAUUAAUUCAAGGCUUAAAUACUCUUUCGGUUGAAUCCAAAUUGAACAUGGUAGCUCUUGGACACCAUCCAUGAGAAAUAAAACUAACUUCAAAUUAGAUUUCUAAGUACUCAAACAAAGCUAGAAGCAUAAUAAAUUAGAUUUCUAAUUACUCAAACAAAGCAAGAAGCAUAAUAACGAAAUGAAGAAAGAAACAAAAGGUCCCCUCACCAACGCCAUCUGACUCUUAGUAUAUAGAAAGAACUCGAGGCCUUAUUCUAGAUGCUGCACAGAAGGUUGGCCCGAAUCGUCUUCAUAAGUUUGGACUCUCUGUAAACAAAGAGCAAAAACACAUUGAAGGUGUAGUUUUCACAUAAUUAAAUUGCACAAAUUAGCCUCCAUCAUAACCAGUUAAUGCUUAAGAACACAAAAAUCCUUCAAUUCUCUCUAUAAGCAAUUACUUUCAUUUUUUUUCAAUUUCUUGUUCGCUAUAUCAUAUCUAACAACUAAUCUUCAACAUAACAAUACAGCAGAGUAGUUAUGUUUUAAAAAGAUGUACCAAUGUGAUUUAACAUAAAUAAAACGUAUUUAAUCAGCACAAAAAUAAAAUCAAAACCUCCCAAUUUGUAUGGAUUUUACCUUGCCACUGUCUUUUGCAUCUUCCUUCUUUUCAUUAGCCUUGUUGGACGUCUCAUUCUUUUUUUUCCUUCUCUUCCUAAUUAGAUUUAAAAUGAAUUUGUCAAAAAUUUGAUGGGUACUUUUUCUUUUUCCUUUUUUAUAUAUAUCCGUUAUUGAAUCAAACUUUUACAAAAAAUCAACAUCUCGUAGUGAAUGAAUACAUACCUUUUUUUUAAGAUAUAGGUAUUGAAUGGUUGUAUUAAGGUCGCGAUCCAAAGUCCAACAUUCUUCAUCAUCCCACCGUUUAAGCUGCACUUGGUGUAACUUGGGUGUGCUUAAUUCUCCUCCUGAGAAAAUGUUCAUAUUGGGGCAAUUAUCCACCACUAAUCUUUCCAGAGAUGGGAAUUUGAAGGCGCAAUUAUUGCCAGAGCAGAAUCCUGUCAGGCUUUCUAAGUUCCAGAGCAGCAAUUCCUUCAAUUCGCUGAAAACAAUUUCAUUUUUUGCUGCAUAAUUAUCCCCCUCAUCACCGUCAUCUGCCACUAUUUCUAUUAUCAUCUUGCAUCUACCUAUGCCCAUUUCCCUCAGUCGCACCAGACUCUUUGCAAUUGAGGAUGUUAGUACAUCUAUCAAUCCUAUGCAAUUAUAUACCAUCAAAGUAGUUAGAUUUUGAAACGAUGUCGAGGAUGGCACUAGAUUAAUCAAAUUGUGACAGUCACAUAUGUCCAGGUUUUCCAAAUUGUUGGCAUUGGAGGACUCUUGUUUCAAAAUUUGCUUCAGACCACGAUGCCGGUUUAUUCCUCUUAUCAUUGCCUUCAUCCCGUUUUCAACCUUUCCAAAUAGUCUAAAAAUAUACUCGUCUCCUCCUAUAAUGAGAAUUUUGGUUGUGUGAAAUCUCUGGAGGAAAUCGUCGAGUGAUAAAAUAGCUGUUGACUCAUCAAUCCAGACAUCAAGAAGUUUAAGUUUGCAAAGCAAGUCUUCUGGAAAUAGACCUAUGUACUUUUCAUCAAUACUCAAAUCUUCCAAAUUGGGGAACAUCUGGGUGAUCAACAAUCACAAAAAAAAAAAAAAAAAAAGCAAGAGGGAGUUAAAUCUUCUUUCUAACGAUUUCAAAAAUUAAAGUAAAUACAAAGCAUUUCAAUGAUGAAUAUUGAUGGCCGGACAAAUUUAUGGAUAUGUAGAGAGAGUAUGAUUUUCAGCGGUAAUUAUUUUCUUUUUUUUUUUUCAAAUAUAGUAAGUGAUGUGUAUUUUUUUUUGUCAUCCUCUCUUCUUAACUUUCAAAUUUUAUUAGAUUUGUGCAUAAUGUCUACAAAAAAGACUUCAAUUAUUCUCAAAUUGCAUUUGAACUUCUGGAUUCUUUUAAUCGAUCCGCUUAUUUGGUUUCAGUUGAAAAUCUUACAAAUUUCUUUUUUUUUUUAAAUUGGUUUUUUUAACUUUUUUCUUUUCAAGAGCAAAAAUGAAUAAAUAACUUGAUUUUAAAAAGUUUAAUAAUAUGGUAAGAAGCUGGUAUUUCAUUAAUAUUCAUCCAACUCAAUGGAAUUGGAUAUAUUUACUAUUGUACAAGAAUGGAUUUUCUUGUACAUAAAGUUUAAUAAGAUAAGAUUUCUUCAUUUGAGUUUUGUCCAUCUCUCUCUUUAUAUUUUUAAAAAUAUUAUUUUUGUUAACACAAAAUGACCAAUUUCUUCUUCAACAUCAAAAUUGACAAUCAUUUUGUAUGUAACAAUACUGUAGUAAGGACUACUAAUUUUAAAUAGCUCUUAAAAGAUUAUCAGGGAAUUAACUGUGGCUUGAAAAACCGUAGAUAUUUUGAGUAUUUUCUUCGUUUGGCUAAUCAAAUGCAGAGUCUCUUUCGUGUAUUUAACUAAACAUAUAGACAUAAAAUAAAAAGUAGACGAAGAAGAAAAAAUCUGAUAAUUAAGAGAAAAAAAUUGAACGAGAAGGAAAAAAAAAUACUAAAUAAUUUUGUAUUCAUUCUUUCUAACUGACAUCCAAAUCCAUCUAUGGUUGUAGCCGAUUCAAUAUUCGAUAAUGAGAAGAAUUAUUGAAGAAUGAUAAUUAUGUUUAUAUCGAAUAUUGAUAAUUAUGUUUAUAAGGAUAUUAUAUUAGUAUAAAUAAGCUGAUUUAUAGAACUAACAUUUUGUUACUAAAAGACAAAUUGACGAGGGCAAUAUAUGACGACAAUAAAGCUCUAAACUCUCAAGUAGAAAUACUUUUAAGUACGUAAGAAUUGAACAAUAAUUACAAAAGUCUUGCACGUACCUUUUUGGUGGACUCAUGAAUAGUGCUUUUAAAUUUCACAUGGGGACAUCCCCUUAUUAUUAAUUGUUUCAAGGAUGGAAAUUCAAAAUGCAGAUCUCCUGUGCAGAAGCUUGUAAGCUGCGGAAGAGAACCAAGUUCAAGUGUCCUUAAUUGAGUGAGUUCAAUCACUUGAGUGUUAUUAUUGCUGGAUUCAUCUCCUCUAUCGGCAGCAAAAAUCACUUCCAUAUUCUGGCAUUUUGUCACUUCAAUGGACUGAAGUUGUUGAAGGCCUCUGCCAAUGAGCAAUGGAAACACAUUUUUCAAUUUAUCACACCUUUGCACCCUUAUGUUCUUUAAUUUGCAAAAGGACUCUGCUGUGAGUGAACCACGACAUAUUUUCUCUAGGUUACCCAAAUCUUCCAGAAAUAAUGACUCCAAGAGGGGGAACGCUGUCAGCGCUGUUGCACAAUCCACUGUGUCAACAACACAAAAAAGGCUGCGAUUAUCUCGGACUUCGAGAUGCUUCAGCUGUGGAAAACCUUCUCUGCCAGGUUCGCAAAGAACAUUCUUCAUGUCCAGCAAUCCAUGUAAAGAUAGGUCUUCAAUACCCUUCAAUUGCAUGAUAUGCCCCUCGUUCAGGCAAAUGUUGGCACCAUUGGUGAUCUUCAGUUUGAAUUUUCUAGAAAACCCAUCCAAUAUUGGGUCAUCCGACCACAGAUAUCCAAUGAAUAUCCUGUACCUUUUCAGGAUUUUGAAGAACAACAAGUCGCUUGGUAUAGUCUUUUCAUCUUGGAUGAGUAUUUCUAAAGAGGUCAAUUUAGAUAAAUGAUUCAACUCAUGAAGGCUGGCAUUUCUUCUUUCACUAUCGAGCCCUUCAACCGUCCCCCACUGAAUGGGACUCUCACCAAUAUACAGUUCUUCUAAUCGAGAUAAGCUUGAUAUAACAUUUGGUGGAAUAACUUUUAGUUCGAAACACUUGCUCAAAUCCAACAACCUCAAUUGAGUCAGCUGGCCCAUUUCUCCAACCAGUUUCUCCACAUCAGAACCUCGAAGUGAAAGGAUUUCUAAUUUCUUUAGGUCUCCGAUAAUAGCGAUGUCUCCUAGGUUGCAGUAAUUCAGACACAGUGUUUGAAGGUUUUGUAAGAGACCAAGCGAUGAAGGCAAUGGCAAUAAAUGCAUCUCAGUGAAAUCUAAAACUUUAAGCCCAGUCAUCCCAGUAAAAAAAUUAUCUGGGAUUCUCAAAGAUGGAUCAUUGCCAAUACGAAAAUAUUUAAGUUGCGGGCAUUCGAAACCUUGAGGAAGCUCACUAAUAUUACUAUAAAUUAAGGAGAUUGCGGUGCAAACCUUUAGUUUUUCCUUAUCUGGCCAGAUGAUCUGCGGAGCAACCUCACUUUCCACCACAAACACAUGUUGGUCUCCAGAUGCAAUUGAUAUGGCUGCAUCACGAACAACAUCAUGCAUAGAAAACCGUUCACUUGUAUUACCGUCAACCAACAAACAAGAUUUUUUGAGUUUAUCAACCAAUGUAUGUGCUCUAUCCCACGCCUCUUCCGACGUGUUGAUGUUUUGAAACAGACCCAAACCCAUGCCAUGAUAAAGCACGUCUUUAACGCAAGAGAUGAACGCGUACCCUAUAAGCAAAAACGUUCUCUUGAGCUCCUCCCUGUUUAAAUGAUUGUAACUCAGCUCUAUACUUUUAUAUGCCACCUCCAGUGUUCCACUGAUGUUUCUGAAGGAAGGCCUUCUUAAUUCCAGCAAGGAAUCCUUCCAUUCAAACAAUCUCUUAUUUAUUAGUGCCCUGGCUACGGGUACAAUGGCAAUGGGCAAACCAGCACAUUCCUUGACUAUCUCUGUUGCUACAGAUUUCAGUUCACCAUUUUCUAUACAAUCACCUGUCAUCUUCCGGAAAAGACUCCAAGCUUCUUUUUCAUUCAGAACAUCAACAAAAAAAUUUUGUUGACAAUCCAUCUUACAGGACAACACAUCUUGACUUCUUGCUGUCAGAAGAACUUUGCAUCCGCUGUUAUCAUCUGCUAAUGGAAUUCCAAUCGCCUCCAAAUCAAGACCCCCCCAAAUAUCAUCCAAGAUUAUAAGGAUCUUUUUCUCUUUCUUCAAUCUUUCAAGCAGCCUCCCUGCUCUUACAGUUUCAUGACUCUGUUCAGCCAAUUCUAAGCCUAUCUUCUCUGAGAUUUCUCCUUGUAUAUUUUUUAUUUGCGGUGUUGGCGAAACACGUGAAGAAAUGACCUUCUCAAAGAGAUUAUUUUCCUUUGCCUGUCUGCCAACUUCUUUCACCAGCGUUGUCUUUCCAAUGCCACCCAUCCCGUACACGCCAAUCAUGUUGAAGUCACGGUUGCUGAGUGCGUCUAGUAUCUCCUUAAAAGUGGAUUUUCUCGAUUCAAAGUGCAUGAAAUCCUGGGUAGACUUAAGCCAUGUCUCCUCUGGAAUGGUACGGAAAGAAACACUGUCGAAUCUCCCUUUUUCAUGGAGUCCAACAAUAGUAUUCGCCUCUCUUUCUGCUUUCUUGCUAAGCUGGUACCGAGCCCUCAAAUUAGGACAUAGCCCCUUCAAACACCGGUUGUUUGAAUUCUCUUUGUCUUCAAUAAUUGUUUCGACUUCAUUGAUCUCCUUGUUCGCAGCAAACAGCCACUCCUCAACGUGCUGUUGAAUUCCGUCCCCUUUAAUUCUGGAAUCAUCAACCUUACACUGCAUACUGUCUCUAGCAUUCUUUAGCUUAUCGACUUCAUUAUUCAGCUUCUCGAAGUUGGUCUUGUAAGUGCAGCAGUAAGUAAAUGGAUGAAUUAUGGGAGCAACCAAGUACUCUGCAAAUUUUGCAGCAACGGAGAUAACAAUUUCCAUUAUCCCUUUCUUUUUUUUUAUUUUUUGCUUUCAGAAAACAGGGGAAAGCAAAACUAAUCAAACUAAGCAGAACUAAUCAAUCAGCUGGGAAGAGGGAAAUAAGAAGUUUCGAUAAAUUGCUAAAAUAAGAAGUUGAAUAGAUUUAAGGGAGGAGGAGAGGAAAAGAGUGAAAAAUCUAGAGAUGAAACAAAGGGGGAUCCUUUUUCUGCUAAGACAAAUUGAAAAGCGAGUACAAUAAAUGAAAGAUUUGCAAAGAAGGUGUAGGAUGAGGACAAGGAUGAUUCAGAAAAGGGAGACUGAAAAUGAAGAAGAGAUUUCAGAGAACUCUAGAGAUUAGAGAAGAAGGAUGAUUAGGAAAAUGCGGAGGCAGACAGUUGUGAUCUCAAGUCUCAAGGGUAAUCUGAACUUUAUGAUUUUUUAUUUUUUCAAGAAAUAGAUAUACAAAUAAAAUGAAAAAAAAAAAAAAAACUGUUGUGUGGUCGUGUGGGUUCCUCGAAAUCACUUCGGCAUUUAAUCGAACGAUUGGAUGUACUCAGCAUCUACACUUCCACGAAGGUUCCUGGAAGUUGCGAGUGCUGCCGGCAUUUUCAAACUCGGAAGGUUUCAAUAAUUCUUUUACUUUGAAAGAAAGGUUUCAAUAAUUAGCUUUGAUAAUUGUGUAAUAUACGAUAAUCUAGUGAUGAUGAUGACUUAUAUAUGUGAUUAAAAGCUAAGCUGGUGGAUUUGUAAGUAAGAACACACGGCAAAGUAUUUGAGCAAGCAUUUUUAUCUUCUUAUUGACACAUUCUUCUAAUCAAUUUGCUUUCACCAACAAAAAUAAUUAAUAAUUUGUAAAUAGUUGGAUCUUAAGCUCAAAUUUUGACAAUACAUGAAUGAUAAUGUAUACUUAUUUUUCAAGGGUAAACUCUAUUUAAGAGAGGAUCUCAAUUUUCUAUUAGUUUCUUCAAAUGGGCAUUUUAUCCAACAGUUGAUGUACUCGGAAACUUACACGAAGGUUCCAGGGAGUUGCAAGUGCCGCCGGCAUUUUUCAAAUAAUCAAGUGAUUAUUGAGUAAUAAUUAACUUUGAUUAUUGAGUAAUAAAUAUAUGAUAAUCAAGUGAUUUUAAUAUGUAAACAGUAGGAUUUUGGGCUCAAAUCUUUAAAUUAAAUCGUGAUCAUUUUAUCAUUAAACUCGAACUCUAUCUUGAUUAAUGAACAAAUGUUAGAAAUUAGUUGUUAAUAAAAUAUACCCUGGAUGUAAUGGCUAUUCCUAAAGCUCAAUUGAACCAAGAACACAAUCUUGAAGGGCCCAAGAACAGAUCCCAAACAAGAAGUGACACAAAGCUUAACAAGAAUCCAUGAUCAAACAAUGAACAAAACAAAGAAUCAGUAAAGAAGAAAACUUAGAGCAAGAGUGUUUAAUGAUUUGAUUAAAUUUGUGUUUAUUUCUGUGGAUGAUUUCAUUCCUAUUCUUGCCAUUCAUUUUUAUGAUUUUUUUUUUUUUGGGGUUGACUCCCGGAACAAUCAACCUGGGGAUGGGUGGGUUUUAUUUAUUUGUCAUGAUUUGAUUAAGCAGAGCAACUAAUACUUCAAAUCGUAUCACUGUUGUAUUAGAGGCUUCACGUAUAUAAACCAAAGUUUAACAGAUCUACAUAUAACUGAAUGAAAAGCUUAUGUAUUAUAUUCACUCCAUCAAGUAUGAAGCAUAUAAUCAAUUGAUCUACAAGCACUAGACAUACAAAAAUCAAAUGGUAGAAUAGAAUAUACAAGCAUCAGCAUUAGAUGACAGGAAAAGAGCUCAUUAAUAAAUUAUAUGAGUGAUAAUACUACUUGAAUCAAACUCACGUCCCCAGUUGAGAAGAGUUAAAUUAAAUAAUACUUUGGUGAUUUCAUGUGCGUAAAAUUAUAAAUUUAUAACCAGACUUUGUAAAGUUAAUGUGAAAAUGCAUCACAGUUGUACUUAUUAUCUUUUUUCUUUUUUCCUUUUCCAAUUAGUCUAAUACCAGUGGCGUGGCCUCGUGGGUCCUCAAAUUAUUCAAAUGGGCAUUUCAUCGAACAGUGGAUAUACUCGGCAUGUGCACUUGGAAGACGCGUUCAAAAGCUCUAAAUCAUGUUAAAGUCGACCAAAAAGACAAAACAUAGAAAGCGACAAUCCAACAACUAGGUAAAAAUAUUCGCUGUCACAAAUGGUUGCGUUAACGUGUAUAUUUGGGACAUCAAAUAUAAACAAAGACCAUGUGAAAAAGAAAAGCAAAAAGCUAGAAAUAAGAAAAAGGGAGCACAGUGAAAGAUCUGCAAAGAAGGUUUAGGACAACGAUUAUUAUGAAAACGGGACCAGAAGACGUAUAAGGGAUUUCAGAGAAUUUUGAGAGAAGUGGGAUGAUUAAGAAAAUGCAGGAGCAGGACAUUCAUGACCUCUAUUAGUAAUUUGAUUUCGUGAAUCAUUUUCAAAAAGAAAAUAACGCACACAAUUGGAGACUAGGCGAUGACAAUGAAAGAUCACAAUCCUGAAUCAUGUUAAAGCCAAUAAAAAGACAAAACAUGGAAAGCGGCAAUUGCUAUAUUGCGUUGCGUGUAUUUUCGGAUCAUCAAAUACAAACAACGACCACGUUAAAAGAAAAGCAAAAGCUGACGAGAUUGGUAAAGAUAUAUCAAAAGAAAGACUAAUAGAGCUUUCCCAGCAGCAUUAAUCAUGAUUAUUUGAUAAAAUAGAGGGAAUAAAUAAUUAUAUUUUUGGUGGAAAACAGAACAGAGUACGUUACAAGAGGUGAUUGCUUUCUUAAUUUUUUGUCAAUAUUAAACCAAAAAUACAAGUCAAUGAAAAAAAUUGAAAAUAACGCACCAUCAAGUCAGCCUUGGUGCAGAAAAAUAUUAACAUUUAAUGAACAUAGAGGGAUGAGUUGGGCCAAGUCUUUAAAUCAGAUCUGUCGUGGAAUAUAACAGGAAGAUUAAAAGAAAAAUCAAUCAACUAGUAUAUAAUAUAAUGUUUUUACAUUUAACUAAUUAGGAGACUGAUACACUAGCAAUCAGCAUUAAUCAAUUAUUUGAUAAACCAGUAAAUAUUGGAUAUCUCGGUGCAAAACAGAGUGUUGAGAGAUAAAAAUUAACCUGGUGUCUUUGGCAGGUGCUUAAUAUAAUUGCUAAGCUUGCCACAUGCCAUUGCCAACUUUGGCCAUCUGCUAGCUGCUAUAUAUGAAGCAACUCAAGUAAACAUAAAGCAGCCGUCGUGAGAUGAAGCACAACAAGGCUUGUGAUGUGAUCACUGAUCAUGCAUCCGGGACACUUUUAUACUUAUUUAAUUCCAAUAAUCAUAAUAAACUAUUGAAUUAUAGACCAGGUUUUCGUUUUUAUGAAUACAAGGCACAAACACGAGCAUAUUUUAAUCCUAUUUCUGCUAAUUGAAGAAAAUCAAGAAAUGCUGAUUCCGUCAUGCUUAGUUUCAUGUUAGUUAACAUACUGGACAGACCUUCCGAGGUUAUUCUUCGAAGCGUUUCAUGAUGCCACGUGUACUUGAUUAUUUGACUAAUCACGGUUCACAAGUUGAGUGAGCUAUUCACCAGUCACCAAACCACCUUCCUGCUGCAAAGAAUGUUAACUGAACUUUGACUUGGUCAGAAACUCAGAAUUAGUGGUGCACGUGAUGCUUACACGUGAGGACCCAAAUGACGAAUUCCAAAAGCUGAAUGAUGUAUGUGUGAAUUAAAUAUAACUAUUACGCUCUAGCACAUAUAUGUCACAUGUAUACUAAGUGGGUGUAGUGCGACGAAGGUGCUCUAUAAUUUUUCAGUGAACACAAUAUAAUCAUCAAAGUGAAAGAAAAACUUUUGAGGUUUUGGUGUAUUCAUUAGUGAAAUUUGAGCCGAAAAGAAAAAUUCAUAUUUGUAAACAUCAAAACCAAAAUCAUUUGGAUGUAGUUGCUGAAAUUGAUUAGGUCAUUUUUAACCUUAAAUUUAAGAUCAUUAAUCAUUGCAUGAAUGUUUUGAUUUUAAUACCAGUGGCAAUCACGUACAUGUUUAAUGAUUUGAUUAAAUUUGUGUUUAGUUCUAUAAAUGAUUUAACUAAAAAAUUCAAAAAAGUUUAAAUCACAAUUUUUAUUAUUAACAAUUUAACUAAAAAAUUAUUAUUAAUUAUUGUUAAUAGAUUAAUUAAUUACAAUACUUUUUAUUAAUCUUAUUAAUAGUAAUUACAAUAAACUAGUAAUUAUAAUUAAAAUUACUUUAGUAACAGGUUUAUUAAACCUAGACUCAUCUACCUUGCAACGGCUGCAAGGUACAACUCUUUUUUUUUUUUCAUUCCUUUACCUUUGGAUUUAAUGAAAAGUUAAUUUCAAUGGUAGAGAUUUGUCCAUUUGAAUACUAACAUUAUACUCUUGAUAAGUAUUAAAAAAAUAAAAAAAUGAAAGAGUUAAAAUUUUUAGCACAUAAGUCUUUAUUGUUUCUAAUUUAUAUUGUUUAAUUAGUAGUAAGUCUUAAAAAAAUAUUUUAAUUUUAAUAUUAUAUAAAAAUAAUAAAUUUUUAAUGUUAUUUAUUUUAUUAAAAAUAAAUAUUAUUUAAUAUUAUUUAUUUUCAUUUUAUUUAGCAUAUGCUUAUUAUUAUAUUUAUUCCUCAAAAAAUUAAAUAAUAUUAAAUAAAAUAAAAUAAUCAAUAGUGAAUCAUAAAAAAUAGAUAUCAUUUUUAAUUAAUAUUAUUUAUUUUAUUUUAUUUAACGUUUUAUAGUCAUAAACUUAUCAUUAUAUUUAUUCUUUCAUAAAACUAAAUAAUGUUAAAUAAAAUAAAAUAAUAGUAAUGAGUCUUAAAAAUUAAUAUUAUUUUUAAUAUUAUUAACUUGAUUUUAUUUAAUAUUAUUUAUCCAUAGGCUUAUAAUUUUAUUUAUUCUUUUAAAAAAUUAAAUAAUAUUAAAUAAAAAAUAAUCAAUAGUGAACCUUAAAAAAUAAAUAUUAUUUUUAAUAUUAUUAAUUUUAUUUAAAAAAUAAAUAUUAUUUUUAAUAUUAUUAAUUUUAUUUAAAAAAUAAAUAUUAUUUAUUUUAUUUUAUUUUAUAUUAUUUAUUCAUAGGCUUAUUAAUAUAUUUAUUUUUUAAAAAGUUAAAUAAUAUUAAAUAAAAUAAAAAAACAAUAUUGAGUCCUAAAAAAUAAAUAUUAUUUAGUCAUAGACUUAUUAUUAUAUUUAUUCUUUUUAAAAAGAUAAAUAAUAUUAAAUAAAAUAAAAUUACAUUUUAAAAAGUCACCAGCAAAAGCAUAUAAACUUAUAAAUAAAUGUAAAAAAAAUAAAAUAAAAUAAAAUUACAUUUUCAAAGGUCACCAGCUAAAGUAUAUAAACUUAUAAAAAAAGGAUAAAUAAGAAGGAUAGUAAGGGGUUAAAUAAAAUUUAACAUACAUAACAUAAGACAAAAAAUGAUGGCACCUUGCAACUGUUGCAAGGUAGCUGGAUCCUAUUAAACCUAUAUGUUAUAAAACAAAUGAAAUAGGAUUAUGCAUGCAGUUAAAUAGGUGUAUUUUAGAAAAUCUAAUUCUUUUAAGGAGCUCUACAACCUAUUCUCCUAGAAGUCCAAAAUUUAAACUUCUCCUAAUAAAGACAAAAUAAUAUUUUUAAUAAACUCUAUUCAAUUUAUAGCCAAACGAUGCCAAAAAAUAUUCAAAAGCAAAAUUACUCUCUUGAUCUAUUAGUAGAGAAAUCAUACAAAAUGGACACUUAAUGGUCAAUUAUUUUCCCCCCCCCCUUUUUUUGUAGUUUUACUUUUCCUAUAAACAUUAUUGUUUAGGAAAUAAUAAUAACACUACAUACUCUCCACUAACACAUUAAUUAAUUAAGAGUAUUUCCUCACUAGCGCGCAUUUAAUUAUCAAAAGUACGGCUAAACUUUGGUAAUUAAGAAAACAAGUGAUAUUGGUGGCAAACUGGCAAUGACAAGAAAAUUUUAAUACCACAAAAAAAAAAAUUAUCAGUUACGUAACAACUGAAUAAUUAAUUAUAAAAGUGUUGUACGUACCUUAUCUGUCAAGUCAUUGGCCGUACUUUUAUAGUUCAACACCAAUUUAGGACAUCUCACUAUUUGUAAUUCUUUUAAAAAUGGAAAUUCAAAGUGCAGAUCUCCUGUACAGCAGAAGCUUGUGAGAUUUCCAAGAUCUGUUAUCUUUAGAUAUAGUAGCUGAGGGAACAUUACAAUAAUAUUAAGGGAGCUGCUACCUUACAUUAAACGUAAGGUACAGCCUUCUCACUAAUGGUGGAUUUUAAUGGAGCCCACAGAUAAAUUAUGUGAGUGGUUGUACCAUACGUUUUACGUAAGGUAGCAAAAUCCUAAUAUUAAUCUUGCUUUCUUCUUGGUCAUCCACGACUAUUAUCUCUUCCAAAACAUUGUUCACUCCCUCAACCUUCCACUGAAUGGGACUCUCACCAAUACACAGUUCUUCUAAGCGGGGUAAGCUUGAUAUGACAUUUGGUGGAAUAAAUUAUAGUUUGAAACAAUUGCUCAGGUCCAAACCCUUCAACUGGGUCAGCUGGCCUAUUUCUUCAACCAGAGUCUCCAUAUGAGAACCUUGAAGCGUAAGAAUUUCUAAUUUCUUCAGGUCUCCGAUAAUAGCUAUGUCACCUAGUUUGCAAUCAUCUAGAGACAGUGUUUGAAGGUUGUGUAAGAGACCAAGUGAAGAAGGCAAUGGCUUCAAAUGCAUCGUAGUGAAAUUUAAAACUCUAAGCUCUGUCAUCUCAGUAAAAAUGUCAUGUGGGAUUCUCAACGAAGGAUCACUGCCAAUAGAAAAGUAUUCACGGUGUGGACAUUCCAACUCUUGAGGAAGCUCACUAAUAUUACUAUUAUUUAAGGAGAUUGCAGUGCAAACCUUUAGUUUAUCCUUAUCUGGCCAUUUGAUCUGUGGGACAACAUCAUUAUCCACUACGAAUACAUGUUGGUCUCUUGAUGCAAUUGAUAUGGCUACAUCACGAACAACAUCAUGCAUAGCAAACCAUUCACUUGUAACUCCAUCAAGCAACAAGCAAGGGUUUUUGAGCUUAUCAACCAAUGUAAGCGCUCUAUCUCGUGCUUCUUCCAACGUGUUGAUGUUUUGAAACAGAGCCAAACCCAUGCCAUAACAGAGCAAGUCUUCAACACAACAGAUGAACGAGUACCCUAUUAGCAAUAAUGUUUCUUUAAGUUCCCUACCUUCUAAAUGAUUGUAACUCAACUCUACAGUUGAAUAGGCCACCGCUUGUGUCCCAGAGAAGCUUCUCAAAAAAGGCCUUUGUAAUUGUCGUAAAGCAUUCCUCCAUUCAUAGAGACUCUUAUUUUUCAACGCCUUUGCUACGGGUACAAUGGCAAUGGGCAAACCAGCACAUUCCUUGACUAUAUCUGUCGCUACAGAUUUUAGUUCACUAUUUUCUAUGCAAUCACCUGCCAUCUUCUUAAAAAGACUCCAAGCUUCUUUCUUAUUCAAAAUAUCGACAAAAGAAUUAUGUUGACAAUCCAUCUUACAAGACAACACAUCUUGACUUCUUGCUGUCAGCAGAACUUUACAUCUGCUGUUAUCAUCUGCUAAUGGAAUUCCAACAGCCUCCAAGUCAAGAAUAUUCUCCAUCGUCUUUAUUGUCCCUUUUUUAUAUUUUAUUUUUUCUUGUGUCGAAAGAAUCCUUCACUUAUUGGAAUAUCCAUGAUGACUGGGUGCAAUUGGAAGAGUCCAUGAAAUUCUUCUUUCAUUCGAGCUUAAAAUACUUUCUCCGAACAAUUAGAAUACAUUAAUAUUUUAUGAACUUGCUUAGUAGAUCAUUCAACUACUUAAUUGGUGUUGUUAAUUAAUUGGUUAUCUUCCCGGAAACACAUUAAAGACUCUCACAGGGAUUCAUUAAACCUUUUUGCUGGGUCAAUUCUACAAGCAUCAGACGUAAAAGCUUCAUGAUAAGAGCACAAGCCUAUCGUCUUCAAAAGCUCCCUCAAAAAGCUAGCUAUUUUCUUUAUUGUCAUUUCCAUCCAUUUUAACCCUCUCUUUUUUAUUUUGUACAACUUUGACUUGACUCUCAAAUAGAGAACAAUGAUAUUUAGACAGAAAAAUUUAAUAGAAUGUUUAAAAAUAAAAUAAAAUUAGUGUCGGUUUAUCUUGUACUAGUUUUACCUUAUUGAUGUCAAUGAUUUUCUAAGAGAAAAAUAAAACUUACAUUAAUUUUACCUUUGUUUCAUGAUGAGGUAAAAUAUGAUUUUUUUUUACUUUUAAAAGAUUUCUUUAAAUGAUUUUCAAGUUGAUUUAUUUGAUUGGACUGUCAAAUGGGUUUGGGCUUAGGCCACCCCUAAUUUUUUUUUUUUUCCAGUUUACCAUAAAAAAGAUUGGGUGUGUUGCAAGUGAGAUAUGGAUAAAAGGACAUAACUAUUUCUUCGUUGGAAAUUCGAAUAAAGAGAUAGAAAAAUUGGUAAACGAGUAGGAAAUAAUUUACGGGAAGGAUGAGUGGAUAAGAUUAGUGCUGGAGCCGUCGUGGAUUCAUUGCUAUGCAGAAUUAAAAAUUCAAGCUUAAACAGUUUUGGUGAAAUUUUUAUAUUGAAAUUCUUGUUAAUUAAUCAUUCACACUUUAAUGAAAGUAUUAAUAGCAGCCGUGUAACUCCCUAUUAAUUAAUUUAUAUUAAUAGCAGCCGUGUAACUCCCUAUUAAUUAAUUUAUAUUAAUAGCUACCGGUAACUCCCUAUUAAUUAAUUUAUCACGUGUUAUAUAUAUAAAGUAAUAUUUUAACAAUUAAUAGCGUAACAGGAUUUUUUUUUUUAUGUUGCUCUUUUACUCAAUUAAUUAAUUAACAUUUAUAAAUGAUCACUAAGUAUUCAUGAGUAUGUGACACAUGAGCUUAAACAUGAAUCAAUAUUUGCUAGUGCAUUGGUGGUUAGCACAAAUAACCACGAUGAUAGAGAGUGACAGGGAAGCAUUAAGGGGACGGAUCCUUUAAUGACCUGAUUUUUAAGCAAAUUUCACUUAUAUGUUUAUUGGUUAACCAAUUAAGAAAUAAAAAAAGUUAAAUUCUAAUAAUACAUUAAUAUUAAAAGGCAAGUGAUAUAAGUUCUUUAAACGUUCAGAAGAGAUCAAAUCAAAAGAGAAUUUUAAUUUGAAAAUAACUCUUGUAAAACUUAAGUUUUAUGUGCUCAUGAAAGUAGUUGUAAUUGAAGGCAUCUAUUGAAUAUUCAAUGGUUUAACUAAUUAUAUUCUUUAUAGACAGUUUGUAAAUUAAUCUCGUCACUACCACCAUGACUUGUAAUUUACUUGUUAGAAAAAGAAUCGAUUAUAAAUACUAAUUUGACUUUAUUGUGCUCUAGAGCAAAAUACAAAGUGGAUAUUUAGUGAUUAUUAGUUUAACUUACAAUGCUAGAUAUAUUUUAAGUAUACAUAUUAAGACAUAUAUACACACACAUACAUACACAGAUUUGCGUGCAUGCGCGCGCCAAGAGACAAACAAAUAUACGAUGAAUAGAGAUAUCCGGACCUAAAGACUUCAAAUUAAUGGUGAAACAUCUUUGCAAAUUAAACUAAGAAAAAUUGAAAAAGUAUUUUUAUCAUUUUAUGUAUGGAAUUCCACGUCCAUGCAUGCAUCUACCCAACAAAUGCCCUUGUAAUUCCAUGCAUGCAUCUACCCAACAAAUGCACUCGUAAUUAAGUAUGCAUAUGGUACAUCACAAAAUAUUGUCUUGGAAAAGUCUCAAUGGAUGACACAUGAUCAUGUCAUUGUACUUACACGCACAAUGAAUAAUCCUUGCGACGACUUGCACAAAAAAAUGGCUGUUUGUCCCUGUAGUUUAAGUACCUAUGGAGGAGUCAAUAUAUUUUUAGAAAUUUACUCAAAAAAAUCUACAUUAUAUUUUUUUUGGUUAAAAUCUAAUUAAUUAUUUUUUAUCUUUCAUCUGCUAUAUAUUAAAUUAGUUUGAAUUUUAAACUUUAUCAUAUAAAAUUUAGCUUUGAAAAUUUAUGUCCAACAACAAAGAAAGUAAGUAAAGAGACGUUCUCCAUAAUCUUUUAAAAUAUAAUAUUGACCAAACUGGAUAAUUGACUCGAAUUAUGGGGAUUAAAUUAGUAUUUACCUAUUUAACAAAUUUUAAAAUUAUUUUCUAAAAAAAUGUAAAUUAAUUUCUUUCUUUAUUAAUAAAAUUACGACAUAUCUAAGUAAUAUUCAUAUUGUGCUGAGAACAACUUCUUAGUAUAGCGAUGGUCUUACAUGUGGAGGGUUGAAAUCUUUUAUGCAUGCACAUGGAGUUAAUAGUAAUUAAAAGGGGGUGUGUAUACCACACACCUUCGAUUUGAAGACAAAAAGUGAUUGUCAUCUAUUUGCCCACGUACACACCAAAAAGUGAAUCAAAUCCUCGAACGACUCAAUGACGGGACAAGGAUUGGUUCUCCACUUUUGUACGGCUUUGAAUCACUUCUCUAUUCUAUUCACCCCGCAUCACAAACGUGGUGACGACGUAAUUACGAAAACAACUAUAAUCCAGCUGAAAACAAAUUCGUAGGCAUUUUCCCUUCAUUUAGACCAAAUCUAAAGUUCUGAAUGAAAUGAAAGAGAAAGCCAACUUGAAUUACAUUUUUUCCGGCAUUUUUUGGUCGAACGAACCAUUUCACUUGGGAUCAUAAUGAGUCGUUGCAAAGAAAAUGUUAUUUUGAUUAUUACUUUGUUUAAUAUUCUUGUUUGCGGUAUUUUGAUUUGAGAGAGAUAUGAGUCUCAAAGGAAUGUCGGAUUCUGUGCUCACAUGAUGAGCUAUAUAAUAUAUGUUGGUUUUACUUAAGGUUGUUGUAAUUAGUGGUUUAAAAAAAAAAUAACUAGCACAACUCUAAUAAAUAAUGGAUAAAAAUUCCUAAUUAAUUUGAAUUCAUCUCUCAUUUGUCAUUUGUCAUCUCUUUUAUAUAAAGUAUGACUAUAUAUGAGAGAUAUUUUAUUGUAUAUAGCUAUUUCUUUUUUUUGUUAUUUCUAUCGACUUCAUGAGCACUGUCUUAGACUUUUCCCUUUCUGUAACAAUCUUGGUUUAACUAUGAACUAAAUAUUUUUCUUUUCAAUCAUUAAUUAAUAUUAGGUGGGUGGAUCUACUAACACGGUUGCACCUAAUUACCCACUAUAAAAUUUUAUUCUCAAUCCCCAUGGAAAAGUGUGCAUGCCUAUAUAUAAUCGGACUUCAUUAUCAGUGUUAUGGAUAGAGGAAUUAUUAAUUUUAAAUUAAUAAUUAUUUUAAUCAAUUUGGCAAUGUAUAUCUUAUCCUUAAUUAAUUUAUAUGAAUGAAUAUCAAGUGUAACGUAAAAUAUUAUUUGUGUUGCACAUGUGGACAAAUUAAAGAAUACAAAGAUUCCUUAAACAAGAUUCAAAGUAUAUUAGAAUUCGUAAUGGGGUGUUUGGAAACAAAGAAAAAAACAGAGAAAAUGAAAAAGGAAACUUCUCGAUUUUAUUAAUCAGAAUAUUCAAUACUUAUUAAGCUUACUUAGCUAAGCUUAUAUACAAUUAUUCUAACUAAUUAAACAACUUCAAACCAACUAACAACUUCAGAUUUAGUUUAGCCAUUGAGCUCUUGCCACAUGUCAUUCAGUUACAUUCAAUCUUGACACAUCAGUCAGCUCUGUCCAGCUCAGCAACUAUAUCUUCAACAUCCCCCCUCAAGCUCAACCGAGGAAGUAAGGUUGAGCUUGUCACGUAAGUAGAGAAAAGGAUGAUAAGAAAGAGCUUUGGUGAGAAUAUCAGCAGUUUGUUCUGAGCUAGAAAUAUACUGAACCUUAAGACAUUGAGCAGCAACUUUCUCUCGAACAAAAUGAACAUCUAAUUCAAUGUGUUUUGUUCUGGAAUGAAACUUAGGAUUAGAGGCUAAAGCAGCUGCACUUUGAUUGUCACACCAUAUGAUUGGAAUGGAGGAAAGAGCAAGGCCAAUCUCAGCAAGAAGAGAGCGAAUCCAUAAGACUUCAGCUGCUGCCAUAGCUAGUGCUCUAUAUUCAGACUCAGCACUAGAUCUAGAGACCACUACCUGUUUCUUAGAGCACCAAGACACUAGAUUUGGACCCAUAUAGACACAAUAACCAGCCACUGACCUCCUAUCAUCUCUGUCUCCAGCCCAAUCAGCAUCACUGAAACAAUCAAUCUGUAUGCUACCAUGAUUGUAGAACUGUAAACCAAGAUCAACAGUGCCCUUCAGAUAACGUAAAACCCUUUUACAAGCCUGCCAAUGAUUGACAGUUGGAGAAGAUAGAAACUGACUAAGCUUGUUGACAGAGAAAGCAAUCUCUGGUCUGGUCAAUGUUGCAUACUGAAGAGCACCUAUGGUGCUUCUGUAUAGAGUAACAUUAGAAAAGGGUUCACUAUCAGUUUUAGUAAAAGCCACUUCAGAAAGCAUAGAAGUAGAACAAGGUGUACUAUCCUGCAUGUGCACCUUGGCAAGCAAAUCAGUGAUAUACUUGGAUUGAGAAAGAUGAAUACCAGAUUUGUUGUAAAGGACCUGAACUCCCAGAAAAUAAUUCAAUGCACCAAGAUCUUUAAGUGCAAAAACAGACUGGAAGUUAGUGAUAGUCUGCUGAACAAGCUGAGGAUUGGAGCCUGUAAUAAUGAUAUCAUCUACAUACACCAAGACAAGUAGCAGAUGACCUUGUGUGCUCUUAAAGAAGAGUGAAGUAUCUGAAAUAGAAUUUGUAAAACCCCAUUGAGUUGUAAGAACUAAUUUGAGUCUAUCAAACCAUGCCCUUGGAGUCUGUUUAAGUCCAUAAAGAGCUUUGUGCAACUUACAGACAUAAUCAGGCCUGGAACUAUCUACAAACCCCUCAGGCUGUUGCAUAUAAACUUCUUCAGUGAGGUAGCCAUUAAGGAAGGCAUUAUUAAUGUCUAUUUGCCUUAGUACCCAAUGAUUCAUGACAGCUAUACUCAAGACAAUUCUGAUAGUUGAAGACUUAAUGACAGGACUGAAUGUUUCAUGAAAAUCCAGCCCUUGAGUUUGAUGAAACCCCUUAGCAACAAGUCUAGCUUUGUAUCUAAAGACACUGCCAUCAGGAUUAUAUUUAAUCCGAAAUACCCACUUAUUCCCAAUUACUUUAAUGGGAUGUGUAGGUUUGACAAGAGUCCAUGUAUGAUUAUUGAUUAAUGCUUGAUAUUCAUCUGUCAUUGCUUUAUGCCAAGCUGAAUCUUGAAGAGCUUUUGAGGUAGUAGCAGGUUCUGUAGGUUUGGUAGGAUUGGCUGUAAUAUAGGCUUUAGGUUUGAAGAUACCAGCCUUUGAUCGAGUGAGCAUUGGAUGACCAGUAGAUGACUGCAAUGGUGGAGUUAAAUGAUGGACAGGUGAGGUAGAUGGUUUUGAGUGUGAUUGUAUAGAAGAUUGAGAAGAAGAGUCUGGAGAGGAUUGAGAGAACCUGAGAUCAGCUGCUGUAGAGGAUGAAGACUUGGUUAUAUCAAGUUGAAUCAAAAGACAAACAGAAGAUGAACAAUGUGAAGAAGAUUGAGAUGAAUGAUCUGAAGAAGAGCAAGAGUGACUGACAGAGGAAAAAUCAACUCCUGACUGAAAAGGAAAACAUAACUCAUCAAAAGUAACAUGGUUACUGACAUAGAUUCUACUAGAGGAAUGAAGACACAAGUAGCCUUUGUGAAGGGAGCUGUACCCAAGAAAAAAUACAUCUAGCAGUUCGAAACUCUAGCUUAUGAUGAUUAUAAGGCCUCAGAUAUGGGAAACAAGCACACCCAAAAACUCUCAUAACAGAAUAAUCUGGUCUUUUGUGGAAUAAUUUUUCAAAUGGUGAUUUGUUAUCUAGAAUGGGCGUAGGGAGCCUAUUUAUGAGAAAUGUGGCAGUAUGGAAAGCAUUCCACCAAAAUUUCAAUGGUAAAUGUGCUUGAGCAAAAAGAGUAAGGCAUGUUUCCACUAUAUGUCUAUGUUUGCGUUCAAUCUUUCGAUUUUGAUGGUGAAUAUAAGGACAAGGAUGUCUAAAUUGGAUUCCCUGCUCAGCAAGAUAAGAAAGAAAUGGCCUAAAUUCACCUCCCCAAUCUGUUUGAAGACAUUUGAUUUUCCUAUUUAGGCAUUUUUCUAUCAUAUGCUGGAAUUCAAUAAAGGUUUGUAAGGCUUGAGAUUUGGUAACAAGAGGGAAUAUCCAGGUGAACCUAGUGAAGUCAUCUAAGAUGGAAAGAUAGUAGUGAUAGCCUUGAGAGGACAGCAAAGUAGCUGGUCCCCAUAGAUCAGCAUGCAACAACUCCAGUGGUUGAAUGGUAGUGGUGUCUACAAAGGGAAAAUGCUGCAUGUGACACUUUCCAAAUUGACAAGCAUUACAAAAAAUUGGUUUGAGGACUCUAUUGGUAUCGAGAGAAUGAUGUAAAUGCUUCACAAUUUGUUUAAGAGCAUGCACAGUUGGAUGACCCAUUCUUUUAUGUAAAACAUUGUAAUCAACUGAGUUUGAGUGAGUAACAGACAAGGCCAUUGAGGCUUCAUUAUUGAAUUGAGAAAUAUUUACAUCUGUCAAAAUUUCUCCAGAAUGUAUAGAGUUUGAAACAUUGGAAUGACUAAUCAUUGACACUGGAGAAGAACAGACAUUUGACACAGAACUGGAAUUUGAGGUGACACAGAAAACAUUAGACUGAACUCUAUUUGAAACUGCAGCAUGAGACACUGCAACAAGACCUUCAACUUGAUAUAAUCCUCCUCUAGCAAUCCCCUUGAGCAAGAUGAUCCCUGAGUUCUUGUCAUUGACAAAACAGAAUGUUUUAUAGAAUUCAACAACAACAUCAUUGUCAGCCAGUAGUUUAGAUACACUUAAAAGGUUUUUGGUUAUAGCUAGGACAUGCAAAAUAUUAUUGAGAUAGAUAGAUGUUGCAGCAAGUGUAUUCAAUCGUGUGCAGCCAACAUGUUUAAUAUGUAAUCCCAUGCCAUUUCCUACAUGUAGCUUAUCAAAACCAUGAUAAACUGAGUAAGAAGAGAAGAUACCUGCUUCCUUAGUCACAUGAUUUGUUGCUCCUGAGUCAAUAUACCAAGCAGGAUCAGCUACAACUCCAUAAUCAACAACUGGACCAGUGGAAGCAAAUUGUGCAGUGGGAAUAGCAGAAGGAGCAACUCCAUAGUUAGCAAAUGGAGUAGCAAUUGCACCAUUGUAUUGACCUUGUAAUCCUUGAAACACAGGAAACCCUUGAGGAUACAUAACAUUUACAUUCUGAUAUGCAACAUUCCCUUGAAACAUGGGUGCAUUAUAUCUAGGAGCACCAGUUGCAGUUCCAUAAAAAUUUCCAUAACCUCUGCCAAACAUGUUCUGAGGCUGACCAGGAAAGCCUCUAAAAUUGAAUCCACCUCUAGGCCUAAAGCCACCUCUUCCUUGUCUAGGAAUAAAGUUCAGAUUAAAUAUGUUCCUGCAUUUGUAUGCUCCAUGACCAGGUAUGAAGCAUAUUUGACAAAUCACUUCCUUAUCAACAUUAUAUCCUCCUUUGCCAUUAUCCAUUCCAGUAAAAUUUCCACCAUUAAAACCUCUCUGAUUAGCAUUAUUUAACUUAUUGUAAUUCUGUCCUUUUUGAACAAAAUUAGCUGACAUAUCAUGCAACAAUUCAUUUUGCACCUUUCCCUUACUCAUCUCAACCCUAGUUUCAUGACUAAGCAUUAAGGAAUACACUUCUUCAACAAUGAGAUUAUCUUUUUCCAGCCUAGCAAGUAUAGUUGUCACUAAUGACUCAUAAUUGUCAUCUAAACCAGUAAGCAAAUGCAUUAUAAAAUCUGUUGAAGCAAGAGGAUUACCACCAAUAGCUAAGUUGUCUGCAAUUUUUUUCAUCUUAUCGAAGUAAUCACUUACUGACAUAGCUCCUUUCUUUGUGGUUUGAAUCUGCAUUUUCAGAGGCAUGUAUCUAGCCUUUGACUGUGACAUGAACAUCUCGGCAAGUUUCUCCCAGAUCUCAAGUGAGGUAUCACAAUCCACAACCAUGAUAAGUACAUUGUCUACCAUAGAUGACAACAUCCAGCUCUGUAGAAGCUUCUCAGCUUUCUUCCAAUCAAUAUAGUCAGAAUUUUCACGUCUGCUUGAGCUAGGAGCUUCUGAUCUACUGGCAGCAUUCUCAUAUGAGGAAAGAAAACGAUAUGGACAAGGAGAUUCACCAUUGAUAAAACCUUCAAGACCAUUGGCAAUAAUCGAAGCUUGAAUUUGAGCUCUCCACACCAGAUAAUUUGUUCGAUCAAGUUUUGUUGGUUGAAUAAAGGAAAAAGAAAGUGAAGACGAUCCUGAAUUGCUUUGAUUCGUCAUGUUUCAUAGCUCUGAUACCAUAUUAGAAUUCGUAAUGGGAUGUUUGGAAACAAAGAAAAAAACAGAGAAAAUGAAAAAGGAAACUUCUCGAUUUUAUUAAUCAAAAUAUUCAAUACUUAUUAAGCUUACUUAGCUAAGCUUAUAUACAAUUAUUCUAACUAAUUAAACAACUUCAAACCAACUAACAACUUCAUAUUUAGUUUAGCCAUUGAGCUCUUGCCACAUGUCAUUCAGUUACAUUCAAUCUUGACACAUCAGUCAACUCUAUCCAGCUCAGCAACUAUAUCUUCAACAAAGUAUGAUAUAGAAAAGAAUUUAAAAUUAAAAAAAAAAAGUAAAAUAGUAAUUUGAAUUUAACGAGAUUCAUGUACAGGAAGAAAAGGAAUUAAUAAAGUGAUGAAAGAUUGGUAAUCGUGGCAAGUAAUCUUAUCCAUGUACGCGGCGGCACGACCCAGGACUUGGAAAUUAAAUAAUGAAACUUCUUUGCAAACUUAGAAACUACAAAUUAAUGAAGAGACUUUGACGAGUAAUUUAUCAUUUUAUGCAUGGAAUUCCACGUGCAUGCAUGCAUGUUCUCCACGCUUGGAAAUUUUGCAAACGGCCUCUCCCUUUGAUGGGAGGGACAGUUUUCGUACAUCAAUUUUGAAAAUGUCCUCUAACAAGUGUCUCGAUUAUUGGAUAACAUGUGCAGUCCUUUUCAUUAAUAACACGUCCUUCAACAAUCCUCAUUGCAAUAAAGAAUUUACGGAAAAUUUCUAUAAUACAUCAUACUACAAAGUUAGUCAUACAACAAAUAGAUAAUACUUAUAUUUUAUAAAAUUAUCAUGUAAUUGAUGAUUAUAUCAAAUUUAACUACAUAUAUUAUAUAUACAGUAGUUGAUUAUAUUGUCUUUGAUGUAUUGUAAAAUUUCUGAUUUUAUGGACAUAUAAUAUAGAUUAUCAAGGUUUAAGUUUUUUCACACGCGCGUGCACACACACACACAUAUAUAGAAGUGACUAAUGAGCCUUUUUCUUUUUUCAUUUUGAGAAAAUCUCAAGUACAUAAAAUGUAUUAUAACCAUUUAGUGAAAUGAGUUAUGACACAUGCAUUUUGAUUUUAGUAUACUAUAAUUAUCUUCUUCUUCUUCUUUUUUUUCCAACUUAAAUGCACACAAGGAUGGCAAUGGGGAGAGGAGGGAGGAGACUGACCUCCCUGUACCCAUCCCCGAAAUUCUACAUAUGUAUCAGUCCCUUCCCUGUCCUCAACAAAAUUGUUGUAGGGAAUUUUCGUCCCCUCCCUGAAUAAUAAUAGGGGAUCCUUGAGGGUCCCCGAUCUCCGAAUAACCGAUACGUUAUUUAGUUUUCAAUUUUAAUUUUAUCAUAUUAAAAAAAAUUAAAUAAAAAUAAAGUUUGACGAUAUAUUUUAUACUAACAUUAAUCCAUUACAAAAGUCACAUUACAAAAUAUAAAUCACCAUAAUAAUUAUUUUCGUCAAUCUUCAUAAUCCUACAAUAAAAAAAAAUUACUUUUAUAUCAACAAUGAGAUAAAUGAAAUGAAUAUAGAUACUUAAUCAAUAUUUUUAAUAAAAGUAUUUACCUUUUACGUCUCCUGUUCCUCUUGUUCUUUCUCAAGAAAUGUGGUAAAUUAAGAGAUAGACUCAGGUUUUAAAUUUAAAACAAUAAAAAUAAUAUAAGUAAUGUAACUUCUAAGAGAAACUAUUAAAAAUUAUGUAAUAUAAUUACAAGGUAAAAUAAACUCAUAUUGCCAUUGUAAGCUUGUAGCUAACUUUGUAACACAUUAAAGCCUCCAAUGUGCUUGAAUGAAGCUGAAUGAAGCCUGUUAUGGUACUCUAUCACUGAUGCUAAAAGCUAGCUUGGAAGCAACAAAUUGUAAUUGGAAUUGCCAAAAUAUCUCUAGCAAUUCAUGCCAAUAUAGGAUACCUAUGGGCAUUUGUUUUCCACCAACUCAAAAUAUUAAAAUCUUUCAUUCGUGGCAUAACUUUCUCAUCCAAAUAUUAAUCUAGUCAAUUAGGCCCAAAAGUUUAAUAAUAUAAUUAUUUUGAUAUUUGUUAUUUAUACUAAUAUUUAAUAUUUUAUUAUUUACAUCUUAUUAUUUAUUUACUAAUAAAAAUUAAAAUAAAAAUUAAAAUUAAAAUAGGAAAAUGGGGGAAGGGAUGGGGAUUCCACCUCAUCCUCGUCCUUUCCCCAAAUAAGAAAUUGGGUAAAAAAUUAUCCUUAUCCUUUCCCCGAAUAAGAAAUUGGGUAAAAAAUUAUCCUUAUCCUUUCCCUGAAUAAGAAACUGGGUAAAAAAUUGUCUUUUUACCCUCCCGGAAUAGGAAAAAUCCCUAAGGGUUCCCUUCCCUGUGGGGAUUUAUGUCAUCCCUAAAUGCACACUUAUGUGAAUGACUAUAGAUUAUAUAGAAAAGUUUAUCAUUUUAUUGAAAUUCUAACCAUUCUCACUGCAUAUUAAAGGGAGGUUGGCAGUUUUCUUCACGUAGAAAUUAAUAAAUACCAUUUCCAUUUCUCUUCUUAUUGUUUUUAUAAUAAUCAAUAACUUUCAUUGAUCAUAAUUCUACAAAAUUAUUCUUAUUUUAAAAUAUUUUAAAAUUUAUUUAAUUAUUAAUCUUUAUUAUUAAUUAAAUAAAUUAUAUAAACAGAAAUUGAAAUAAAAAUUUAAAUAUUGGAAAUAAGAAAUAUAAUUGUCGGUAUCGAAACUAAUAAGAAUAUAUUUUUCUUAUUUUUUAAUCUUUAAAGAUAUUUUACUAUAAUAAAUAUAUAUUUUAUAUUUUCAAAAUAAAAUAUUAAGCAAACGACCCAUUUACCUUUACUUUCCUUUAAAUAUUUCAUACCAAAAGAUUAUUAUCUAUUAUGAAAACAAUAGAGGAGUAUAUAUUUUACAUUAAUUUCGACAGGGAGAAACUAUCAAUACCCUUAAAAAAUAAAUAAGAUUUUUUUAGAGCUUAUUUAAAUAGAGUUUUUGUUAAUAGAACUUUUGUAAAUAGAGUUUUUACUAAAAAAAAGUUUAGUUGUUUGAUUGUUAAUAAGAACUUUUAUUAAAAAUUUAUGAAAUUACUUUAAUAGACAAGUUUUUUAAAGUUAUAUUAUGAAAACAAUAAAUAAGAUUGUUAAAUAAGUAGAUGAUAUUUUAGAUAUUUUAAUAUUUAAAAAAAUCUUUUAAACCUCUAUUCUUAAAAGUUUAAAAUUUUAACUUUUACUAGUAGAGGUAAAAUAACUUAUUUAAAAUUCAAAAUUUCUAUUAAAAAAAUAACUAAACAAUAAUAAAAAUUAUAAUAAGAACUUAUGAAAUUAAAUAAGUACUUAUACUCAUUAAAUAAAUUAUACCAAACACGCACUUACUUAACAGUUGAUUGUGAUUUGUGAAUGACAUUUUAUUCCACCCCGUUGCAAUUGUUGCUUGUUUUCCACGGAUAUCUUGAUUACGUUUGCAAGCUUAUGUUAUAAGGGCUUCGUCAUUGCCAUUAUUACGAAAUUAAAUAGACUAAGAUUGUUGACCUAAUUUGAAAAUUCCUCCAUUGUUUAUUAUUUUUCCCUUUCUAAUUUAUCAACAUCAGCCAUAUCGAGUCAUUCUUUAAAUCAAAACCCUUGUGGAAGACGAAAUAUUAACUUACUGUCUUUUCUCAACAACUUUUUAGGUGAGAUUAGUUUAAUUAAUUACAUGAUAAAUAAUAGUUUUGAGUACACAUGUAUGAUAUAAAUUUAAGAUUCUUUUCUUUUUUGUCGUAAUACAUAGAAUUAAUCAACCUAUUAUUAUAACAAAAUAAUUAAAAUUUAUGAGUUGAAGUUGUCAGAAAAAUAAACUUAUUUCCAAUGAAUGGCAUUUGGAGGAACAAAAUCAAUCCGGAAGUUUUUUUACGCGGAAAAAAAUCAAUUAAAAUUAAUGAUGUCCAAAUGUCCAAAUAUGGUGAGAAAUUGAAUUCUUCAAAACCUUGCUGUUUCUUCAUAUUUCAUUACAAAUUUACCAAUUCUUUUCUCUAAAUUCUAGUAUUUGUCUUCGUACAAUGUAAACUUAUUCCCUAAGAUAUGGUUAAAAAAAAAAUUAAUAAAAUCUAAUCAUUUGGUAGUGCGCAAACUAAUAUCAUAACUAAAAUGAAGUUGGUAAAUUUUGAUAUAAUUAUCUAUUAUUAAUAAUUAGGUGGGCCUAAAUGUUCCAACUUCCAAAUACAGUAAAACAAUCCAUCAUCUACAUUAUUCUAUAUUUUGGAGAGAAAAAGGAAAAGACAAAAUCUUUUAGAUAAGGAAAAAAAAAAAAAAAACCUCAUGAAAAAGCAAUUGAAUUAAAAAGUAGAAAUUUCUUUACAUUUUCGCCGGAGAAACAGAGUCAAAUUCAAAUACGACGACUCAAGCGCAAAAAGCCUAUAAAUAAAGCCCCGCUCCAGUUCCCUGUCAGAGGCUACGGAUUUGAGAGAUUAAAGAACAUCAACCGAACAGUGAGACUCCGUACUCUUCACAAACUUGCAAAAACUUUUAGGUAAGAGUUCUGCUAUUUGCCCCGGGUCAAACCCCGGGUCAAGCCCCGAAGAUUGUAAAACGACGCCGUUUUGACAAUUAAUUUUUUUUUCAUUUUAAAAUAAACACCAGCUUCUUCGUUUCUCUCUCUCUUUUCAUUUCGUUCUUUUUCUUCCUAAGUACAGAGCAUUGUUAUCUUCCUUCACAGCCCCCUCUAAUUCCUCCAAAUCUGCCUUUUUUAGUUUUUUAAAUCCAAAGAUAAUGUUCAACUGAAAGUAACAGAGCACAAUUGUGAUCUCAGCACAUGUGACAAUGAGAAUCAGGAAGACAAGCAGGAGGAAGCCAAAUAGGUAAUAGAACUGAUGCAACCAUAUUGAGGUGAGAAUGAAAAAGAGCUCAAUGAAGAUGGCUCCAAAUGGAAGUAUGCCCCCAAUUAGGAUAGAGAAGAUGGGAUUCAUGUACCAGGGCUGCUCUGGAAUCUGUCUUGGGAUCUUGUUGGUUUUCACAGGAUCCUCAAUUGCUGGCUUUCUAAAACCAAUAUAACUACCCACAAAGACAAGUGGGACAGAAAUGCCAAACCAUAAAAAGACCAAAGCAAACAUGGUUCCAAAUGGCACUGCACCAGAGGAUUUCUCGCCCCAAAUUAAAGCAUUUAGGACAAAGAAAAUGGCAAAGCAAAUUCCAGGGAACAUGAAAGCUGUUUUGAGAGUGAUUUACAUAUUUUUUCAUUUUCCAAAACUAGGAGAGAGAUUGCAGGGACUGUGGCUGGAAAGAAUUAUUGUUUAUAAAUAUAUAUAUAUAUUUUUUUUUGCUAUGAUGGCUGUCGGUGGUGGUGAUGCCGAUGGCUGGGUAUGCAUGAUGGUAGCUGCCGGUGCCUGUUGGUGGUGGUUGUCAGUGGUGGUGGCUGUGAACUGUGAAACGAAGAGGAAGAUGAAUACAACGCCAAAAGGUUGUGAGACAAAGAGGAAGAGAAGGUAAUUUGGGGCUGCCUUAACUAAGCCAAAACGACGUCGUUUUAAUGAGAUUGAAAACAAAAAACAAAAAAGUUGAAACGACGUCGUUUGGAUUAAUUUCGGGGUUUGACCCGGGGUUUGACUCGGGGUAAGUAGCAUUUUCCUUUAGGUAAUUUUUUUCGAUUAAUUUUUUAAUUUUCGAGAAUAAAGAGAGAGAGAAAAAAAAACAGAUGGGAUUAUGUUUGUCUGGGAGUGAUGUGAGGGGAGGGAAACAAGCCGUAGGUGGGGCCCACCUCCGGCCCACCAGCGCGGCUGAUCACCACAAUGUCUCUGGUCAAAAUGACGCCGUUGAUUUCUUCUUCAAAUCUCGCGGCCUUCAUGCCCUUUUCACCCAAAUCGAGGUAUGUGUGUGUACCUGAAUUAUAUGAGUCUUUCACUGCCACUAUUAAUAAACUAUUUUCAGUUAAUUAAUUAAUUAAGUAAAAAUCUAUGAUUAGUUUAUGUUUUUUAAUUUAUUUUUAAUUUUUUAAAUCUGAUUUCGUUCAUGUUGGUAAUUGUGAUGGAUUCUCAAAUGGUCACUCUUUUGAAAAUCUAUUAUCAAAUUAUGUUUGUUAUUAUUACUUAUUUGAUGACUUUUCAGUGUAACAUCGAACAACUUAAAUCAUUUAUAUUUGAUAAAAGUUAUUUGAUAAUUCGAACAUAACUAGAAAGUAGAUUCCUAUUCAAGAAUCAACCGCAAUCCCAAACAUGCCUUUUUUUUUUUAAUUUGUUCUGGUGGCUGAUCUUUUGCUAGUGUUGGUUCGACGGUUUCACACCAAGCAACUGCUUUUGUUUUGCAUAUGGAGAACAGUAAGUUUAACUGCUUAUACCCAAUGACAACAUUCUGUGAAGUGAAUUUUAGAUUAAGAUUGGUUAAGGUAAAUAAAAAAAGAAUGGUGUUGAAUGCACAGUGGCCUUGUGAACAUUGAAAAAGUCGAUGUUUGAUCCUGUUGAAUGCACAGUGGUUUUCCUGUGUAUCCUCCAAGUUGACUAUUCUGUUCUGCCUCAUUUAUCAAAUUUGACUCAUACCCCUCGUGAUCAAAUUUGACUUAUACCCCUCGUGAAGAUUCCCCAUGAUAGUGCUCCCCUGAUUGGAACAUGAUUUUGUGAAUGCUGGUUUGCAUAAGACAAACCAUUAACUUUAUAAAAGAUUGUGGAUUAAGGAUUAUGUUGUUACGAGGAUAAGAAUGUCUUUCCAUAACGUGGACCACCAAGUGAUUGUAAUAUUCCUGUAUUGAUGUGGACCUUACCUGAGGAUCUCCUUGCAAACUUUCCUGGAGAAAAGGCAACAAGUCAUAUGAUAACAAAUUAAAUGUGGUUCAAUGCUUGUAAUUGACGUGUCACAUCCUGUUGUUAUAUAAAACUUAAUUACAUAUAUUAUUGCUUGCUGCUUAUAAGAUUUAAUAUUAGAAGUGAUUCUGUCAGAAUCCGAAAUGAUGGUUUUCUGCAUGUUCUGUUUAUGACAGAUAUAUAUUGCCUGUCAGUUGACCCACAUCGUACUGACAAUUUUCAUUUCGUGCAGCAUAUGCAUGGAUUACUCCUUUUCCGCUUUUUCAUGUAUCUGUAUUCGUUCUUACGUUUUUGAAUAUAUAUUGCAGUUAUCUUUAUCUGCUUCAAAGUUACGUGAUCUUGACAUCGCAUCAAAGGUACGCCUUCAUAUCAUUGUUGUCUUAUGUCUGAUAAUGCCAUGUUCAUGCUGUUGAUAGUCUUGGUGAUUGAUUCUCAUGUUAUCUUGUAUCCUCCUUAUAUGAUCUGCUUAUUUGUUCAUAAUGGCCCUGUCAAUUUCCUUUCUCUGUUCAUAAAGGGUCUAGGGAUAUAUGAUCUGAAUAACGCUUAGCGCUGGCACCAAAAUUCUAAACUUAGACAAAGAAGAAUAGUUUGUUAUAUACACUGUCUAUCUCCAAUGUAAUCCAGUAAGGAGCAGUAACUUGAGAGUUCCAGAUAAUGUAGAACAAGUCAUGGUUGGUGGUUUUAUUGUUUUUGCAAUUUUGAGCACUAGUCAAAUAUGUUAUAUGGUUUUAUUGUUUUUGCAAUUUUGAGCACUAGUCAAAUAUGUUAUAUGUGCAAGAUAAAAUUCUUUGAUAAUGAACAUUUAUCAGCCGUAUAUCUUUUUACUGGCUGAUACUAGCAUACAUAAAAUGCUGCUGUAUUUUAACGAUGGAUUACUAACUAAAGUUAUUUAACUAAUAAAUGUCUAUAUUUAUAUGACAACUAAAGUUAUUUAACUAAUAUAUGUCUAUAUUUAUAUGACAUAAGUGGAUACAUACCCAUAUGCCUUCUGUUUUUUUUUUUUUUAUAUUCACAAGCAAAUGUAUUUACAUUCUUUUUGUGUCAUAGAGUGAUCCCAUGGCAGUUGUGUAUGCAAAGAAAAGAGAUGGGAGGCUGGACGAGAUUGGACGUACAGAGGUGAUUAUGAACAAUCUGAAUCCUGCUUGGAUUGGAAAGAUUUCAAUUGCUUUUCAGUUUGAGAUCGUCCAGCCCUUGCUGUAAGUUUUUAGUGUGUUCUUUUUAAAGUUUUUUUUUUCUUGAUAGGUCAUGCGCUUAAGCCUUGCUUGAUUUGAUAAUAUUUAAUGUUUUCGAAUUUCUUAAUGCUUUUCUUCUUUUUCCAGCUUUCGUGUGUAUGAUGUGGAUACCAAGUACCACAAUAUUCCAGUGAAGGUAUAAAAUUUCUUAAUUAUUUUUUUUUCUCUCAAUUCAGAUGUAAAUGAUACGCACAUACUUCAGUUCCAAAGUUUAGAGUUAGCCAAGGCAUUUGACUGAUCCAUUUGUUGUCUAAGCAUACGUCUAAACUAAAUUGCAUCAGCAAUAGUUUCUAUCAAUUUCGGGAAAUUUGGGAAUACUUGAUUGAUUAUAAACUAACAUUUAGCAUGGCAAGAAACUUAAAAAGUUGGCUGUCAUAUACCAUAAACAAAUCUUAAGGCCAGGGUAGUUAUUAUGGAACUUUCUGCUAUUGCAUCUUGCAAGGUUUGACAUAUUUGUCCUGCUACCAUAACUGGGAAAGAACAAUUUUUCUGAUGGUCCUUACGGCUAAAUUUUCUUUUUUCCAAAAUGGAAUUUUGAUCUAUGUUGUUAAAAACAAUACAGUUAAAUAGUUGUUGCCAUGGCCUAAAGAAGUUUCUGUAAAAAAUGACCAUAUUGUCAGUAUUGAAAUGGAUAAGUAAAUCUUUAGAGCCUAUGAUGUAUUCGUCUGUGGAAUUUGAGUCAAAAUGAAAAAAAUUUGAUGGUUAUAAUCCUAGAAACUGUAAUCAUUUGGAAGCAUUUGCUGAAAACAGUUAGAUAAUCUAAAAAUGUGAUGAUUAUUUAUGUCAAUUGUAAAUGGUAUUAACAUUACUGGGAAAAAUGAUAAAUAUGUAAAUUUAUGCCAGUGGAAAGAGAAAAUGAACAAAUCCAGAUGGAUUCUAAGACAUUAAGUAGGAAAUCUAGUGUUCUUUUGAUUCUUUACAGCAGUGAUCCCUAAUUACUUUCAAGUCAUUAUUAUCUCAUGACAAAAUAUUUGUUGAAGUGUGAAGUUUAAAGCUCAAACUUCUUAUUUACAUUGCCCUGCAGAUGCUAAAGUUGGAGGAUCAAGACUUCCUGGGAGAAGCUAGCUGUGUUCUCUCUGAGGUAAGUUUCUGGGUUAUAUUUUGUUUGAUGAAUUUAUGUAUUUUCUCUUUAUUCAAUGGGCAAAAUAUGCCCAUCUAAUUUUCUGUAAAAAUCUGUUUCCUAUAAAAAAAGGGCAAAAUAUUCUCAGAUGCUUUUUACUAGCAUUCGUCUUCUUCUUUAGCAUUCUUCUUUUGCACUAACAAGUGUCAUAUUUUCCUUUUAAAUGGCAGAUAGUGACCAAACAAAAUCGAACUUUAACCUUAAAACUCCAUAACAAUUAUGGGCUUCGAGUUUCAAGAAACUUUGGGAUACUCUCUGUCCAUGCUGAGGAAACGGUUGCUUCCAAAAGUGCUGUUGAAAUAGCAUUCCGUUGCUCGUAUUUGCAAAAUGUAGACCUGUUUUCCAAAAGUGUAAGUUCUGACAAAGUAGCUAAGUUUGGAGGUUCACUAAUUAAUCUAUUAAUUUAGAUGCUAUUUUUUCUUCUUCUUAUAUUGCAUAGGAUCCAUUCUUAAGAAUAUCUAGAAUUGUUGAGAGUGGGGAUUUGUUCCUAUCUACAAGACGGAGGUGAUAAACAAUAACUUGAAUCCCAUUUGGAGACCAAUAACUUUGAGCAUGCAGCAAUUUGUGAGCAAGGUAACCUUGUCAUCUUCUUGUGCUUGUUACUUAAAUGUAUAUUAGGUAGUGAAGUUUGGUCAUGGGGAAAUGUUUUUUAGUUUAUGAUUCACUUUGGUACAGGAAAACCCAUUAAUCAUUGAAUGUUUUGAUUUCAAUACCAGUGGAAAUCACGUACUGAUGGGGUAACUGUUAAAUUUCUUAAUGUCAUCAGCUUCCCUCUUUUAUCCUUUUGCCUUUCUGAUGUCAAGGUUUUCUAUUUCUGUUAUUAGUAAAAUUCAGAAAUCAGUUGGAGACCUGGAGAAACUUCAUCAAGAAAGAACUGGUGCAACUUUUAUGUUACCAUCAACUCAACGUGGCCAUGACAAGGUGUGUAUUCUUUUUUGUUUUAACUCCACCAAAGGUGUUUGUUCAUGCUUACAGUUUUUGAUAAUUUAAUAUCACUUUAUUUUUUAUCUGACUUUUUCCUAGGUUCUGAAAAGUCAGUUGUUUGUUGAAAAGUUUGUUGAGCAAGAGCAAUAUAGUUUUCUGGAUUACAUAUCUAGUGGGUUUGAGUUGAAUUUUAUGGUUGCAGUCGACUUUACAGGUAAUUAGAAAGAGAUUACUUGUUGAAGAUAAAUUUGCAAUAUAAUCUUUUUGUUUUGUUUAUUUCCUCUUAUUUGGUCCAAUUUCAUCUUGUCUCUCAUUAAAUGCAAAAUCAUCCAGCUUCAAAUGGAAAUCCUCGAAAUCCAAAUUCUUUGCACUAUAUUGAUCCUUCAGGCAGAUUGAAUUCUUACCAGCAGGUAAGGUUUUGUUAUGACUUGCACUUUGACAAGUGAUCUCUGAACUCUGAAGGUCAUAAAAUGGUCAUUUUGUCCAGUGUUUUCGACUUAGAAAAUGCCUGUGACUUUCAAGUCUUUCUGUGCCCGUCAUAGUGAGAUACAUAUUUCAAUAGUUUGUAGAAGUUGAGAGAGAAUAUCACUGAUUAGUUAUUGGCCUCUUAAACCAUUUACAGGCAAUAACGGAAAUUGGGGAGGUCAUACAAUUUUAUGAUUCUGAUAGACGCUUUCCUGCAUGGGGAUUUGGAGGGAAGACAUUUGAUGGCACUGUAUCACAUUGUUUUAACUUGAAUGGAAGAGCAGGUAGCUUUGAGGUAGGGGUAGCUGGAGUUCGCAACUUUGCUAUAAUCCUUAUUUGGUUGGCUUGUCUCCCAUAACUUUUCAUUUUUAAUAACAAACAAUAUAAUAUGUUUCCGCAUUUUUUUUAAAAUUUCCUUGGAAUUUUAUCCUAAAAGAUGUGUAUUUUAUCCUCUUCCAUUUUUUCAUUAACUGCUGGUUUCUUUAUUUAAUAGGUAGAUGGAGUUGAAGGCAUUAUGGCUGCUUAUGCAAGCGCUCUAAACAAUGUUUCUUUGGCAGGACCGACUCUGUUUGGUCAAGUCAUCAACACAGCUGCACGAAUUGCUGGACAGUCCCUCUCUUACGACAGAAGCAAGUAUUUCGUCUUACUCAUUAUAACGGUGAUUACAAUGAUUCUAUAUAUUCACAGUUUUCUCUUUCUAUCAUUCUUUUUGGGUGAUUUGUAAAUUUGCAUUGUCUAUUUAGGAUGGAGUUCUGACGGAUCUCCAAGAAACAAAAGAUGCUUUGGUAAGGGCUUCUGAUCUUCCCCUGUCAAUUCUAAUUGUGGGUGUGGGAGGUGCAGAUUUUACACAAAUGGAGGUACACAAUGUUUUCUAACUGGAAUAUCUUCUUACUAGCAUUGAACUUCUUUUUUCUAUAGUUUGAUAGAUUCAAUUUAGAGUACAUAUGCAGUGUGGUAUUACCCCACUUUUGUUGCAGAUUUUUGAUGCUGAUAACUUUGUUGGCAGAUUCUUGAUGCUGAUAAUGGCCGUAGAUUAGAGAGCUCUACUGAUCGGGUAGCUACCAGAGAUAUAGUACAAUUUGUUCCAAUGCGAGAAGUUCAUAGUGAGUGCAUAUGAUUCUUUGACAAAAUUAGUUCAAAAUAUUGAAUUUGGGAGUUAAUUCACAAAAGUUUCUGAAUUUUUUCAUGCCUUAACAAAUGAACACAUUGUUUUCUGAACAGGUGGACAAAUUUCUGUUGUACAAGCACUUUUGGAGGAGCUGCCUGGUCAGUUUCUGACCUACAUGCGCUGCAGAGAUAUCAAACCACUCAAUGUUCAGAUGGCCCAAACAUGCGCUUGAGUAAAUAUUCAUAUGUUUGGAAAGGAUACAAAACCAAGCUAAACAUAUUAGACAAAACCAAGCCAAACAUAUUAGGCUAUACAGACAUAACAUAGCAAAAAUUGAUAAUGGUACAUUACAUAUGUUAGGAUAUAGUGGUUUUAGAUGAUGGUAAAUUACAUAUGUUAAGAUAUAGUGGUUUAUAACUAACUUUUGAUGGCUUAAUGAAUUGAUUGAAUUUGUAUUUAGGUUCUAUCAAUGAUCUCAUAUUCUUCCCAUCCAUGUCUUUCGAUUUUUAUUAUUCCCUCUACCCACUUGUUUCACAAUUGUUUGUGUCUGAUGGCCUAAAACUCCAAUUUCUAAUGCUGUAUUAUCAUCUUUGUUGAAUAUUUACUACAAUGAACAUGUGCUGAAUAUCUACUUUUACUACUACACCAACAAUCUAACACAUGGCUCACGUGCACACAAGACAAGUCUGAUUCACACAUCUUUAAUUUAGAUUCUUAUAUAGUCUUUCAAGAUGUCUGAAACGGCAUAGAUGAAGGACCCUUCCACCAUUCAACCUGGAAUGAUGUGAGUGAAAGAAAUUUCCGAAAGUGUUGUAUUAUAACUCUUUGAAAUUGGGUUUGAGUAAUCAAGAGAAGCCAAAAUGUAGAACAAUAACAAUAAAAAAUGAAGGCCCUCUUACCGUCUUAACUUUGAUAGAAAAUACACGAGCUGCAUACCAUGUCUCACAAAUUUCAAUGAAAAUUGGCCUCAUUCCUGAUGCUGCACAGAAGGUUGGCCUGAAUCAUCUUUAUGAUUUUGGACUUCCUGUAAACAACGAACAAAACAAAUUGAAGGUGAAAGCAGGAACAACAGUUUUCAAAUAAAAUGGCAGUGCUUAAUCUAAUUCAACAGUAACUUUUGGGUCGCUCAGUAAUGAAUACGUACCUUUGUUUCAAGAUAUAUCUGUUGUAUGGUAGAAUUAAGGUCGCCCUUCCAAGUCCAAUACUCACCAGACAGCCAGCGUUUCUCUACUUCGUGUAAACUGGGAGUGCUUAAUUCUUUUCCAGAGAAAAUCUUCAUAUUGGGGCAUUUAUCCACACUUAAAUAUGUCAAAGCUGGGAACUUAAAGGCGCAGUUGCCAGAGCAGAAGCUUGUAAGUCUUCUUAAAUCACAAAGCUCCAAGUCCAUCAACUCGCUGAAAACAAUUUCAUCUUUUGCAGCAUUUCCCUCAUCAUCUGCCACUACUUCUGUUAUCAUGCUGCAGUCAACGAUACUCAUCUCUGUCAGUCGUACCAAACUCUUUGCUGUCGAGGAUGUUAGCACAUUUAUCAAUCCUUUGCAUCUCCACACCUUCAAAGUUGUCAGAUUCUGAAACGAUGUUGAAGGUGGCACUAGAUUAAUCAAAUGGUCACAAUACUCAACUGUUAGAUGAACCAAAUUGUCCAUUUUGGAUUCCUGGAUCAAAAUAUGCUUCAGAUCACAACAAUUGUGUAGAUUCCUUAUGAUUGCCUUCGUCCAAUUUUCUACUCCAUAUGAUGGCUUAACGCCCCCAACAUAUCCUCCUCCCCUUAUUGUGAGUUCUCUUAUGCUGUGAAAUCUCCGAAGGAAAUCAAGUGAUGAAAUAGUAGAUGACUCUUCAAAUAUAACAUCAAGAAAGUUGAGUUUGCAAAACAUGUCCUCUGGAAACUCAGCUGCCAUUGGUAUCUUCUUUCCUUCAAUGGUCAAAUAUUUCAAAUUGGGGAAUACCUGGUUGGAUGCAUGAUAAAUCAGGACCAAAAAGAAAACAUAAUGCCAAUUAUUAAGAGUAAAUUUUAAAUCUUGUACGUACCUCUUUUGUCAAGUCAUGAGCAGUUAAAAGGAAUUCAGGACACCUUAUUACUUCUAAAGUUUCCAAUGUUGGAAAUUCAAUGUGCACAUCUCCUGUGCAGAAGCUUGUGAGCUUUUAGAGAUCUACCAUCUUUAGAAAUUGUAACUGAGGGAACACAACAUUCUUCCUUUCUUGCUGGUCUAUGACUAUUAUCUCUUCCAAAAUAGGGCACUCAUCUAUCUCAAGGUGUUGGAGUCGAAUAAAGCUGUUAACUAUAGAAGAUGAAAACAGACAUCUUAAUUCCCCACAGCCAUAUACAAUCAACCGGGUUAAAGUUUGAAUGCCACAAGACAUGGCCGGAAGUUGGCUUUUCCAAAUCCUCUCCACAUUUACAUUAUACAGCUCCAAGGUCUCCAAGUUUGGUAACCCACCCUGUUCACAAAACUUUCCAACCGUUAUAUGAGGAGAUCAAAUUUAGUAUAUAAGUGCAUUCAGAGUACUUUUUCUUUCAUCCGAGAAUGUAUUUGUUACAUCUAUGUUACUCGGGAUGAAAAUUUUAAUAUAAUUAUGAAAUAUGUUCGCUAAUCCCUGAUUCACUCUAGCCUAUAUUUCCUAGGAAAGGAGAAUAUAUAAUAAAGCAGCAACAAAAAAAGGAAAAAAUCAUAAGAAUAUGACCAUUGGAUCAUUAAUAUCCGACCUUGAGGAAAAAUGUAUUAGGAACGUUGACAUGGUCCUCCAAAAUGAUUUCAUUGGAUCGCAUUUCACUUGUCGAUUCCUUGCAUCUCUGUUUAGAACAUAGUCAUACUCAUAAGAAAUGAAGAAUCUGUUUUUUGCAUUGGCUGCUUUGAUAUGUUCGAAAUUUAGGAAGAUCAUAUCAUACCUUUGACUCUUUCGGACUGGGGGCUUGACAACCUUCGACCCAGAGAUGCUUCAGUUGGGAAGAAUAAGAGCCCAAUUUGUUAUUAACUAAUUCAAUGAUAUCUUGGUCUGGCAAUCCAGAUAAACAAAGGUCUUCAAUUCGCUGAAGUUGCACGAUAUGCCCACUCUUGAAGCUGAUACAAUUGUCGGUGCCAAGGAGGAGUCUGAAUGUUCUAGAACACGUAGGUGAGGGAUCCUCCCAACACCAACGUCCAAUACAUAUUCUGUACCUUUCCAGUUUCUCGAAGAACAGCCCCUUCGGCAGAGUGUUGGCAUCUGGGAUGCAUAAUUCUAAGGUGGUCAAGUUAGGCAAACGCUUCAACUCUUCAAGGCUUGCAUUCUUGAUCCCUGCAGCUUCCACCUCCACUUCCCACUUAUUAAAGCUACGAAUGUAUAAUUCCUCCAAAUGGGAUAACUUUGAUAAAAGAUUUGGGGGAAUAACCUGUAGUCUGUCACAGUCUCUCAAAUCAAGCGACCUUAACCGAGUCAAUUGGCCUAUUUCCACAGGCAACUGCUCAAUAUAAGAACCCCUUAAGCAAAGGAUUUCUAGGUUCUUUAAUUCUCCUAUAACAGCUAUAUCUUGCAAUUCGCUGCAAUACAAACACAAUGUUCGAAGGUUUGUUAGGAGACCAAGUGAUGAAGGCAGUAAUGAUAGAUGCAUGCAAGUCAAGUCUAAAACUCUGACUUGCGUCAACUUCCUGAAAAAAUUGUCUGGAAGUGUGAUUAAUGAAGAUUUCUCAGUCCACAAAGAGAGAAGUUGCAGUUGAGGACAUUCCAAAACUUCAGGAAGAAGAACAUUCAUCUUGCUGUCGUGUAAGACAAUCGAAGUGUAAAACUUAAGCGCACCUUCAUCUAGCCAUUCCCGUGAAUUAACCAGUUCAUAUCUCAUCGUAAGCACAUUUUGUUCUCUGGUUGCAAUUGCUAUGGCAACAUCACGAACAACAUCAUGCAUAGAAAACCAAUGUUCAUUUUUGCUUCCAUGCUCAAGCAACAUACAAGAAGCCUUGAGUUUGUACACCAAUGUAUACACUCGAGCUCGUGCUUCUUCCAUCCUAUUGAUGCCUUGAAACAAACCCAAACCCAUGCCAUACAUUAACACGUCAUUAAUGGAUGAUAUGUAGGUGUAGCCUAUUAGCAAAAAGAUCUUCUUGAGCUCCUCUCCUUCUAAUUUGUUGUAACUCAACUCUAUAGCUGAAUAAGCAGCCGGCUGUAUAUCUUUAAAGUUCGUUGAGGAAGGCCUUCUUAACUGUCCCAAAGCGUCCUUCCAUUCAAAUAAUCUCUUAUUUCUCAACGCCCUCGCUACUGUUACAAUGGAAACAGGCAAACCUGCGCAUUCAUUUGCCACAUCCGUUGCCACCCAUUUGAAUUCACUACUGUUGAUAGACUCCCCUGCCAUCUUCUUGAAUAGACUCCAAGCUUCGUCUUUUCUUAGAACGCCAACUGAGAAAUUAUGUCGGCAAUCCAUCUUGCCAGACAAUAUAUCUUCACUUCUUGCCGUCAUCAAUAUUUUACACCCCUUGUGAUUAUCUCCGUGAGGAAUUCCUACAUCCUGCAAAUCAACACUUUCCCAAACAUUAUCUAAAAUUACAAGGAUCUUUUUCUCAUCCUUCAAUCGAUUAUAAAGACUCCUUGCCCUUCCAGAUUCGGUCUCUUCAAAAAAUAUGAGACCUAAUUUAUCAGCGAUUUCUCCUUGAAUCUUUCUUAUGUCUGGAAUCUGGGGCACCUCCACAAAAAUCACUUGAUCAAAUAGCUGGUCUCUCUUGAACUGAAUAGCAACCUCUUUUGCUAGUGUCGUCUUUCCGAUGCCGCCCAUUCCAUAAAUCCCAACCAUGUUCACAUCAGGAUCUUGUAAUGCACGAAGUGCAUUAUUCAAAGUGGAGAUUCUUGAUUCAAAUGCCUCGUAGUCUUUGUUAGAUAUAAGCCUUAUGUCCUCCAGAGCUUUACGGUAGGAAAUUCUAUCAAAUCUCCCAGCUUCCCGAAGUUUGACAAUAGCUUCGAAUUGCCUCACCGCUUCCUUGCUAAGCUGAUGGCGGGUCUUCAAAUUUGGACACAGCCCCAUGAAACAACGCUUGUUUGCUUUAUCUGCAUCGCCUGUAAAUUUCUCAGCCUCAGGAAUGAUGUUGUUGACACUUGCAAGCCAUUUCUCAACGUUCUUUUCGAUCUCUUCUCCUUUUCUUUUAGCCUCAUCAACCCCGUGCUGCAUACUGGCAGCGUCAUCCUUGAGCUUCUCAAGUUCAGUCUUGAGAUUCUCAAAGUUGCUCCUGUAGUUGCGCACAUAACUCAAUUGUCUUUCAGUGGGAGGACCCAAGCACUUUGCAACUUCUAACACAACAGUUACUAUGCUUUCCACCAUCUUCAAUUCUUUCCCUUUUCUCUCUUUUUUUUUUUUUUUGGGUCAAAUUUUAGAAUUUUGUAAAGUAUGUAGAUGUGAAGUGAAGCGAACCAAAAGGAAACUGAACAGAGACAACAACUAAAAAGAUGCAGAGAUGAAGAAGAAGAGAAGGGAUUUAUUGACAGCGUAAAAAUACAUCAGAAGAGUAGAUACAGAACAAAACAGAGACAAGUGUACAGGGAACAGAGCAAAGCUAAAUAAAGAAAACAGAUGCACGUACGAUUCGUAGUAAUGUUGAGAUCCGAAGAUUGUAAUAACUAAGGUGUUGCUUGAUCCAGUGAAAGGUCCAAAGAGUUGAUGGCAGAAAGGAGCAAAGCUGAAGAAUAAAAACGAUCAAGAUGAUUGAGAAUGUUGAUUGAGAUGGAGAACGACUUGCAUGGUUGGGAGAUGUGCGUCGGACAAAUGGUAGCCAAUUAUUUGAUUUUUACAGCGGGAUUCACUGACUUUAUAUUUUAAAAAAUUUAAGUCAGCAGAAUUAAUUAUUUUCAUUGAAAUGAACUCAAAGGCCAAAGAGUGGAGAAAGGAUGUGAAAAAGUUAUGCGAAACGUGAGGUGAUGAGAUAGUUAAGUUCACUGAUGCUCAAUAAUCAAUUUUAUAAAAAUAAAAGAUAAAAAAUAGUGAGAAUCCGAAAGUCGAAAGCCAAUAGAUUUCAUAAUGGGAUUCAUUCAUUAUUCCAUCACGGAACCGAACACCAAUAGGUUAUCCCACCAGCCACCACCUCAGCUUCCACGCAAGUUUCCCUCAUAUUUGAAUAGUUGGCCCACUCCUCAAGUCUUUGUCGACAAAAAAAGAAAAAGAAAAAGUAAACUAUGAAACUCGGGUGGAUCACAACUUGUAUAAAGAUUCCUGACAGUUGCUAAUGCUGCCGACAUGAUCUUCCAACUUGGAACUUGUAAGAUCGGUCAAGCUUUCUAGUUUCUACAGUAGCGUUUAAUUAAUGAAUAAUGAUGAUCAGUUUUGAUUAUUUGACGACGUUAGUACAAUGAGAGUAUUUGAGGUAAUUGAUCAAACAAAAAGAUUGCCCAUUCAUGAUCUAAUUGCCUAAAUAAUAAAAAUGCUUAGCCUCAGCUGACUUGUUCCAAAUCACUAAACAUUUGAGCAGGUAUUUUCAUCUUUUCGUUAUCACAUUCCUCUAAUCAAUUAGCGUUAAUCAACAAAAAUGAUUAAUAACGUAAAUGGAGGAACUUGGGCUCAAAUCUCUAAAUUAAACUCGUGAUCAUUAAUAUAAGCAAACUACAACAAGACUAUCUUGAUCAACGUUUUCAACUCAACAAAUAUAGACUACUAGUGUUUAGUUGUUAAUAAAAUUAACCAAAAAAAAACACACAAAUGUUGACAGCACAAGAAUAAUAAUAAUGUUUAAUUAUUUAUUAAAUUUAAACUAUGUUCAAGAGAGGACCCAACUUUUAUAUAUUUUAUUUUAAUGGCUUAAAGAAAUUACAAAGUUGAUGCCACAAUUUAUAGUUUUUUUUUUUUUACCUUUAAAAAAUCUUUGGAUUAACCGACAAUCAUCAUCAAUCCUCACCUAGGGUCGGGGGAGGAUCAAGAUGGUGCCUACAGUGAGCAAACAUGAUGGCAGAUGGUGUCCAAUUGACCCCCUAAACUUUUCUUUUUUCAUUGAUACUGUCAUGAAGUUACAUAAUUUCUUACAUAAUUGUCUCCAAUAAAUACCAAUAGGUAUACGAACGCAAACAUGACUCUGUUCAGUCAAUUCUAAGCCUAUCUUCUCUGCGAUUUCUCCUUGUAUAUUUUUUGUUUGCGGUGUUUGGGAAACACGUGAAGAAAUGACCUUCUCAAAGAGAUUAUUUUCCUUGACCUGCCUGCCAACUUCUUUCACCAGCGUUGUCUUUCCAAUGCCACCCAUCCCGUACACCCCAAUCAUGUUGAAGUUACGGUUGCUGAGUGCGUCUAGUAUCUCCUUCAAGGUGGACUUUCUCGAUUCAAAGUGCAUGAAAUCCAGGGUAGACUUAAGCCAUGUCUCCUCUGGAAUCGUACGGAAGGAAACACUGUCGAAUCUCCCUUUUUCAUGGAGUCCAACUAUAGCAUUCGCUUCUCUUUCUGCUUUCUUGCUAAGCUGGUACCGAGUCUUCAAAUUAGGACACAACCCUUUCAGACACCGGUUGUUUGACUUCUCUUUGUCUUCAAUAAGUGUUUCGACUUCGUUGAUUGCCUCGUCCACAGUAAUCAGCCACUCCUCAACGUGCUGUUGAAUUCCGUCCCAUUUAAUUCUGGAAUCAUCAACCUUAUAUUGCACAUUGUCUCUAGCAUUCCUGAGCUUAUCGACUUCAUUAUUCAGCUUCUCGAAGUUGGUCUUAUAAGUGCAGCAGUAAGUAAAUGGAUGAAUUAUGGGAGCAACCAAGUACUCUGUAACUUUUGCAGCAACGGAAAUAACAAUAUCCAUUAUCCCUUUCUUUUUUAUUUUUUGCUCUUAGAAAACAGGGGAAAGCAAAACUAAUCAAACUGAGCAGAACUAAUCAAUCAGUUGUGAAGAGGGAAAUAAGAAGUUUGGAUAAAUUGUUAAAAUAAAAGGUUGAAUAGAUUUAAGGGAGGAGGAGGGGAAAGGAGUGAAAAACCUGGAGAUGAAACAAAGGGGGAUCCAUUUUCUGCUAAGACAAAUUGAAAAGCGAUUGCAAUGAAAGAUUUGCAAAGAAGGUGUAGGAUCGAGGACAAGAACGAUUCAGAAACGGGAGACAGAAAAUGAAGAAGAGAUUUCAGAGAACUCUGGAGAUAAGGGAAAUGCAGAGGCAGACAGUUGUCAUCUCAAGUUUCAAAGGGUAAUCUGAACUUUAGUUGUGAUACAAAUAAAAUGAAAAAAAAAAAAGGGUUGUGUGGUCGUGUGGGUUCCUCGAAAUCACUUCGGCAUUUAAUCGAACGGUUGGAUGUACUCAGCAUCUACACUUCCGCGAAGGUUCCUGGAAGUUGCAAGUGCUGAGGGCAUUUUCAAACUCGGAAGGUUUCAAUAAUUCUUUUUCUUUGAAAGAAAGGUUUCAAUAAUUAGCUUUGAUAAUUGUGUAAUAUACGAUAAUCUAGUGAUGAUGAUGACUUGUAUAUGUGAUUAAAAGCUAAGCUGGUGGAUUUGUAAGUAAGAACACACGGCAAAGUAUUUGUGCAAGCAUUUUUAUCUUCUUAUUGCCACAUUCUUCUAAUCAAUUUGCUUUCACCAACAAAAAUAAUCAAUAAUUUGUAAAUAUUAUGAUAAUGCAUACUUAAGCUCAAAUUUUGACAAUACCUGAAUGAUAAUGCAUACUUAUUUUUCAAGGGUAAACUCUAUUCAAGAGAGGAUCUCAAUUUUCUAUUAGUUUCUUCAAAUGGGCAUUUUAUCCAACAGUUGAUGUACUCGGAAACUUACACGAAGGUUCCAGGGAGUUGCAAGUGCCGCCGGCAUUUUUCAAAUAAUCAAGUGAUUAUUGAGUAAUAAUUAACUUUGAUUAUUGAGUAAUAAAUAUAUGAUAAUCAAGUGACUUUAAUAUGUAAACAGUAGGAUUUUGGGCUCAAAUCGUUAAAUUAAAUCGUGAUCAUUUUAUCAUUAAACUCGAACUCUAUCUUGAUUAAUGAACAAAUGUUAGAAAUUAGUUGUUAAUAAAAUAUAAAAGAACGUUAAAAAACAAAAAAAAAAUCAGGCUGGAUUUUUCAGGAAUAAAUCUUCAAGAAACUAAAUAUGCCGAAUUGAAGUUAUUAAAAUGAAAAGCUUAUGUAUUAUAUUCACUCCAUCAAGUAUGAAGCAUAUAAUCAAUUGAUCUACAAGCAAUAGACAUAAAAAAAAAUCAAAUGGUAGAAUAGAAUACAAGCAUCAGCAUUAGAUGACAGGAAAAGAGCUCAUUAACAAAUUAUAUGAGUGAUAAUACAACUGUUGAUGCUGAAAUCUGCUCGCCCUUUGCCUGACCAGACCUUUACACUAACGUUUAUGUAGUCAAUAGUGAGGAUGUCAAUUUCUUCUUGCUUCAACGAACGCUCUAGUCACUGAAGUUGGAAUUGUCCUUCCUUCUCCCACUGAGCAUGCGUUCACAAAAGUAGAUCAGAGACGCCGGUGGUUUUACCGGCGUAAACCCUCCGAUGCCUAAGUUAGCACAAGGUGUUUACGGGAAAACGGUGCAAUUUGGAUUCGAUAAGUUGCUUAUAAUUGGCUCACAAUUUGUAUUAAAAAUGGUCUGGUUUCAAUUUGGCAAAGUUUUCCCCUCUCUCAAUUUUUAUGUCCCCAUCUUCAUUGGUUUCUUCCUCUUUUAUAGCCGCUGUUCCACGUUUCCGUUCACCCUUCAUCUCGCUCUUUGGGGAAUGGGUAUCUGCUCGGUAUAUGUCUCUGGUCAGUGUAUUCCUCUGGCUGAUAUUCAUCUCUGGUCGGUGUAUUCCUCUGGCUGAUAUUCGUCUUUGGUCGGCCCAUGUUGGUAGAGGGCUCAUUAUCAGUGUUCUGCUCGUAUCAUUUGGCUGAGGUGAUCCAUGCCGGGGUGGGGAUGAUGGCCUGUCUGUGCUGAUGCUCUUAUUUACUCAACACCAGUCCCCCAGUUUCUGGUCUUGCGAGUGAAACGAGUUGAGAGUAGAAACUGAAGUCUGCUCGUAUCUUAUCGAUCCUGGGAACUACCCAUCUGGUUCUCGUGUUAUUGCGGUGGGUCUGAGGUUCCAUCUCUUGUCUAAGGAGAUAUCGGCCUGAGUAUGGGCCUUGACGAAUGUAUCUAGUAUCUAUUUGGGCUUACAUCUCGUCGAGCCUUUUAUAACGGUUAGUGACGUGGCGCUUUCCGACUCUUCGUAUUUGAAAUUCGAAACGACGGGCUAUCCAUCCUCGAUAUACGGUGAGUGAGCUGGCAUCCCUAUCACUCAAACGCUUUCAUUUCCCCCUUUUUGUUUCAAAUCCCUAAACUAAAGUCAUCCUCGUUUUGCUUAUUCGCUUCUCCGCCGUAAGACAACUCCUUCGAACUUUAUUCACACUUUUCGCGUCUGGGAUCUCCAUUUGCUGGGUCUUUUCUCCGUUACAGCAACGCUUAUCGGUGCCAGUCCAUUCCAGGUACAUCAUUUAACCUCUUCUUUGGUUAUUGUUGAUUGGGUUUUGUAUUGUGGGUUCUGUGUUUGUCCCUUUUUUGCAUCCAUACUUUUAGAUAUUUUGUGCUUUCCCUUCUUAAACUUCGGUAUGUCCAACCGAAAAGGAAAAAGAAUUGUAGUCAAGAGCGAUGAAGAGAUAGAGGAUUCAUAUCCUCAUUUGUUUGGACCCAGUGAUCUUCUUCACUCCUCUCGCAAUGUAGGUCCCUCAUAUCAUAGGAAUACCCCUGAAUACCCUCGUCCCAUGGCUAUUUCACCCUCCCUUGAAUUAGAGCUUGUAGGAAAUAGAGGUGGAUCCGCAUCGGGCUCUGGUGAGAAUCAUGGUUCUGGUAGGAUUGGGGUUCCUGAAGAAGUGGGUGACGGUGAGGGGAGUAGUUCCGAACCGAACAGACCUCCUUAUAAGAGAAACCUAGGGUGGAGGCAGAUUCUUACCCUAUUGAUUACAUAGCUUGUGCCACCACCCCAACUGACCUGUUCAAACUUAGGAAUCUAUACAACAUUCCCGAAGAGGUUCUCCUUGUAAUUCCUGGGAAAAACGACGUUCCUAGUCGGCCUCCGAGGGGGUAUGUGACGAUGCACCUGGAGAGUUUCAAACUAGGAGCUCGGCUGCCCCUUCAGCGCUACUUUGCCCAGAUACUGGGUGGUAUACACCUGGCCCCAGGUCAGUUACACCCAAAAGGGUGGAGGGUUCUCUCAGCUAUGUAUGUGCUAUGGGAGAGGUGCGGAUCAGAGGAACCUUCCCUUGUUGAAGUAAAGCAUCUGUACCAGCUGCGGAGUAGCCCAAAGGAAGGGGGCUGGUACUACUUUAUGUCCAGCUCUGUAAAGAGGAAGCCGAUCACCGGGUUUCCUUCUUCAUGUAAAAAUUGGAAGAACAAAUUCUUCUUUGCUGGAGGAAAUUAAUGUCCAGCAGCUCGGUCGCUUGGUGGUGAUAUUCACCUUCCAACGCACUUUGUCACCCUAAGUCGUUUAUUUAUUGCCUAUUUUCUUUCUCCAAUCGUCACUUAUUGGGCUCUUUAACCUUGUUUGCUAUUUCAGAGUCGUGGGGUUUGAUCGAGGGGCUUGAAGAGAGACAUUUGCUCCAGGUAGAGACUGCUUUGGUGAACACAUCUACCUGCCAAGAUCUUCUGUCAUUAACAAACCUGGUCGGGUCACGCUUAGUGGACGUAGCUGUCGGAAUGGACAACAAGAUCCUAAGUGCAAUGACUAGGAAGCGUGGUCGGGCUCUAAGCAGCUCCAGUAACCCCCUUCCCCCUUCGAAGAAAAUCAAUGUUAGUCCAUCCAAGGCUUCUGCUCCUGCUCUGCUCCUUCCUCCACUUCGGAAGAAUGGAGGAGAGAAGGUGACUGACAAGUGUCCUGAGGUCAGUAUUCAUUCAGGAGAUCGAUCCUCUCCUCUUCCACUUCGGGAUCAAGGUGACUAUUUGACCCUAUAUCAAAGGGACUAUGGGAAGUCCGUGGGGCCUAAAAUGAUUAAGGACAUCGAGAGCAUGAAUCUUGGUGAAUUGGCUGGUUCUGUCCAGCGGGUCUCCUUCAAGCUGGCUACUCUGGUGUCUUGUUAUAAGAACAGGGCCAUACGUCAUGAGAGGAGGCUUCAGGCUGAUAACCAGGAUCUGAAGAAGAAAGCUGAGUCUGCCGACUGCUCGAAGGAGAAGCUGCUUGAUCUGCACAAGCAAAUCAUGGACCUGGAGGAGAAAGUGGCCAUGGCUGAGUCCACCUCCAUCAAGCUUGAGAAUGAGUUGGGUGAUCUGAAGUCUGAUCACCAGGCCACUCAGAGUGAGCGGGAUACCUUGAAUACGGCUCUUGAGGGCGAAAUCAAAUCUCUGAGUGAGCAAUUGGCCGAGGUGAAAAGCAAAUCUGCUGAUGUGGAUGAUCGGCUAGAUGCAAAGUAUGACUCUGGGGUUGCUUUCUGCUAUAAGUGCAUCAUGUCUGUGCUUAAGGAAGAGUAUUCAGAGCUUAACAUGAACAAGUUUGAGGCUGGAGUGCAAAGGUAUAUGGCCGAGGUCGACCAGGGGGACAAGGAGCAGGGUGACCAAGACCGGGUGGAGGCUCCCUUAGGUGGGGUGCAGGAGGAGGAAGCAGGGGAUCGUGCUCCUGAAGUAGGUCAAUGGUCAGUGCUUCCUCCCCCCGAUGCUGCUAAUCCUCUUCUUUAUGAGAUUGCUGAUCCUUCAGUUGUUGAGGUUGCUGAACCUCCUAAUCUUUAGGCUUAUUUUUGUAUGAAUUUUCAUUUUGUUUGCAAACGCUCGGAUAUUUAUAAAUUUUUGGAUGCUUUCUAUCGGCCUUCCUAUCUGGUUUUUUGCUCAUGGAUUGUUUCUGCAAAUUAACUUGACAAUUUAUUUGAUUUUACCUGCUGGCUCUUUGGUGGACCGAGCAGGAAUAGACGCUUACUUGCCUUAGUAGAAUUUCAUAAAACCGCCUGCUGGUCCUUUCAGCGACCGAGCAGGAAUAAGCGCUUGCUUGCCUUAGUAGAACUUCGCAAAAUUGCCUGCUGGCCUUUUGUUGACCGAGCAGGAAUAGGCACUUGUUUGCCUUAGUAGAAUUUUAUAAAAUUACCUGCUGGUCUUUCGUUGACCUAGUAGGAAUAGGCACUUGUUUGCCUUAGUAGAAUUUUGUAAAAUUGCAUGCUGGUCUUUCGUUGACUGAGCAGGAAUAGGCACUUGUUUGCCUUAGUAGAAUUUUGUAAAAUUGCCUGCUGGUCUUUCUGACCGAGCAGGAAUAGGCACUUGUUUGCCUUAGUAGAAUUUUGUAAAAUUGCCUGCUGGUCUUUCGUUGACCGAGCAGGAAUAGACACUUGUUUGCCUUAGUAGAAUUUUAUAAAAUUGCCUGCUGGUCUUUCGUUGACCGAGCAGGAAAAGACACUUGCUUUCCUUAAGAGAAUUCAAUGGGCUUGCUAGUAGGGGGAUUUCAUGCUGAAUUCAUCUUUAUUGAAACUUAAAUGCAUUACAGAAUAUGCGAAAUAUAUGCAUGUGCAACAAGUCAUCAUGCAUUUAAUAGAAAUAAUUUAUCAAAAUGAAGACUUAGUAGAGCACUUUGCUUACUGGAAAUACUUCUUCAAGUGCUCGGCGUUCCACGACCUCUCGUCCAUCUAAGUACGCUAGCUUGUAAGCUCCUGGUCCAGUCGCUCGUAUCACCAUGUACCGGCCUUCCCAUUUCGGGCCAAGAGCGCCAUGGUUAGGAUCCCUAGUGUUUUGGUUCACCUUCCUAAGUACCCAAUCCCCUGCUCGGAACUGCCUCACGCGUACGUUCUUGUUGUAAUAACGCAUGACUCUUUGCUGACACUGGGCCACUUUCUGUGAGGCCCCUUCCCUUUUCUCCUCCAGCAGGUCCAGGCUCAAGCAGAUCUGCUCGUCGUUUUGCUCCUCGUUGAAGUAUUCUGUCCGAUGUGUCCCCACUCCAAUUUCUGCUGGGACUACCGCCUCAUGACCAAAAGCCAAAGCAAACGGAGUUUCCCCUGUGGCGGUUUUGUGAGUUGUCCGGUAAGCCCACAAUACCCUUGGUAGCUCGUCGACCCAAGCUCCCUUCUCCUCUCCCAGUCUGGUUUUCAGGAGUUUCUUUAUUACUUUGAUGGCUGCUUCCACCUGUUCGUUUGCCUGGGGGUGUGCGGGGGUACAGAACUUCAGGUCCACCCCAAAGUUUCGGCAAAAUUCUCUGAAGUUGUUAUUGUCAAAUUGCCUCCCAUUGUCUGUAAUGAUGGCAUAUGGGAUCCCAUAUCUGCAGAUGAUAUUCUUCCAAAUAAAAUCCGUUGUCUUUCUCUCCGUGAUUUAGCUGAGGACUCCCACUUCUACCCACUUGGUAAAGUAGUCUAUUGCCACAAUUGCAUGUGUCGCCGCUCCUCGGCCUUUAGGUAAUGGACCAAUCAGGUCAAUUCCCCAUUGGGCAAAAGGCCAUAGGGAUGUCAUGGUGGUCAGCUUUUCUGGGGUUGUGCAGGAACCUCUGAGAAGCUUUGGCAGAUUUUACAGUUCUUUGCCAUCCUUUUCGCAUCCUGGUGCAUGGUUGGCUAGAAGUAUCCUUACUGGAGUGCCUUGAAGGUUAAAGUUCUCACUCCCGAGUGAUUGCCACAUAUUCCUUCAUGAAUCUCCCUCAGUACAUAAUCUGCUUCCUCGUCAUCUAAACACCUCAAAAGGGGCAAGGUGAAUCCUCGGCAGUAGAGCACCCUAUCGAGUAGCAUAUACCUUGCUGCUCGGCAUUUUAAUUUCCUUGCUUGCCUCUUGUCCUCCGGUAAAAUGCCAUCACGGAUGUAUAAGAGAAUCGGGUCCAUCCAGGAUUCCUCGGUGCUUAUUCUCAUUACCUCAACUUCCUUCCUUAUACUUGGCGAGGUCCUCACCUAUAGUGGAACUGACUUAGAUAAUUUCGGAUCUACAAUUGCAGCCAUUCUCGCCAACAUAUCUGCUCGGUAAUUCUCAUUCCGGGAUAUCUGCUUUACCUCUACCUCUUGGAAAAGCCCAACCAUCUGCUUUGCCUUCUUCAAAUAAAGCCCCAUCUUCUCUUCCCUUGCUUGGAACUGAUUACUGAGCUGAUUACAGACUAAUUGGGAAUCUGCUCGGAUUUCUACCUUUUCUGCUCUUAGUGCGUGCGCAAGUCCGAGUCCAGUGAUAAAGGCUUCAUAUUCAGCUUGGUUGUUCGUGAGCGGAAACUCGAACUUCACUGCAUAAGUUACUUCGGUCCCUUUUGGGCUUCGUAUUACAAUUCCUGCUCCGGACCCUUGUUCACUACAUGACCCAUCAACCAUUACUAGCCAUACCCCAUCCAGUUUAUCCUACUCUAUUGGUUGCUCUUCCCGAAUUUCUUCCCCUGCUUCAGCACGGUCAACCAUAAAAUCGGACAGGGCUUGGGCUUUUAUUGCUCCUCGAGGCCUAUAGGAUAGGUCAAAUUCGCUCAGCUCCACGGACCAUUUUACUAAUCGACCUGAUGCAUCUGGUUUUUGGACCAUUUGCCGAAAAGGCUAGUCAUUCAUCACAACUAUUGGGUGGGCCUGAAAAUAUGGUCGGCGUUUGCGCGCUGCCGUUAUUAGAGCUAGUGCCCAUUUCUCCAUCGGCGGAUACCUGGUUUCUGCGUCUACUAGGGCCUUGCUUGUGUAGUAUACGGGGUGUUGCUUUCCUUCUUCUUCUCUGACUAGCACCGAGCUGGUUGCCCAUUUUGAGAUUGCUAAGUACAAAAACAGCUGGUCACCCUCUCUCGUAGUUGAUAGUAACGGGGCGCGGGCUAAGUAAUCCUUCAGCUGUCCAAACGCCUCAUCACAUUCCGAUGUCCACUCCAUCUUUCUCCCUUUCAUUAUGGUUUGGAAGAAAGGGUGGAAUUUAUCUAUGGCCCGCGAGAUAAAUUGGUUCAAUGCUGCCAAUUUCCCUGUAAGACUGUGCACCUCCUUAACUGUUCGUAGGGACCUCAUUUCUGUCACCGCCCGUAUUUUUUUCGGGUUGGCCUCGAUCCCUCAGUUGCUCACCAGGAAUCCCAAGAAUUUGCCCGAGCUGACCCCGAAUGCACAUUUGUCUGGGUUCAGCUUCAUUUCGUACUUCCUCAGCAACUCAAAGGUCUCUUCCAAGUGCUUCACAUGAUCCCUUGGUUCUUUGAACUUUGUGAUCAUAUCAUCCACAUACACCUCUAUAGUAUGGCCGAUCAAUGGUUUGAAGAUCUUGUUCACCAACCUUUGAUAGGUAGCUCUUGUAUUUUUUAGACCGAAAGGCAUUACCCUGUAACAAGACAAACCCAUAUUAGUUAUGAAGGUGGUGCUUUCCUCAUCCUACUCGUCCAUGGGUAUCUGGUUGUAUCUGAAAAAGGCAUCCAUGAAGCUGAGCAGACUGUGGCCCGCUGUUGAGUCCACCAAUUGAUCUAUUUUUGGUAGGGGAAAACUGUCCUUCGGGCACACCUUAUUGAGGUCCUUAAAAUCCACACACAUUCUCCAUUUCCCGUUGGCCUUCUUUACCAGUACUACAUUAGAAAUCCACUCCGGGUAUUUGGCCUCCCUUAUAAAUCCUGCUUUCAGCAGCUUUUCCACCUCGGCAUUUAUGGCCUCGUACCUUUCCUGGUUAAAACACCUCAUUUUCUGCCUUACCGGCCUUGCUCCUUUCUUGAUCGCCAAUUUGUGGUAUGCUGCCCUGCGAUCAAUUCCUGGCAUGUUCUCAUGAGACCAGGCAAAUAUGUCUGCAUGAGACUGUAGACACCUCACCAGCUCGCCCUUUAUUGUCUCACCCAAUCUCGACCCGAUCCUAACCACUCUGCUCGGGUUACUCCUACUCACAAAGACCUCCUCCAGAUUCUCAACAGGUUCCUGGCGACCCUUUCUAGAAUCCUCUCGGUUAUCUAGAGAGGUAACUUGUAGCGUCUCCUUGGCCGCUGUAGCAUAACAACUCCUUGCCAUUCUCUGGUCACCUUUUACUACGCCAACAACUCCAUUUACUCUAUACUUCAAUGCCAGAUAAUGCGUGGAUAUAACGCAUUGGCUUAUCCUCAUGAACGGUCUCCCCAGUAUCAUCUGGUAAGGGCUUCUUUCUUCUACCACGACAAAGUCCAGCAUCAUCGUUCUUUCAAAUGGCUUUGACCUCAUAGUAAUCGAGAGUUCGAUGAUCCCCAUGGGAGUUAACCGUCCCCCUCCAAAUCCCUUCAAGGAUGUAUUCGUCCGUUCCAGUUUCAAGUCUGAAAUUCCCAUAUCAUCUAAGGUCGAUUUAAACAGGAUGUCAACCGAGCUGCCCGUGUCUACCAGUAUUCGCCGCAACUCUAUACCAGCCACCCUUGCUUUAAUCACCAGUGCAUCCUCUCAUACAAUUCUUCCAUGGAGAUUUUUAAUGGGGUGUAUUGUCUAUGCGCCAAGCUCUGAUCAACCAGUUGGACUGCUCGGCUAUCAUGGAUAUCGCCCCGGGCUGAUAUCGUAGGCAACUGAUUUGGUCGUCCAGCCCUGGAGUUAGUUGUGUGUAGUGCUAUGGGAGCAUUGUGGUAAGGGUGGGCAACCAACUGCCUAAAUUCUCGUUGUCGUUCCGGGAACGGGGGGGGGGGGACGGUGGUUGAGCCCGGCUGUGUUGGAGCUGUUGUGGUCUCUGAGCUAUGGGAUAAGGGUGGGACCGAGUUGAUAUUCCGUCCAUUACUGAGGAUUCCCCAGCUCGCUUUUCCGAUCCGCUCCCGUUCGGGGCUCUCCGUUCCUUUCGUCUCAGCUCUUCUAGCUAUUCACUUUUUAUCCUCGCCGAUUUCUCCUCUUCGAUUUCUAUAUCUCUCCUUGCCUGAUCAUACCCCGCCGAAUAAUUCUGCACCAAGGGACUUCUCAAGUUAUACCACAGUCAGCUUAUUCUCACCCCCUCUUUUAAUCCCCUCAGUGCCUGCGGGUGAUUAAAAGCUUCCAGAUCUAGCACGGCUCGGUGAUAUCGUUUUAUAAAAUCCCGAAGGGAUUCAUGUUCCUCUUGUUUCAUCCCCAUCAGCUCCAUCAUGUCGUCCUCUGGGGCCACUGCUCCUCGAAACUGCUCGGCCAACUCUUGGCACAUUUGCUCGUACCUUUUUAUACUUCCUCGGGGCAACUUGUGGUAUCAUUCUCGGGCUCGUCCCUCUAGUGUCAACGGGAACACCCUACACCUCUGAGCUGGUGUCAGCCCCUGCACACCCGUCAUGUCGUUGAAACGUUCAAUAUGCACCAGCGGGUCACUUCGCCCGGAGUAUUUGAGGUCGGGGAAGCAAAAAUUUCUUGGGAUUACAGUACCCAUGAUUUCGGUUGAUAACGGAGACUCUUCAUCUAGCAUUAUCCCCCAGCUCAGGGGCUUUCUCUUGCCCUAAAUCUCCUCCAUCACCUGCGCCAAUCUGCGCACCUCUCCCUCCAAUUCUAUAGCACGGUCAGGAUCGCGCACAGCUAUCUGAUCUCGUUCCUGCUCGGCAUUCUGCAACCGCUGUCUGAGCUCUCCUUCAUUAACACUGGCCCCUCGGCCAUCAAUUUCCAGUACCUGUCCGGGGCGAGGUUGGUCCCUCCCUUUAUCCACGCACUCUCCAUGAACUCGACCAGUACUUCUACAGGGAUGCACCCCAUUAAGUUGGUCUGCCGGCAGAGGGAUUUCCUCUACUUUACGCCUCCGAAGGCUGGGUUCUGCUUCAACUUCAUCUCUCCCCAUGGGGGUUUCACAAUCCCUUCUCCGCUCAUCCCUCAGCUCAUAUAAUAUGGCCGUGAGAGUAUCCAUUUGUUUCUCUAUCCGCUCCAGUCGAUCUUGCAUUGUCCUCUCUCGAGCUUCAUUCACAAUUUUCCGGAAAGUGAUUGUUUCAACAGUUUCAUUGUCAUCCCUCAAAGCAUCCUUCCUUGACGCAUCCAUAUCCAACCGUUCGCUGCUUCUCCGGUAACUACUAAUUUGAUGGUAGCUUUUUAUUCAACUCCCCACAGACGGCGCCAAAAUGUUGAUGCUGAAAUCUGCUCGCUCUUUGCCCGACCAGACCUUUACACCAACGUUUAUGUAGUCAAUAGUGAGGAUGUCAAUUUCUUCUUGCUUCAACGAACGCUCUAGUCACUAAAGUUGGAAUUGUCCUUCCUUCUCCCACUGAGCCUGCGUUCACAAAAGUAGAUCAGAGAUGCCGGUGGUUUUACCGGAGUAAAAUCUUCGAUGCCUAUGUUAGCACAAAGUGUUUACGGGAAAAUGAUGCAAUUUGGAUUCGAUAAGUUGCUUAUAAUUGGCUCACAGUUUGUAUUAAAAAUGGUCUGAUUUCAAUUUGGCAGAGUUUUUCCCUCUCUCAAUUUUUCUGUCCCCUUCUUCAUUGGUUUCUUCCUCUUUUAUAGCCGCUGUCCCACGUUUCCGUUCACCCUUCAUCCCCCCCUUAUCUCGGGUAGUGGCAGCCCCUCAUGGGACUCCAACCGCUAUAUCGUGGGUAAACGUGGGACACUGUGUCUCCCUCGACGGUUCUGGGCAUAGCGCAACUGUCGUGCUUUCGUGAGAUCGUGUUCCCGCUCUUUGGGGAAUGAGUAUCUGCUCAGUAUAUGUCUCUACUCGGUGUAUUCCUCUGGCUGAUAUUCGUCUUUGGUCGGUGUAUUCCUCUGGCUGAUAUUCGUCUUUGGUCGGUGUAUUCCUCUGGCUGAUAUUCGUCUCUGGUCGACCCAUGUUGGUAGAAGGCUCAUUAUCAAUGUUCUGCUCAUAUUAUUUGGCUGAGGUGAUCCAUGCCGGGAUGGGGAUGAUGGCCUGUCUGUGCUGGUGCUCUUAUUUACUCAACACCAACUUGAAUCAAACUGACGUCCCCAGUUGAGAAGAGUUAAAUUAAAUAAUAUUUUGGUGAUUUCAUGUGCGUAAAAUUAUAAAUUUAUAACCAUCAAUAUAUCACCAGACUUUGUAAAGUUAAUGUGAAAAUGCAUCACAAUUGUACUUAUUAUCUUUUUUCUGUUUUUCUUUUCCAAAUAGUCUAAUACCAAUGGCGUGCCCUCGUGGGUCCUCAAAUUAUUCAAAUGGGCAUUUCAUCGAACAGUGGAUAUACUCGGCAUGUGCACUUAGAAGACGCGUUCAAAAGCUCUAAAUCAUGUUAAAGUCGACCAAAAAGACAAAACAUAGAAAGCGACAAUCCAACAACUAGGUAAAAAUAUUCGCUGUCACAAAUGGUUGGGAAAUUUACAGUAAUAACCAUUAAAAUUUUGAUUUUUUUCAUCUUAACCUCCCAAAAAUAUUUCUAUCAACAUUAGCCAUAAAACAACCUUUGAGACCAAAAUACCCCUCUCCCUCAUCUCUCCCCCAACAUUCCCUUUCACUCAUCUCUCCCAAACCGAUCCAACUCCCAUCAUCGGCGGCAACAUCAACCCUCGUCGGCGGCGGCUCCAUCUCUCACCGACAUCCGAUCUACGAUCUACAACCUUCAAGGUUAGUCAUUUUUCUUAUUUUCAUUAAUUUAAAAUGAAAUUUUAGAAUAAUAAUAGUUAUAGCUUGAGAAUAAUGGUGGUGGUGGUGGUGUUUGUGGUGGUUGGUGGUGUUUGGGAGCAUUGUUUUUUGAUUUUGGAGUGUUGUGGCUUAAUUUUAGAGUGGCCUUUUUUUUAAAGAGUCAAUUUUUUUUAUGUAAAUAUAAUGUAAUAAUUUUAUAAAUAUUAUAGAUACAUGGCGAAAUCAGAAUCACCAGAUAUCGAAGUAGGCAAUAUGUAUUUUUGUUAUGCCGAUCACUUUCCUGGUCGAAUUUUGAGCAUGUGUAAGUUAUCUUCGGUCGUAAAAGCCAUCGAGGAAAAAUUAACAAAGCGGCAGUUGAGUAUGUUAAAAAAUGAUAUAUUUGGGCAUUUCUUGGAGUGUCAAAGUUUUUCAUUUAGUAGGGUAAUUUUGCACAAUCUUUUACUGAGGCAAGUGGCCCAUGAAGAAGAUAGCCGUGAGGAUCAGUUAUGGUUUCAAAUUGGUGAGCAUUUGAUUCGCUUGUCAAUUGUCGAAUGGUGCUUGGUUACUGGACUUUCAUUUGGUGUUGAUACCAAACGAAAAAUUGAUGAAAUGGAGGAGAGGCUACGAAAUACGUAUUUUGGUGGUGUGCAUCGUAAGAUUAAUGUGAACGAAUUCGAUGCAGUAUUUAAGGAGUUGAAAUUCGAGGAAAUGGACGAUAUGGACGCAUUAAAGAUUGCGUUGUUUUAUUUUGCGGACAUAGUACUAAAUGCAAGAAACAAUCACUGUCAAAUCAAUUUCGAUUGGCUUGACGAAGUUGAUGAUAUAGAGUACUUCCGAAAGUGUCCAUGGGGUCUAUUGUCGUGGAAAAUGAUUUACGAGAGUCUUGACAAUGCACUGUUCGAGAAAGACGAGAAAUUUAAGAGGACUCGGUUGAAAAAUCCAGAUCAUAACAUUGAAAAAUACAAUCUUUACGGCUUUACGUCCGGGGUUCAGGUGCGUUUUUUUUGUUUAUUAAUAAGUUUUAUAAUAUUAAAUAUUUGAUAGUUGUUUUAUUACAUUUUUCACUUUGGUUGUUGUAGGCUUGGAUUUACGAAGCAAUCGGAGGGUUGCCAUCAACAUGGGUCGUCAAAACGAAGAAGAAGAUUCCCCGCAUUCUGCAAUGGAAGCCCAUAGCGUCUUCGAGAAUCAACUUUGCGGAGGUUUAUUCGUUCUUCAACGACGAAUCUCGUCUUGUAAGUAAUAUGUAUUACUUAUUUUUUUAACUUUACUAAAUUUAAGUUAUGUAUACUUACUUAAAAUUUUCAAUUGAAUUUAUGGCAGGGGGACGUUUUACAAACUCUUGAGCCAAAUUCAAAGAAGAGUAGCAGAAAAUAUUGGCUCUCUGUGAAGGAUUACUUGCCAAGCAUUCCAGACUGGGUUCAUAAGGUCGGUAUACUCUAAGUACUAAAAAUUUUUUAAUCGAAAUUUUUGACUUUUCAUUUACUAAUUUUAAAUGAUACUUUAUACAUCACCAACCCUCAAUCAACGCGAUGCCGUCGGUUACAAGGCAAUCAAACGAGCAAUCCGAUCAUGACGACAUACCAAACCCAAUAUCAGAGCAGCGUCAUGACACUUUUGAGGAUGAGGUGGCUAUUGAUGACCACCAGGAGCAAACAGACAACUCUGAUGAUGCACGUGAUUCUGAGGUUAUAAAUAAUAUACGAUAUUUUUCCUUUAUAAAUCAUUAUUUUUUUACUGUUAGUCUAAAGUUUUAUUUUUUUGUUUUGUAAUAGUCGAGGACAAAGCUGUUUAAUGAUUACAUACGACGACGGCUGGAUAAGAUUGAUCGUAACGUGUAUGAAAUGAAGUCAGAAUUAAAAGAUUUUAAAGAAACCGUUGUUGGCUUCAUCGACACAUUUUCUAAACGUUCAAAUAAGGAUUCUCCCAGUGCACACUCGUAUGCGGUGAGCAAAUUUAAAUUUAAUAAUUAUGUUCGUUUAACUUUUGAUUUGAUAGUUUUUUAAUAUGUUCUUCUUGGCGACUGGACAGGCCCCGGAUGACUAUGGAGUGUAUACUGACGUGGGCAAUCAAAAUUUGUCUACGCCCACGUCAUUGUAUAGUUUCUAAGGCGAUGUUAGUGGGGAGUGUUAGCCUAAAGGGCUAUACAUAAUAUAAUUUUGAUGAUAACAAACAUAUGUAUUGAGUGAUUUAAUAAAUAUUGUAUUUCACAUUUUCACUAGUUUUUGAAGGAUAAUAUUUAUGCAAGUGAAUCAAGUGAAAUCAAGACUCAAGACACUCAACGGACAACGGCGAAAUCAAGAAUAAAGUUUAGAGCUCAACGGACAAUUUAUUGCGACAAAUUCUUGUAAAGCCGGUAUGAUUUAAUUGAUGCAUGAUUUAGCAUUUGAGAAGCUCAAUAGAUUAAUUUAAUACUUUUCAUAAACUAAAAUUUUUUAUUUUUAUAAAGUAAAGUAUUUUGUGGAUUUAAGUAAUUUGGACUUAAAUGCUAAGAUUUGUAAUCUUUGAGUUUAUUAAAUAUUUUUUUGAAAUUCAAAUUUGGACUUAUUUGCAAAGGUUUGAAACAUUUUGGGUCAUACCAUAAUUUAUGAAACUUUGAGGACCCCAAUGUAAUUUAGACACUUGAAAUCAACAGUUGGACAGUGAGGAAGCGGCUAACCGCCUGAGGGCUAGCGGCUAGCCGCCUGAGGAAAUUCUCAUAUUUUCAAUUUUUGGAUUAAAGUGAAAGAUUUUGAGAACUUUAAAAAAUAUGAGUAUUAUGUUAUAUUUGUAAAGGACCUCUUUGAAAAAUAAUAAAAUCUUUGGGGCCAUAUCAUGAUUUUAGAAAGUUUAGAAAAGACAACUAUUUUUACGAAGUUCUGAAAUUGGACUUAUUUGUAAAGUUUUCUAAUGUUUUGGGUCAUAGUAUAAUUAUAUAAAGUUUUGGGUCAAAGUGUAAUUUCAGUGAACAAUAUUACUGUAGCAAAAUUCAAAAAUAACGGUAAUAUCACUGUUUCUGAGCGGCUAGCCGCUUGGGCGCUGGAAUUUGCCUAUAACGACUAGUUUUCGGGCUUUCACUAUAAAAACUCAACUCCAACUUCAUUUUAAAGAUAAACACAAGCAACUAUAAGAUCAUAUAACAUAUAUUGAGCUUCCAUUUCGUAAAUCAUCAUUUGUUGAAUCAUCAUUGAGAUAUAAUUUGUUAUUCACUCUUAAAGAGAGUUUUAUUGUUGUGAAUUUCAUUUCUCAUAAAUUUGUGAGUGUAUAAGUGUGGGAAACACUUGGGGUGAAGAGAUUGAGGAUAUAAUCUCUUGUUGUAAAGGUUCAUUGACACCUUGGAAGUCAAUUGUAAACAUUUGAAGCCUUGGGAGGCUUGGAUAGUGAAAUCCUCAAGCCGGGUGUUCUUGGAGGUGUGGACGUAGGCGGGGAUAGCCGAACCACGUAAAAAUCCUUGUGUUCGUUUUCUCUUCCCUUACUCUUUUAAAUUGUGCUUGAUUGAAUUUAUUGUUUUGAUUUGAUGAAGGCAAUAGAUUAAAUUGUUGUGCGAAUUGUAUUGAAUAGAUUUUAAAAUCCCAAUUCACCCCCCCUCUUGGGUUGCAUAACUUGCAUUUCAGGGAGAGCGUGCAGGUGUUCACUGAGGUGCCUCCAAGCGUUAGUAAGUUCGGCCGCGCGUACAUACCGUCGUAUGUUUAUAACAGUCCUUACAUGAUUCCUCCAGUCAGGCGAGGACAGAACGUCCGGCCUUUACCUCGACCCCAAAUCAUGGAGCAUGCGAUUGACAUGAGUACGAGUGUGGAUGUAAAUCCACUGAGAGGAUUAGAGGACUCUAGUCUGUUUGCUGAGUUUGAUCGAUGGUUCACUGGUGAUAUCAGAGUCCGCCGGAGAGUCCAGCACCCGCGGUCAUUCUUUCAAAUAAUUUUGGGUACAGCUUCGAUGGGAUGGCUAGGCGAUGAGGUAUUUAUAUUUUUGAAGUUUUUUGAGUGUUGUGGAUUUGUGUAUAAAAUUUUUCUUUUAAAUCGUAAUAUAUCUGUUUCUCUACAGCAUAUUCACGAGUAUCUCCGCUUGAUUAGCGAGAAACAACGGCAGUAUCCGAAUGCCUUACUCCAACGUGUCACACAUACUGACACAUUUGUUUGGGUAACGUGCCGACAAAACUUAUAAAUACUAUUUAUUUAUUUUUUAAUUAUUGCCUUAAAGUUUUGUUAAUUUAUGCAUUUCUUGGUUAUCUAUGUACUAGGUGUUCUUGAAUCAGUUAUGGAAUAACGGGGAUUGUGCGGUCGAUUCAUUGGUAUUCGACGACCGCUUGAAUAGUUAUCUUUGUGGGCGACAACACACAAUGUCCAAAUCAAUGACGGAUGUCGAUAUGGUAUGUAUUUUAUUGCAUUUCACAUACUCCAUAUUGAAAAUAUUCGAGUUGUCGCUUUUUCUUUGUUGUAUUUCAAUUUCAUAUAUAACGAACAUGUUUUUCAAUUUUUAUAUACAGUUACUCAUCCCUGUUAAGUUGGACGGCGCGCAUUAGGUACUAGCACGAGUUGACUUUCGGAAAAUAAAGUCUGGAUUUAUGACUCAUUACUCACAUUUCGCGACGACAAAAGGUACAAGUUGAAAUUCAAGCCACUUGAAGUUAUAUUCCCUCGAUGGUUGGAAUAUGUUGGCUUCUACAACAUCCGACCUGAGUUGAGGAGUGCAGACCCCUGGAAAGUUAUCGCAGUUAAGAGCGCGCCACAACAAGAGCCUGGAACUGGCGAUUGCGGUGUUUUUGUAUUGAUGGUUACGAUGUAUUUAAUGUUCGGGCUUAGAUUGGAGUUUAACGCUAGUCAUGUCGAGUACUUUAGAAAGAAGAUUGCGGUUGACAUAUUUAAUGACGAUAUUGUAUUGUAAACCUAUGUAGUAAUUUCAAUGUUGAAAUUUGAAUUUUUAUUUUAAUUUGCGCACUUAAGUUUAUAUAAUGCUCAAAUUUUAAUAUUUAAAAUAAAAUAAAGUUUUAUAACAUAUAAGUGUACAAUACACAAAAAACAAUAACAAUUUUAACCAACGAAAUACAAAAAAUAAUAACAGUUUUAACCAACAAAACACAAAAAACAAUAACAGUUUUAACUAACGAAUAACACACAAAAUACAAUUAACUUCGAGUCGACGCAAUGGGAUUCUUACAUCGCUUACGAUUAUGGCCCAGUUCAUGACACCGCCCGUAUCUUACAGUCUGCCGGUUAACGUCCUCACCAGCCGAGGGUAUUCUGAACUCUUUACGACGGCCAGGUGGUAGUGUCUCAACUGGUGGGUAUACUUGCAUCUCCUGAAUUUCAUCUAGAAUUUCCCAAUCAGCCACAUCACCAACUGGUUCCACUGGUUGUACAUAAGCCAUCGCCACAAAUUCUGUAGUGUAAAAGUCCGAGCAAAGGUUAAUAAAAUCCACCCGGUGUGUUAGACAUGUCGCAAUUGCAUGAGCACACACAAGCUGAUCAAGCUGAAACACUCUGCAAGAGCAAGUUCUCUUUUGCAAGUCAACCAAACCUUCCUUAAGCCCACCGCCUAUAACUUGAAAUCGAUGCGGAGACACCGGCCGAACUAUCAUUCUUUCAGCUAUAGUUCUCAUCUCAGUGACAAUUUCAUCCGCCCAUGUUGUUAGCUGAGUAGUCAUUGAUUCAACCACAAUUUUUCUAUCAUAAAACCAUUACUAUAAUGUUUUCCUAAAGUGAUCAACAAGAUGAGUAACAGGAAAUUUUCGAGGUUCCCUCAUGAAAGCAUUAACACUCUCCGCGAUGUUGGUGGUAAGUAUGCUGUACCUCCUACCUUCAAACUGAGACCUUGCCCAAUUACACGUACCGACAUUAUUUUUUACGUAAUCAGCCGCACCCGAGUGGAUCAUCCACAACCCUUCAAGUUGUCUCUUAAAUUCCUCGUGGCCAUAUGCUUUUGCUGCAUUAAUAAAGGCAGGCUCAAAUUCAUCCCAAAGAGCUUUGGACAUUCUAAAUUGUGACUUAAUGUUACCUUUGACAUGGUAAAAACAAACGCCAUGAGUUGCAUUGUGAAAUACUUUAAGAACGGCUCUCCUUAUGGCAGUGCAUCGAUCAGAGAUAAUUACCAACUCAGGUCUAUCGCCAAUCACUCCGUGUAACUUCAUCAUAAACCAUUCACAAGCAUCAUUAUUUUCUGAAUCCAUGAUCCCAAUAGCUAACGGAUACAAUUGAUUGUUACCAUCAAGACAUGUUGCCACGAACAUGCUUCCACGAUAUAGUCCCUUCAGAUGAGUACCAUCUACAGCAAUGACAGGCUGAAUGUACUGCAUAAACCCAUUGAUGGAAGAUCAGAGUGCAACAAAAUAGUACAAGAAAUUACCAUCUCCAUUCUGCUCGAGGUGAGUGACUAUACCCUCAUUCGCUGUAGUUAGUACGUGAGAGUAUUUAGGGAGUGUCGAGUGUUAGAAAAUGCAUAUUUAUAAAGGAGAAAACCGUCAUUUGACAUUUCAAGUCUUACUAACAACCCUUACUUUUAUGUAUUUAACCUUCUUGUGAUUUAAUUACAUGUGUUUUAUUUUAAUUAAGUAUUUUAUGUAUUUUAGGUGCAUUAUAGUCAUUUCACAAUAAAGGAGAGAUCAGACGGCAAAACGGACAUCACUUUUGAACUCAGGACGGUCGAAAACCUUAGGAGGAGCAUAAAAGGAAAAAUCACACUAUUCACAUGUACGGUACUAUUCACGUGUACGGUACUGUCUACGUACUGUUCACGACACUGUUCACAUAGACGGAUCGAUGAUGUGGCAUUGACCGAUGAUGUGGCAUUGACUGAUGAGGUGUCACGAUCCUGUUGGGCUAAAAUUCUUAUGUACUGUUGAUGAUGACGUGGCAGCAUAUCAGUGGACGAAAAAUCUCUCGUACGGUACAUGCAUCACACAGGAUUAUUUUCAACCAAACCGUGUUACUGUUCAUCCGGGUCAAACCGUGUUACUGUUCAUCCCCGUGGUCAAACCACAUACUGUUGACUGAUGACGUGGCGCAAUCCUGAGCGUCCAAACUGUUUUUAAUCCGAUUGCCAUGAUUUACUCCAUGUAUCUAUAAAAAGGGGGCCUCUCCCCCCUAAUUGGAUAGCUCUAAAUCCAUUUUUGGGAUCCAUUUUCUGUAAUUCCUUCUCCAUCUUGUAUUUUCUUCAUAUUUUAAUAAAUUCCCAUUUUGCCCCUAGUUCAAUUAUGAGUGGCUAAUUUCCUUUCAAGCUUGGGUUGAAGGUGAAGUCUCAACAUGUAUCAUGGGCUUAAUUUGGUAAAUUUAUUUUCUCUUCCCCUCUAGAUUUUGUGUAUGUUUUGACUUCUCGUCGACAAAUAAUACUAAUCUUGUCUAGUACCGCCUUGGUUUCACCGGCCCUCUAGUACAAGGUUAUUAUUAUUUGGCACGAUAAGCCCUUAGCACCAUAUUGAUUAGAGCGUGGUUCAUGAGGUGUGGAUUCCCCCCUCAUGAUUUAAUUAGCAUUAAUAAGGAUUAUUUAGCCCAUGAUGCAUGUUGAUACGGAUCCAGAUACCCAAGUACGUCAUUUCAAUAUAAUUCUCUUCAAUUUAUUCUCGUCAUUUCAAUACCAAUUUUAGAAUUUAUUCUCGCCAUUUUAAUUUAAGUUUUAGCAUAUUCCAAAUUAUUUCCACAACAAAUCCAAUCACCCAUUUACAAAAUUAAUUCUACACAAUUAAAAUCCACCUCCUCGUGGGAUCGACACUCGUCACCAUUGAUCUAUACUACAAUAGAUUCGUGCGCUUGCGAGUACAUUAAAAUUUGCACAACAAGUUUUUGGCGCCGUUGCCGGGGAGGUAAGUUAUUUUAAUUUGUAGAAUUAAUUUUUGUCAAUAAUUUCUUUUAUUUGUUUUCUUGUAUUUUUUUUCUUAUUAAAAGAAAAAAAAAGGUGAAUCUACAUUUAAAGGUUAGUAUUUCUUUUCUUUUUCUCUUCUUUAAAAUUUUGUAAUUUAAUUUUCAAUUUAUUUUUUUUUCUUUGUAAUUUUUGUUUAUUUUAUUAAUUUAAUUUUUAGUUAAUUUAUUUCACGUAUUUGUUUUUGUGUAUUUUUAUAGAAAGGUUGUAAUAGCGCAAUAAGGUUAGUAUCAUAAUUUCUCCCUCUUCUUUAUUUUUAUUUGAUUUGUUCCCAUUUAUUUUUGUGUUUCUUGCAUGCAUGGUCGUAGGUCAUUAUUUCCUAAUCUUGAACCUAUAGACCUUGAAUUAGAAAAAACACUUCGCACACACAAACACGUUAAAAAUAAAAUGGAUUUACAAGCACCACAGGAGAGGCCAUUUAAGGAUUAUUUCAGUCCUUUAGCAAAUUUGAGCACAUCAUGCAUAAGAUACCCAAAUGUAGCUGCUAGGAGUUUUGAACUAAAACCUAGUGUGCUAAAUUGUCUCCCCACAUUUUAUGGCCUAGAAAAUGAGGACCCAUAUAAUCAUUUGAAUGAUUUUCAUGCUAUUUGUCAAACAUUUAAAUAUGAGAAUUUUUCAGAUGAUGAUGUUAAACUUAGAUUAUUCCCAUUUUCUUUAAAGGAUAGAGCUCGUUCAUGGCUUAAUACAUUGCCUGCCAAUAGCAUUGCAUCAUGGGAACAAAUGGUAACGAAAUUUUUGAAUAAAUAUUUCUCAGUGCAUAAAACCAAUGCUAUUCGCAGGGAAAUCUCAGAGUUUACCCAGAGAGAUGAUGAGCAGUUUUUCGAAACAUGGGAGCGAUUCAAUGGGCUACUCUUGAAGUGUCCACAUCAUGGGUACGAGAAAUGGCACUAAUGCCAAUAUUUUUUGGAGGGAUUAUUACCGAAUGUGCAAGAAUGGCUAAUGGCAACAAGUGGAGGAGAGCUAAUGUCAAAAAGUGCAUCAGAGAUUUGGGAAUUCUUCCAGAGACAAGCGGAUAAUUCCCAACAACGGAGUCGAUCACUCAGGAAUACUAGAAGGAUUAAAGGAGUGAAUGAGGUCCACAUUGGCGAGUCAAGUUCAGAAAUUAAAGAAGUCAAAGCGAUAAUUGAAGGUCUCUCUCGACAAAUAGCAUCGUUAUCGACUGCUAAAUCAACAGAGCCACAUGACCAUGACUCAUACUCAGAUCAAGCCAAUGCCAUUGGUAUAAUGAGAAAACCAUCGAAUUACAACCCAUACUCCAACACAUAUAACCCUGGAUGGAGAGACCACCCCAAUUUUUCAUGGUCUCAAGGAUUCCAACAGAAUGGACCAGCGGCUCCAGCUCUACCAAUUCCUCAAAAUCCUCAAGCCUCUCAGCCCCCAUUUAGACCAUACAAUCAGAACCAGAACUACACUCAGCCCAGACCAUGGGAGGAUUCAUUCCAGAAUCUUAAGAAUCUUAAGAAUCUUACUCACUCCACGAUUGAGCAACAUAACCGCACCAUUGAUGGACUACGAAAUGAGUUGAGAGCAGGCUUCAACUCACAAGCUCAAUCAGUUUCAAGCCUCAAGAAGAUGGUGGGACAACUUGCUUCUUUAGUUCAGACCUUGGCAAUGACCGUUGAGAAAGGUAAAUUUCCAAGUCAACCAGUGCCUAACCCUAAAGGAGUACAUGAAGCAAGUACCAGUUCACCACAACAGCAUGGAGAGGUCAAAGCAGUCAUGACCUUGCGAAAAGGAAAAGAAGUCGACAACAAAGUGGAGAUGCCGGUGACAAAAGAAAAUCAAAUUGUACCUUUGAAUGUUGAGGACUCACCACCGGAGGAAAAAAAAGAAACCAACCCACGAGAAUAUGUUCCUAAAGCUCCAUUUCCUCAGAGGUUAGCGAAAGGAAAGAAGGGAAAAUCCACAGGUGAGAUUCUUGAAAUCUUCAAACAGGUAAGUGUUAACAUCCCUUUACUUGAUGCGAUUAAACAAGUUCCAUCUUAUGCCAAGUUUCUUAAAGACCUCUGUACUAAAAAGAGAAAUAUGCAUGUUCAAAAGAAGGCAUUUUUAACAGAAAACGUUAGUUCUAUACUCCAACAUAAAAUUCCUCUAAAAUGCAAAAACCCAGGAUCCCCCACUAUCUCAUGUAGCAUAGGGAACCACACAAUUGAGAAUGCUUUGUUGGAUUUAGGAGCUAGUGUAAAUUUGUUGCCUUACUCUGUUUUCGUGAAACUUGGACUUGGAGAAUUACACCCAACUCCAGUGGUGUUACAACUCGCAGAUCGGUCCACGAAAAUACCUCGUGGUAUUGUGGAGGACGUGCUUAUCCAGGUAGACAAGUUUUAUUUUCCUGUUGAUUUCAUUGUAAUUGACAUUCAACCUAUACAGGAUUCAAGGAAGCACAUCCCUAUUAUCCUAGGCCGACAUUUCUUGGCAACUACGGAUGCUCACAUUCAAUGCAGGACUGGAAAUAUGCAGUUGUCCUUCGGCAAUAUGACUAUGGAGCUGAACAUCUUCAACAUUGCCAAACAACCUCAUAAUGCAGAUGAUGGAAUUGUUGAUGUGGAUUUAAUAGAAGCAUUAGUUGAUGACUCUUUUAUUUCACACCUUAGUGAUGAUCCUUUACAAACAUGUUUAACUCACUUUGGUUUGGAUUUUGAUAUUGACAGAUCAGUUGAUGAGGUCAACGCCCUGCUUGACUCAGCACCAUCCAUGGACACUAAUAAAUGGAAGUCACGAGUUGAACAACUAGCACCAUCAGAGAAGAAACUCAUCCCAUCAUCAGAAUCACCACCGAAACUCGAGCUCAAACCAUUGCCCAACACAUUGGAAUAUGCAUUUUUAGGGGAAGAAAGUUCUCUGCCGGUAAUCAUCUCAUCAUCCCUCAAUGACAAACAAAAAGGUAAGUUGUUGGAUGUUUUAAAAGAGCACAAAGGAGCAUUAGGAUGGACCAUAGUGGACAUAAGAGGUAUAAACCCAGUAGACUGCAUGCAUUACAUUCACCUCGAUGAAAAUGCUAAAUCUACUAGGGAAAUGCAACGUCGGUUAAAUCCUAAUAUGAAAGAAGUUGUUAGAACUGAAGUCCUUAAGCUAUUAGACACAGGUAUCAUUUACCCAAUUUAUGAUAGUUCAUGGGUCAGUCCUGUACAAGUUGUCCCCAAAAAGUCAGGAGUCACAGUAGUUACCAAUGCUGAUAAUGAAUUGAUACCAACUAGAGUAACUACAAGAUGGCGUGUAUGCAUUGAUUAUAGAAAGUUGAAUUCUGUCACACAUAAAUACCAUUUUCCUUUACCAUUUAUCGAUCAAAUGCUUGAUAGAUUAGCAGGUCAUGAAUUUUAUUACUUUUUAGAUGGCUACUCAGGAUAUAAUCAGAUUCUCAUAGCACCAAAAGAUCAGGAGAAAACUACUUUCACUUGCCCUUUUGGCCCAUUUGCAUAUACGAGGAUGCCAUUUGGAUUAUGUAAUGCACCUGCUACAUUUCAACGAUGCAUGUUAAGCAUUUUUUCUGAUAUGGUUGAACGAUUCCUUGAAGUCUUUAUGGAUGACUUUUCUAUCUUUGGUGAUUCGUUUGAUCAAUGUUUACAUCAUCUAACACUAGUUCUGCAGAGAUGUAUUGAGAAGAACUUGAUCUUAAAUUGGGAGAAGUGCCAUUUUAUGGUAAAACAAGGUAUUGUUCUCGGUCACAUCAUUUCGAGCAAAGGUAUUGAGGUUGACAAAGCCAAGGUGGAUCUCAUUUCUAAUCUUCCUCCACCUAAAACAGUCAUAGAAGUAAGAUCUUUCCUUGGGCAUGCUGGUUUUUAUAGACGUUUCAUUAAAGAUUUUAGCAAAGUUUCUCGACCCUUAUGCAAUCUACUUGCUAAGGAUGUACCUUUUGUCUUUGAUGAUUCAUGUCUUGUGGCAUUUGGAAAAUUAAAGCAGUUGUUGACAUCAUCACCCAUCAUUCAGCCCCCAAACUGGAGCUUACCAUUUGAGCUCAUGUGUGAUGCAUCUGAUUAUGCAGCAGGAGCAGUGUUAGGACAAAGAGUUGAUCGAAUUCCCCAUGUUAUUUACUAUGCUAGUAUGACAUUGAAUGAUGCACAGUUGAACUAUUCAACUACUGAAAAAGAAAUGCUAGCAGUAGUGUUUGCAUUAGAGAAAUUUCGAUCUUAUCUCAUUGGUUGUAAAAUAAUUAUAUUCACAGAUCAUGCUGCUCUUAAAUAUCUUCUCACAAAGAAAUAUGCAAAAGCUAGACUAAUUCGUUGGGUGUUACUUUUACAGGAGUUUGACUUGGAAUUCAAAGAUAAGAAAGGCACAGAGAAUGUUGUGGCGGACCACCUCUCUCGUCUCCAUUUUGACACAAUUACAGAAUCAUUACCAUUGAAUGAGUCAUUUCCAGAUGAACAAUUAAUGAAUGUGGAAGUAUUACCUUGGUAUGCUGAUAUAGUUAAUUAUCUUGUUACAGGUCAACUUCCAGAGCAUUGGACCAAGCAAGAUAAGGCUAAAUUCUUUGCAGAAAUAAAGAAUUUCUUUUGGGAUGACCCGUAUUUGUUCAAGUGUUGUGCAGACCAAAUUGUUAGACGAUGUGUCCCAGAAAGUGAAAUUCAGAAUAUCCUUUCAUUUUGCCAUGAACAAGCUUGUGGAGGCCAUUUUAGUGCUAAGAAAACAGCAACUAAAGUUUUACAAUGUGGUUUUUAUUGGCCAACUAUAUUUCGAGACGCUUACACUUUCUGUUCUUCAUGUGAUAGGUGUCAACGAAUGGGGAGCAUUACGCGAAGGAACAUGAUGCCACUAAAUCCAAUUCUAGUGGUUGAGAUUUUUGACGUAUGGGGUAUCGACUUCAUGGGACCCUUUCCCCCUUCUUUUGGCCACCAAUACAUAUUGGUUGCUGUUGACUACGUAUUGAAAUGGGUAUAAGCAAUUUCAUGCAGAACCAAUGAUCACAAAGUGGUGAUAGGAUUUUUGAAAAGCAACAUUGUUUCACGCUUUGGAUUCCCUCGAGCAAUAAUCAGUGAUGGUGGUGCCCACUUUUGUAACAAAGCAUUCAAAGCUUUUUUGACUCAAUCACUCACAAAGUGGCGACUCCGUAUCAUCCGCAAACCAGUGGCCAAGUUGAGAUCUCCAAUCGAGAAAUAAAGCACAUAUUAGAAAAAACAGUGAGGCCAGACAGAAAAGAUUGGUCAUUAAGACUUGAUGAUGCAUUAUGGGCAUAUAGAACGGCUUUCAAGACCCCGAUUGGGAUGUCACCCUACAGGCUAGCGUAUGGAAAAGCUUGCCACCUACCUGUGGAACUCGAGCAUCGUGCGUAUUGGGCCAUCAAGAAAUUCAACUUUGACAUGCAGCAAGCCAGCUCAGAAAGAAGAUUACAACUGACAGAACUUGAAGAAAUUCGCAAUGACGCAUACGAAAAUGCCAAGAUUUACAAGCAACGGAUGAAAGUCUUUCAUGACAAGCAAAUUAUGAGAAAAUCGUUCACUCCAGGUCAGAAAGUGCUUUUAUUCAAUUCUCGUUUGCACCUAUUCCCAGGUAAGUUACGCUCUCGAUGGUCUGGUCCCUUUAUUGUUCAUACUGUUUUUCCACAUGAGGCAAUUGAAAUUAAGGACCCAAAGAACGGUGUCACGUUUAAAGUUAAUGGUCAAAGAUUAAAGCCAUAUCUAGAGUACCAACCACAUGGAGAAGACACCGAAAUAAAUUUGAGUGACCCACCAGAUUUGAAUUGAUUUUUUUUUUUUCGUUGAUUUGAUUUUUUUUUCUUUAUAUUAUUCUUCUGCUAAUUGAAAUUAUUUUUGCAUAAGUGUGUUUGUUUAACUAUUAAGUUUUCUUUUAUCGUUUUUAAUCAUGAGUACCUUACUUAGACCGUUCCUCCUGAACAUUCUUAAACCACUUCAACGUGUCAAAACUCAUCUCAAAAGGCAGAUUCAAUUUUGUAAAACACAUCGCAUUUGGGCUCUACAACCACCAGAGUUAGUAGCCUAUGUUGAGGGUUUAGAACGCCAACUCAGAGACAUUGAAAGAAGUGUUUACGACACCCAGUUGGAGCUUGAGGUAAAUUCAAUAAGAGGACGAUUUUAAUUUUCUUUGUGUGUUUUAAUUUGUUUUUCUGUUUGUGUGCUUUAGUUUGUUACCCCGGUGAAGUGGCGGAUAACGGUACUCCAUGACAAUCAAGUCGGUUACUUCAGUUUCCCAUAAUAACUGAUAUUUUGAGGCGAAAGUAUGGACAAAAACGACAUUCUAGCGAAGCUUCACAAGCGAUUCCCUUCACUUCCUCAGAAUGCCCUCCUUACGAUCUAUAAAGCUCGGUCCGAACGCAUGCGAUUACUUAUGAGGAAUAAUAUACCUGCUGACAUCCGUUGGUUAAUCGAGGCUAAAGUACGAUCGGCAGGUGAGUUACCUCCAAAAUUUAUUGCAUACAUGCUUGGUUGUGGUAAAGGAAAUUAUGCAAGAAAACGACGAGCUCAAAGAAUUUCUGUUGCUUGUCAUAAGUGCGCCAGAAUGAGUUGCAAUAAAAACCCAUGUUCUUUAGGAAUGGUGUCUGAUAACAGGGAAGAUAAAAUUCAAUUCAUUAGGGAUGGCUUGAAUAAGGAGUCAUUGGAUGAUAUCAUUUUGUCUCUUGAAACGCAUCCCAGUGGAUAUGUGCAAGGAGCGAUUCUCCAGUUAUGGCCAUUAUUCCAGAAAGAGCAUGCACGAUAUAGUCUUGGGAAUCUGACUAUAAACGACCCUGUUUGCCAGUUUAUAAGAAAACUGGAUAGGAAGCCUAUCCUCGACCCAUAGAGGGCGUUCAAGCCGUUUCUGGAUGUAAAACCAGAGGAAGAUGUGAGCCACAGUCGCAACUACCUGUAAAUAUCCUUUCACUUUACUGUUAUUUUAUUUCACUAUUGUUUUAUUGUGUGCAUUAUUGUCUUUAAUAAUUUUAUUAUUGUUUGCUUUUUCCUUAUUACUGUUUGCUUUUUCCUUUUUACUGUUUCCUUUUUGACUCGCGAGCCACGUGCUUUACGCGUUAUUUGACACUGACAUGUUACCUCAUACACAACUGUGACCUACUGUCACCAAGACUCUUAAAUGUGAUUUUUUUUUACAAGCACUCACAAAUUAUUUUUUGAGAAGUAUCACAAUGGCAGCUACUCCAAAUAGACAAUUCAAGAACAUUUGUGUGCUUUCUGGAUUUACCUAUGGCAAACAUAAAGAGUUCGUUGAGGCAGCCAUCGAUCUUGGUCGAAGCAUGGCAGCGAGAAAAUUACACUUGGUGUAUGGAGGAGGUAACCGAGGAUUAUCAAAAAUGGUCUCAGAAGCAGCUUUUAUCAGAGGACGUCAAGUGUUAGGCAUCAUCCCAAGAGUCCUAAAACCAUUGGGUAGUUCGUCUGACUCAUCAACUGGAGAAGAGUUAGUCGUCUCAGGUAUACAAGAAAGAAUAACUGAAAUGCUUAAUCAUGCUGAUGCUUUUAUUUUCCUUCCAGGAGAUCUUGCAACACUAGAGGCACUUAUCACACUAGCAUCUUGGGCCCAUCUGCACAUUCACCAGAAACCCAUCGGUUUGUUAAAUGUCAAUAAGUUUUAUGAUGGCUUUAUCGCAUUUCUUAACCAUGCAAUAAAAAACUAUUUCAUUCCCUCUAAUGCGAAAAAACUCUUUAUUUGUGCUCACACUGCUAAUGAGCUACUUGAUCAGUUACAAGCUUAUAGACCGGAGCCAGACCCCUGGACCUUUGUGUUAGAGCAUCCAAAUAAUGAUGGUAACAGUAGCCGCAGUAAGAAGUACAAAUUAGAUUUAACUCUCCGCCUGUAAAUAUUUUCUUCUGUGUUGCACCACCCAGGUGAUGUCUUCUAAACUCUACUUCGUUCCUUUCAAACAUUGAGGACAAUGUUUCGUUCUGGUUGGGGGGAGGGAAUAGUCGACAAUUGUGGAAUUUUGGUUAAGUUUUUACUAAUUUUUUGUUGUAGAAACUAACUGUUGCUAACUUUUUGUGUUGAAGAUGGCUGAAUAUGGAAUGUAGUGACUCUAGAAACGCAUCUUCAUCGUUAAAAAAAAAAUUUUAAAAAAAAAAUUUAAAAAAAAAAAUUCAGACAUUUUCUUUUUCUUUAUUAUGUUUUUAUGUUUAUUUUUCUUCUUUUUAAUUUCUCCUCUAUAAAUAUACAUUUUCCAACUUGUGAGUCGAAGAUGGCUGAAUAUGGAGUGUAGUGCCUCUAGAAACGCAUCUUCUUAAAAAAAAAAAAUCAUUUUCGUUUUCUAUCAUUUUACGUGUAACUUUUCUAAUUAGUUUUUAUGCAUCAUCUUCACAUUUCUGCAUGCAUAUUUUCCUUUCAUGUUUAGAAUAGGUUGGCGGGUAGAUUGGUAUUUAAAAAAAAAUUGUGUGAUUUGUUUUAACAUUGGAUGACAUGAUUAAUUUCAAAUUUUAGUAUUUGUAUUAUCUUUGGUCUUAAGUGAUGUUACGCUAUGUUUGCUACUUUACAUGUUGAUGUCGGAGACAAAUAUGAGUUGCUUGAAGGAAUGACCAUGUCAUAAAUAAGUGCCAAGUGAGUUGUUGAGCCUAUCAUUUUCUUGGAGAGUAACCUUUUUUGCCCAUUCUCUAUACAGCUUAGCAGUUUAUUAUUUUAUACACGAUCUCUAGAUUUCUUUUGAGUUAACCCUUAAAAAAAAUGGUAAAAUAAAAAAAAAAAGUGUGUUGCUACAUUGGGAGGCCUGUCUAACUAGUAGAUAUGGAUGAUUAUUUAGAGCCCUAAAAGACGAUGGAAAGGCCAUCUUUGAUCCGUUUGAGCCUUUCUAGCCAUCCCUUUUAUUAAAUAUCCAUAGUUAACCCUUUUGAGCCUUUAAAAAAAAAAAAACAUUUUCUUUGUCAACUUAUCAUCUUGACCCACUCCAAUUUGAAGUAUUACCCGAUGUCUUAUAAGUUCCAUCACCUAUUUAUGUUUGAGAAAAUGUAAAUAAUUAUGUUGUUCAGUGAAGUUAUGCCAAAUAAAAGCAAAAAAAAAAAAAAAUUGUUGUUUCAAAAGAAUAAAAAUAACAACAAUAGGUGAAAUCCACCCUUGCAACUUCCAAAAAAAAAAUUAAAAAAAAAAAAAUUCUCUGCAUUUUUCUCAAGCAUACACUUUGUUUUCCUUAUUUCCUUUCUUUGUUAGCCAUAUCCCUAGCCUACGUUACGUCCUAAUAAAAGUCCUUGAUUUUAGGGAACUCCUGUUUGAAGUAGAAGCUAGUUAUAUGGGCUAAAAAGAUGUAGUGGUGCAUAAUAAUAAUGAAAAAAAAAAGAGAUAAAUAAAUUGGGUUGACUAGCAUUUUUGUUUGAUUUGAGAUCGUAUUAUUUCUAAGCUGAGGGCAUAUUUAUUUCAUCUUGGUGAGAGCAUGUGAUAUCACUUCUUUAUUAUUUUCUCUCUCAAGUACCAUUCAUUGGAGUGACUAUUUUUAUUAGGUUCAAUUUCUUUGUGAGAGUGUCACUACUUCUAGUGAGAUUUUGGGGUUUGACAUGUCAUUCUUGAAAGUAGCUAUAACAAAGUCUACUGGGCUGAUUCAUGUGGAUGGUUGAUGUGGGUGUGAUGUUGCUUUAGACUGGAGAUAAUGCUUAUACUUUUAUUUGAUUGCUAUCAUUAAUCUGAUUGAAUAAACACGAGUGUUUCUAAAAAAGAAAAAAAAUCAUUUUGAAUUUGAAUUUUGUUUUCGCCUUAUUUGCUAGGGACUAGCAAUAAGCUGGUUGGGGGGUGUGUUGAGUGUUAGAAAAUGCAUAUUUAUAAAGGAGAAAAUCGUCAUUUGACAUUUCAAGUCUUACUAACAACCCUUACUUUUAUGUAUUUAACCUUCUUGUGAUUUAAUUACAUGUGUUUUAUUUUAAUUAAGUAUUUUAUGUAUUUUAGGGGCAUUAUAGUCAUUUCACAAUAAAGGAGAGAUCAGACGGCAAAACGGACAUCACUUUUGAACUCAGGACGGUCGAAAACCUUAGGAGGAGCAUAAAAGGAAAAAUCGCACUAUUCACAUGUACGGUACUAUUCACGUGUACGGUACUGUCUACGUACUGUUCACGACACUGUUCACAUAGACGGAUCGAUGACGUGGCAUUGACCGAUGAUGUGGCAUUGACUGAUGAGGUGUCACGAUCCUGUUGGGCUAAAAUUCUUAUGUACUGUUGAUGAUGACGUGGCAGCAUAUCAAUGGACGAAAAAUCUCGCGUACGGUACAUGCAUCACACAUGAUUAUUUUCAACCAAACCGCGUUACUGUUCAUCCAGGUCAAACUGUGUUACUGUUCAUCCACGUGGUCAAACCGCGUACUGUUGACUGAUGACGUGGCGCAAUCCUGAGCGUCCAAACUGUUUUUAAUCCGAUGGCCAUGAUUUACUCCAUGUAUCUAUAAAAAGGGGGCCUCUCCCCCCUAAUUGGAUAGCUCUGAAUCAAUUUUUGGGAUCCAUUUUCUGUAAUUCCUUCUCCAUCUUGUAUUUUCUUCAUAUUUUAAUAAAUUCUCAUUUUGCCCCUAGUUCAAUUACGAGUGGCUAAUUUUCUUUCAAGCUUGGGUUGAAGGUGAAGUCUCAACAUGUGUCAUGGGCUUAAUUUGGUAAAUUUAUUUUCUCUUCCCCUCUAGUUUUUGUGGAUGUUUUGACUUCUCGUCGACAAAUAAUACUAAUCUUGUCUAGUACCGCCUUGGUUUCACCGGCCCUCUAGUACAAGGUUAUUAUUAUUUGGCACGAUAAGCCCUUAGCACCAUAUUGAUUAGAGCGUGGUUCAUGAGGUGUGGAUUCCCCCCUCAUGAUUUAAUUGGCAUUAAUAAGGAUUAUUUAGCCCAUGAUGCAUGUUGAUACGGAUCCAGAUACCCAAGUACAUCAUUUCAAUAUAAUUCUCUUCAAUUUAUUCUCGUCAUUUCAAUACCAAUUUUAGAAUUUAUUCUCGCCAUUUUAAUUUAAGUUUUAGCAUAUUCCAAAUCAUUUCCACCACAAAUCCAAUCACCCAUUUACAAAAUUAAUUCUACACAAUUAAAAUCCACCUCCUCGUGGGAUCGACACUCGUCACCAUUGAUCUAUACUACAAUAGAUUCGUGCGCUUGCGAGUACAUUAAAAUUUGCACAACAGGGAGCAAGUUGUAUGACUCUACAGGGUUACCUCGAACUAUUUCAAGACCAACUUCUCUCGCUCGAUAUGCCUGCUGGUAUGUUAACUGAACACCGUAUUCCUGUUGCAUAUUUGGCACGAUAAGCCCUUAGCACCAUAUUGAUUAGAGCGUGGUUCAUGAGGUGUGGAUUCCCCCCUCAUGAUUUAAUUGGCAUUAAUAAGGAUUAUUUAGCCCAUGAUGCAUGUUGAUACGGAUCCAGAUACCCAAGUACGUCAUUUCAAUAUAAUUCUCUUCAAUUUAUUCUCGUCAUUUCAAUACCAAUUUUAGAAUUUAUUCUCGCCAUUUUAAUUUAAGUUUUAGCAUAUUCCAAAUCAUUUCCACCACAAAUCCAAUCACCCAUUUACAAAAUUAAUUCUACACAAUUAAAAUCCACCUCCUCGUGGGAUCGACACUCGUCACCAUUGAUCUAUACUACAAUAGAUUCGUGCGCUUGCGAGUACAUUAAAAUUUGCACAACAGGGAGCAAGUUGUAUGACUCUACAGGGUUACCUCGAACUAUUUCAAGACCAACUUCUCUCGCUCGAUAUGCCUGCUGGUAUGUUAACUGAACACCGUAUUCCUGUUGCAUAUCUGCUCUUAUGUCAUUGGGAGUAUAAAUCCUCUUAUCUUGAAUAUAUUUUUCUACGAUAAUAUGACCGACAACCCGGCUCCUUACUUGAUGACGUCCAUCAACCAAUACCUCAUUAUGACAAGUGUGUACAUUGUCAAUUCUCUUCACCACCCAAGGAACAUUUUGCUCGUUCGAACAUCUAGUUGCUCGAAUACGCAAUUUACAUGAUUCUGAACAACAGUGAGCCUCGAAACGUGUCGUAGUAGACCGUGCAAUUUUGAAAUCAAACUUAUCUCUAAAGGCCACCUUGCGUAGUUGUAAUAUAAACUCAUUAUUCUCAGCAAAUAGCUUACCCAUACUGAUAUCAUCUGAGUCACAACUGCUAACAAAGCUUGGAGCAACCAUGUUCGAAGGCAAAGUUGGAGCAAGACUUGUAAGGGGGUCAAUUCUCCUUCUCGAUCGAACCAUAGAAGGAAUAAGUCUAUUGCCUCUGUUAUUCACAGGAGUAUUGUCUUCACACUCAUCCUCAUACUAAAACGACGGAACAUUCGAAUGAUCGGCUUCUCCAUAAUCACCAUCAUUAUUGAAAUGAGUGCCCCCCCUCGUAUUAUUAGAAGGUUCUGCACAAACAUUAUCCCCCUCUGUCUCAUUAUGAAAAUCAUCAUUGUCCAGAAAAUCAUUGUUGUGAUACGGAGAAUACCGUUGCUCCAACGACGUCGUUAUUGGAAAUACCGUUGCUCCAACAUCCUGUAACGUAACGCCAUUAUCAUCAAUAUUGUCAUAAUUGUCAUGGAUUGGAGAGUAAUAUUGCUGCAGCGAUAUUGUCCUUGGCAACAUCUCUUCAUCAUUAUCAGGGCCAGACAUAUUUGCUCUAAACGACAUUUCUGUAUCGACAUGUGACUCAAUACCUUCGCUCGGAACUCGAGGUGAUGUGGUCAUGAAUAUAGGAAUGCAUCCAAAAUUGGCUACGUCGGAUGCCAUAUGCAACACAACCCUCACCAUUUUAUCAUCACAUAUAUCCAUGGGCAUUGCACAUAUACGAUAUAAUGUGUUACUAGACCUCAAAGUUGUCUUCAUUGUGAUACUAUAUUCAUUAAAGUUUAUUUGUAACACCUCGUAUACUCUUGCCAAUAACUGAUCAAACAGACAAUUUUUCCUAACCAAAAAAGCUCGAUUUUUACCAUUCACAUACUCCAUACGACCAUCCUCUAAUGUCUCCCACCAACCAUCGUAACACAAUUCAAGUACAACUGAAUCCAUUAAGCCUAAAAUUAUUAAAAAAAAAAUUAUUUGAGCCCUAUCAAAAUAAUACAGUUUUAAUGAAUUUCCAAGGGUGGGUGCGGCAGGCAACCUGUCGCCCGAAGCUUGGUGCGACAGGCACCCCUGUCGCACCAAGCAAGGUGCGACAGGUGCUUGUCGCACCAAACCUUGGUGCGACAGGUGCCUGUCGCACCAACCCAACCUGUCGCACCAAGUUUUGCUGCGACAGGCAGCCUGUCGCCAGAUUCACCCCCCGACUCAGUUCUGCAAGUUCUGAAAAUAACUCGUACCACUAAGUGAUGCCGAUUAGUGUUGGAUCCGGAUAGAUUAUGAUCGGAUUUCACUUUUACCGUUGUGUUUUGCCGUCGCCGUUGGCUGAUGAUUCAAGAGUGGAAAGCUGCGUUUGGUUUGACGAUAUGGGAGAAACAAUGUUGGUUUUGUUCUGUAAAGAAUGGUAAUUUAGGAAGAAAAGCUUGUGUUUGGCUAAUGUUGAUAGAAAAAAGUUGAGAGGGUUAAUUAUGAAAAUAACAAAAUAUUUAUGGUUAUUUUAAUAAAUUUUCCCAAAUGGUUGCGUUAACGUGUAUAUUUGGGAACAUCAAAUACAAACAAAGACCAUGUGAAAAAGAAAUAUUCGCUGUUUAGUUCUCAAAUAUUCGCUGUCACAAAUGGUUGCGUUAACAUGUCCAACAACGAUUAUUAUGAAAAUUUCGGAGAAUUUGCGAGAAGUGGGAUGAUUAAGAAAAUGCAGGAGCAGGACAUUUAUGACCUCUAUUAGUAAUUUGAUUUCGUGAAGCAUUUUCAAAAGGAAAAUAAUGCACACAAUUGGAGACUAGGUGAUGACAAUGAAAGAUCACAUAACCGACUUAAUAAUUUAUAUGCAUUAAUGUGGAAUCGACAAUUCUAAACCAUGUUAAAGUCAACCAAAAAGACAAAUCAUGGAAAGCGGCAAUUGCUAAAUUACGUUGCGUGUAUUUUGGGAUCAUCAAAUACAAACAACGACCACGUUAAAAGAAAAGCAACAGCUGACGAGAUUGGUAAAGAUAUAUCAAAAGAAAGAGUAACAGAACAGAGCACGUUACAAGAGCUGAUUGCUUUCUUAAUUUUUGGUCAAUAUUUAACACAAAAUAAAAGUCAAUGAAAAAACGUGGAAUUUAUGUCAAUUAACUUAUUUAAUAAUUUUGACCGAAGCAUAACAAAACGCUCGCUCACGGUCGCAGUCACUUUGAAGAUCAUUCAUGUAAAAGCUUUGUAAUUUAAUAAAUGGCGUGGAAAAUGGUAACGAGAGCUCACGGGCAACCCCAAAACAACAAGUGAAAGAGUGCCUCGUGAUAUGAUUCACGGCCCUCAAGAAACACGCCUUCUGCCCCUCGUGAUUUAAUCAAAAUUUGGACUCACGCUACAGUGAAAUGCAAUUAACAAUUUUUUAUCAAUAAAAUCGCCAGAAAAUUCUCAAUUAUUUUAUUUUUAGUUAUUAGGUGUCGGGUUGACAUCAGGCCCAAUGGAAGCCUUUGACCUGAAGGGCUUUCUAUAAUGUAAACUGGUGGCAUGAGGCCCAUUCCAGAAUAGGCCCUUGAGCCGAGCCCAAAUGGCAUGACCUUGAAUCUCUUCAGUCAGAAUGACAAAUGGAUGCGGUGCGUACUGUGCUCGUGUCCAUUUGUUCAUUGCUCGCCGACGCUAACUGCCUAACUAGGCCAACUUUAUUCAGACUGCAAUAGAAUGGACCAACAAACAUGCCAUAAAUCCUUGUGCUAAUUAAUUAUUAUUAGUUAUAUUUAUAAAUAAGCAAAACGAGAGAUGCAGGGAGUGAGAGUAAUACCAUAUAUGUAUUGAAAAUUGCAUAAAAUUUGAUAUAAAAAAAUACAAAAGACAAAAAAAAAAAAAAGUAAGUUUGUAUUUAUUUAACUCCAAUAAUCAUAAUAAACUAUUGAAUUAUAGACCAGAAGUUCUAUCUACAUAAUUAGAAGGCACAAACACUAUUUCUGCUAAUUGAAGAAAAUCAAGAAAUGCUGAUUCCGUCAUGCUUAGUUUCAUGUUAGUUAAAGUUUAAAGCGAUCAGAUUCAUAAUCAUUAAUAUGCUUUUAUACGAAUCCUUGGUUUUGAAUAUAAUAAUGGUUUCAGAAAUGCAUACCUGUUAGUUCUCCAUUUCUUGACUCCGAGGAAAAUUUGACUUGUCAGAUGAAGCAAUGUUAUAAGAGGUUUCAUACACAGCUUAUACGCGAUCACUACCAUGCUUACAUGUAAAACGUUGCUGCAAUCAUACUGGACAGACCUUCAGAGGUUACUCUUCGAAGCGUUUCAUGAUGCCACGUGUACUUGAUUAUUUGACUAAUCACGGUUCACAAGUUGAGUGAGCUACUCACCACACCACCUUCCUGCUGCAAAGAAUUUUAACUGAACUUUGACUUGGUCAGAAACUCAGAAUAACUGAGGACCCAAAUGACGAAUUCUAAAAGCUGAAUGAUGUAUGUGUAAAUUAAAUAUAACUAUUAAUCAUAUGGUAAUUUUUUAAAAGAAGUACAUAUAUGUCAUAUGUAUACUAAGUGGGUGUAGUGCAACGAAGGUGCUCUAAUAUUUUUUCAGUGAACACAAUAUAAUCAUCAAAGUGAAAGAAAAACUUUUGAGGUUUUGGUGUAUUCAUUAGUGAAAUUUGAGCCGAAAAGAAAAAUUCAUAUUUGUAAACAUCAAAACCAAAAUCAUUUGGAAUUACUUGCUGAAAUUGAUUAGGUCAUUUUUAACCUCAAAUUUAAGAUCAUUAAUCAUUGCAUGAAUGUUUUGAUUUUAAUAUCAGUGGCAAUCACGGACACGUCUAAUGAUUUGAUUAAAUUUGUGUUUAGUUCUAUAAAUUAUUUCAAUCAUUGUUAUGAUUUUUUUGGGUUGACUCGACGGAGCAACUAAUAAUUACCCAGUUCUGCUGCUGAAUUUAUUUCCCAAGAUUUGAUUAAACAGAACUCCCCUAAAACUUCAGUUCAUUUCACUAUUGUAAUAGAGGUUUCAUUCACGUUGAAUGUCUAGUAUAAUUACUGAUAGUUAUAUGUUGAAUGCUACCUCAAUGUAGCUUACUGCCGCAAUAAUACCUGAUGAUUUUUUAUGACAAAAAAUUGUAUGAUUAAAAUGAUUAUAAGAUCAUCUAAAGCCGAGUUUCACCAUUAACUACCAAAAUACUCCAGAAAUCCAAUACAUUUAACUAAACACAAAUUUAAUCAAAUCGUUAGACACUCAACCUGAAAGUGGAUUCGAAGUAAUAUUAAUGAAAACAAAGAAACAGGGGGACCCUCGUGAUCGCCAACGCCAUCUUACCCUUGAUAAAGAGAAAGAAGUCAAGCUCCAUAUAAUAUAAUACCUCACAAAUUAUACAGAAAAAAAUGGCCUCAUUUCAGAUGCUACAUAGAUGGUUUUCAUGAAUCCUCGUUUUGUGUGAUGAAUUUUUUUUUUUUGACAUUUAAUAGAGUAUACAAAAUAAAAAUAAAAAUUUAAAAUUUACUAGAUGAGCCAAUAAAGUAUAGUAGUGUUCAGAAAUUUUUUUUUUUUUUUUUCUAGAAUGUGAAUAACCCAUCCAAAGUAAUGUUACCUUAUUAGACUGAGGUUCUCCCCCCUCCCCCACAAAAAAAAAAAAGUUGCUUCUUGGUUUUUAAUGCAAACACGAUUACACGAAGAGCUUUCGUUAAUAGUGCUUUUAGAUUGGAUUUCUAUGUUAAAAUAUAAAUCAGUUUUAGAACACUAAAUUGAGGGAGAAUAUUCGAUUUGAUCUUAUUGUAGGCUACUUCAAGAGUGUAAGAAACUGCUCCUGGAGCAUGCUAUUACAUGUUUUGUUUGUGGAAAAUGAUAUUUGUGCUGUCAAUUUUAUGCUGCAAUGGCACUAUAGUAUAAGCAAUACCCAUAUUUCUGCAUGACUUCCGAAUAUCUUGCAGCUGUUCAAAUAACAAUGCUCUUUGUUUGCCUACAAACCUCUAUUUUCUGUCAACAUAAUCGAGGUAGCAACCCGCUAAUAAUUUUGUAAAUUGAGCCUGGAUGAAAAAUUGAUGAAUGUGUGGGUGAGAAUAAUCAUUACUCAAAUCUUUCACUGAUGUCCUAAAUGAUUUCUCCUUCUAUAGAUUACAGUGGUUGGUUAUAAUCACAAAUUGAGGAUCUUGCUGGAAGCUGUUGUUCAAAAAAUUGCAGAAUUCAAAGUGAAACCAAACAGAGCACUUAUUUCGGUCUAAGUAGCCACAGUAAAGAUUGAAUUGUGCAAUUGUUUGUGUGGAAUCAAGUUAGUUAUAUUCGGUUAUAACAGCUGAGCUGGAAAGCUGAGUCAGCAAGGGUGGGUCCCCAGGUGGUUUUAGUUAGUCGUUAUAACCAGCUGUAAACUGCUAGCUUUAUAAGCUUCAGUGAGAGAGAGAGCUGAUCAGUUAGUUAAGCGAGAUAGUUUGUGAGCUGAGAAAGAUUCUCUGUGUGAGUUUAGUUUCUUGCUCUGAGUGGAUUCCAUUGUAAUCUUGAUAUCUCCUAAUAAAGCUUUAGCUCUACUGUUCCUGAUCGUGGAUGUAGGUACCUUGGUACCGAACCACGUUAUCUUUGUCUUGAGUCUUUAAAGUUCUUUAUCUUGCUCUGUUGUUUCUGGUGUUGGUAUCAGUUGUUCCUGGGUUCUUGCUUUGGUUGUGUUUAGUUAUUGCAUCAGUAGAAUUGCAAGGUUGAUCAGAAUAUUCCAACAAACUGGUAUCAGAGCUUGGUCAUCUAUCAAGCUCCUUGAAAUCCUCCAAUGGCAUCUACAAGAUUCGAUCUGGAGAAGUUUAAUGGGGACAAUGACUUCUAUUUGUGGAGUCUCAAAAUGAGGGCAAUCUUGAUUCAGCAAGGAUUAGAUGCUGCUCUUGAAGAUGAUGAAGAUUCAAAGGCCAAGAAAGGGAAGGAAGAAGAAUCAUCCAGCUCUGGCAGAGACAUGAAGACUAUCAACAACAAAGCUCAUAGCACUAUCAUCCUACAUCUCUCGAAUGAAGUGCUAAGAGAGGUGUCUAAAGAAAAGACUGCUUCUGGUCUAUGGGAGAAACUAGAAGAAUUAUUUUUAAAGAAAUCUCUAGCCAAGAGACUGUACAUGAAGAGAAAGCUAUACACAUUUUCAAUGAAGGAUGGAACAGCUUUGAAAGAUCAUGUGGAUGAAUUUAAUAAGCUGAUCCUAGACCUUGAAAAUGUGAAUAUAGUUCUUGAGGAUGAAGAUAGAGCCCUGAUCCUAUUAAGCUCACUCCCAGACUCUUACGAGCAUUUUGUUGACACAUUGCUUUAUGGAAGACAAACACUUACAUUAAAGGAUGUAAAGAAUGCCCUGGAAUCAAAGGACUUGAAGAGGAAAAUAGAUGGGAAGGAUCAAAACCCUGCAGAAAGCUUAGUUGCAAAAGCAAAACCAGAUAAGAAAUUCUACAAGGACAAGAAGAAUAGCAACCAGAAAGAUAAACCAGACAAGAAGAAAAAGAAGAGAAAAUGUUACUUUUGCCAAAAAGAAGGUCAUUACAUCAAGGAUUGUUUUGAAAAGAAGAAGCUUGAGAAAUUACAGAAGGAAUCUGAUGGAAAGGCUGCUGUAGCCUCUGAAGAUGAAGGGAUGUCAGAUGAUGCAGAUGUCCUCAUUGCUGCAGAAAAGCAAUCUUCAGGUGAGUGGAUUCUUGACUCAGGUUGCUCCUUCCAUAUGUGUCCAAAUAUAGAUUUCUUUAAGACCUUUGAACAAGUUGAUAGUGGAAAGGUCUUGCUUGGUAACAAUCUUGCCUGUAAAGUAGCUGGAAUUGGAACCAUUAAUAUUAGGAUGUUUGAUGGGAUUGAAAGAGAUCUAAAACAGGUCAGAUAUGUUCCAGAAUUAAAAAGAAAUCUAAUAUCUUUAGGAGUAAUGGAUCAGUUGGGCUGUAGUAUAAAAGCAGAGAAUGGAAAUCUUCAAAUUGAAGAUAAAGGCCAGGUUAUAAUGAAAGGCAUAAGGAGGAAUGGUUUAUAUGUACUUGCUGGCUCAACAACUAUGCCAGCAAUCACAGCUAGUGUAAGCAGUGAUAAAACCAAACUUUGGCACAUGAGGCUAGCACACAUGAGUGAAAAGAGGUUGAGAGAAUUAAGUAAGCAAGGGCUGCUAGGAAAUGAUCAAAUCACUUCACUACAAUUUUGUGAAAAAUGUGUGUUUGGUAAAGCCACAAGGCAAAAGUUCAACUUUGGUAGACAAGAAACAAAACAGACCUUAGACUAUGUUCACUCAGACCUUUGGGGUCCAUCCCAAGUUCCCUCUCAUGGUGGAGCUAGGUACUUCAUCUCAUUCAUAGAUGAUUACUCUAGAAGAGUGUGGGUCUAUGUGCUGAAGCAUAAGAGUGAAGCAUGUGAAAGGUUUAAAGAGUGGACUGCACUUAUGGAAACCCAAACAGAAAAGAAGCUUAAAAGGCUGAGGACUGAUAAUGGCCUGGAAUUCUGUAGCAGUGACUUUGAAAAUUUUUGUAAAUCAAAAGGCAUUGCAAGACAUAGGACAGUGAGGCACACUCCCCAGCAAAAUGGCUUGGCUGAAAGGAUGAAUAGGACCUUAAUUGAAAAGGUCAGAUGCAUGCUGUUUAAUGCAAAUAUGUCAAAGCAUUCUUGGGCUGAGACAGUUAAUACAGCUACAUAUCUAAUAAAUAGGAGCCCCUCAUCAGCUUUAGAUUUUAAAACACCUCAAGAAGUAUGGUCAGGGAAGCCACCAAACCUUAGUAACCUCAGGGUGUUUGGCUGUCCAGCUUAUGCCCAUAUAAGUCAGGGCAAGCUAGAACCAAGGGCUGUGAAAGGAUACUUUAUAGGGUAUCCAGAAGGCAUAAAAGGGUACAAAAUCUGGUGCACUGAUGGCAAGCCAUCUAGAACCUUGAUCAGUAGGGAUGUUGUGUUUAAUGAGGAAGCUAUGUUGCAGCAGAAGGUUGGAACAGAAGUUGAAAUCUCUGAACCCCUAAAUAGAUCUAAGUUGAAGGUGGAGUCCAGAGAUAGUUUGAAAGAAAGUAAAGAGACAAUUGAUCACCAUCAAGAAAGUGCCACAACAUCAGAACUUGACAACUAUCAGCUUGCGAGAGAUAGAGAAAGAAGGGUAGUUAAACUGCCCAAAAGAUAUGGAAUUGCUGACUUAAUAUCUUAUGCACUGAUGGUUGCUGAUGAGGUGACUGGAGAUGAACCUGAAAGCUACAAGCAGGCUAUGAAUAGCAGAGAUAAGUUGAAAUGGCUGAAUGCUAUGGAAGAAGAAAUGGCAUCACUCAAGAAGAAUAACACUUGGGUUCUAGUUCAGAGGCCUACUGAAAGAAGAUUGGUGGGCUGCAAAUGGAUUUUUAAACUCAAGGAGGGAGUUGCUGGAAGUGGAUCAGUGAGGCAUAAAGCCAGGCUUGUGGCAAAGGGGUUCACACAAAAGGAAGGAAUAGACUUCAAUGAAGUCUUCUCACCUGUUGUUAAACACUCCUCUAUAAGGGUUAUAUUAGCCAUCACAGCUUAUUUUGAUUUAGAAUUGGACUAGAUGGAUGUGAAGACUGCCUUCUUACAUGGAAACUUAGAAGAAGAAAUUCUGAUGACUCAGCCAGAGGGUUUUGUUGAGGAAGGAACUGAGGACAUGGUUUGCUUGCUCAAGAAAAGCUUGUAUGGGUUGAAGCAGUCUCCUCGGCAAUGGUACUUAAAGUUUGAUGAGUUUAUGCUGAAUCACAACUUCAGCAGAAGUGAAUAUGACAAUUGUGUUUACUUCAGGAAGCUAAACUCAGGUGAUCAAAUCAGUCUACUUCUUUAUGUUGAUGACAUGCUUAUAGCAUGUAAACAUAGAGCAGAAGUGGAGAAGCUCAAGACUGAGCUAAUGGCAGUGUUUGAAAUGAAGGAUUUGGGUCCUGCUGCUAAGAUACUGGGAAUGCAAAUUAAAAGGGACAGACAAGCUAAGACUCUAUUUCUCACACAAUCUGGAUAUUUGAAAAGGGUUGUCAGUCGAUUUGGGAUGGUGAACUCAAAGCUUGUCACUACCCCAGUAGCAGCACACUUCAAGCUUUCAAAACAGCAGGAACCAGAAGAAGAAGCAGACAUUGAUCACAUGAGGAGAAUCCCCUACUCCAGUGCAGUUGGCAGCAUUAUGUAUGGUAUGGUCUGCACCAGACCAGAUGUUGCCUAUGGGAUUGGUCUUGUCAGCAGGUUCAUGGGAAAUCCAGGCAAGGAACAUUGGGAAGCUGUUAAAUGGCUGCUGAGGUAUCUUAAAGGCACUGAAGAGUAUGGAGUAAGGUUUGGACAAGUCCGAAGUGCAUCUAGCCAAGUUGUGGGAUAUGUUGAUUCUGACUUUGCAGGAGAUUUAGACAGGAGAAGGUCAGUCACUGGUCUUGUGUUUACUCUCUGUGGUGGAGCUGUGAGCUGGAAGUCAACAUUACAAUCAGUAGUUGCUCUCUCAACAACAGAGGCAGAGUAUAUUACUUUAACAGAGGCUGUGAAAGAAGCAUUGUGGUUGAAGGGGUUAGUUACAGAACUGGGUUUGAAACAAGAAUCAGUCACUGUCAAUUGUGAUAGCUCAAGUGCUAUACAGUUGAGCAAAAACCCCAAGUAUCAUGAAAGAACAAAACAUGUGGAUGUGAGGAUGCACUUUAUCAGGGAAGAAAUUCGAAAUGGUGUGAUUAAUGUCAUUAAAAUUCCUACUGAAGUAAAUCCAGCAGACAUGCUAACAAAACCUUUGCCAAUAGUUAAGUUCAGGAAAUCCUUGGACUUGAUUGGAGUUAUUAACUUGUGAGACAAGUUAACUGAUGAUGGAGCAGUGAUAAGUAAAGCUAUAACCGAGUAAACUAAGGUGGAGAUUUGUGGAAUCAAGUUAGUUAUAUUCGGUUAUAACAGCUGAGCUGGAAAGCUGAGUCAGCAAGGGUGGGUCCCCAGGUGGUUUUAGUUAGUCGUUAUAACCAGCUGUAAACUGCUAGCUUUAUAAGCUUCAGUGAGAGAGAGAACUGAUCAGUUAGUUAAGCGAGAUAGUUUGUGAGCUGAGAAAGAUUCUCUGUGUGAGUUUAGUUUCUUGCUCUGAGUGGAUUCCAUUGUAAUCUUGAUAUCUCCUAAUAAAGCUUUAGCUCUACUGUUCCUGAUCGUGGAUGUAGGUACCUUGGUACCGAACCACGUUAUCUUUGUCUUGAGUCUUUAAAGUUCUUUAUCUUGCUCUGUUGUUUCUGGUGUUGGUAUCAGUUGUUCCUGGGUUCUUGCUUUGGUUGUGUUUAGUUAUUGCAUCAAUGUUGGGUCGAACGACCGUGGCAAUGGGUGUAGAUGGUGGCAGCUAGGUUUUUGUAAUUUUUUUUUGUUUUUCUAAUUCUUACCAGUGUAGCCUAUGGAAGCAAAAACAACCAUUUAGGAGAUUAGUCAGAGACUUAAGUAGUGAUCUAGUUGAACAGCCGCAGUAAAGUUUGAAUUGGGCAAUUUUUUGGACAAUAUGUUUCCAGCAAGAUCCUCAAAUUUGUGAUUAGAACCAACCAGUGUAGCCUAUGGAAGCAAAAACAACCAUUUAGGAGAUUAGUGAGAGACUUGAGUAGUGAUCUAGUUCCGCACUGGUCUCAACCUUCUCUUCAAUCUCUUGCCCUUUUGCUUUCGUCUCAGAGACUCCGCGCUGAAUGCCCGUACUUUCACUCUUCCGCUUCUCUGUUUCUGCCUUGAUAUCAUCAAAGAUGGCAUUAAUCGUAGAAUAAGCAGAUAACAAUCUAAAGUGAAGGAGGCCAUAGGAAAGUGAGAUUAAAAAACAAACAGAAGCCAAGGUUUUUUUUCAGAUGAAAACGGAAACAAGAAAAGGACCAAUGCGAAGAGCUGACAGAACGGAUGACUGAAUAAGAAGUGAGUUGAUUAUUUUAUACAGCCAAUUCAUGUAAUGACAGAUCUGGUUUCGAUCUUUGUAAUUUAAAUGUAUUAUCAGUACGAGGUGAAGGACUUUUUUGUCGACUCAGUCCAACACAAAUUCAAAUUACUAAAGCAACGUGAUACUGGUUUUGAUCUUUGUAAAUUAAGCACAUCAAUACGAGGUGACUCUCACAAGACUUUUGAUGUGCUAUUGCCAGUCAAAUAUGAGACGAAAUGUGAAUAGACUCAGUUAGUUGUGUUGUUAUUUAGGAGGUCGAGUCCAGAUAACAUCCAGCUCACUUGCCUUCUCAAUGACCAACAUUUUGUGAGCCAAGCGUUCGACUUCAAACCACUUAAUCUGAUGAGAUGAAUUUUCAAGCCGAAAAACAUGCUUCAAUUAAAAACAGAGACAGCAGGUGCCCUGUACUCAGGAUCCGAUCAUACAUAUACAAAGAAUAUCUGCUAUUAAGAAUUUCACAUCUCAAGUAGUUGAAAUUUAGUUUCGAAAGAAAAGAAUGGAAUAAUUGAUAAUAACAAUAAAUUACUAUAUCGCAUGCAUGUUCAGGUGACUUAAUUUGCAUUUACGCUUGCAAUGCCUGACGUGCGCACGUGAUCGCAAAAAUAAACUUGAAUAGAAUCUCUCACAUUCACCAGAAAAUUGUUGCACAUAAUAAUAAUACAAGGGAUGCACAGAAAUGGUAAGUUCACACAUCUUUAGUUUAGAUGAUCAAAUGAAGGAAUUGCACACAGAUUUUUACGCUUCCAAAGCUGUAGCGGCAGCGUGUAAGUUACAAUACAAUUGAAACUAGUUUAGUCGAAGCUCUCAGCAUGUGAUGUUUCGCAGAAGGAAUACCAGUUUCAGAGAAAUAUUAUCUAAUUUUGCACACCUUUCACGGAAUACCAAAAAAUAAAUGAUCAAAUAAAAGAUUACUACAAAAAUACAUUCCUAUCAAUCAUCAUAUAAUUUCAAACUAUAUGUGUUUUUUUUUUUGGGUUAAUCGAAGGUUCCUGGAAGUUGCAAGUCCCUGCCGGUGUCAAAGGGAAGGUACCAAUCUCGUGUUCGUCCUUCCAAUGUCAAAGGGAAUACUCUGCACCUCUGCGCUAGUGUUAGCCCCUGCACUCCAGUCAUGUCGUUGAAGCGCUCGACGUGCACCAGCGGGCCACUUUUUCCUGAGUAUUUGAGGUCGAGAAAAUGAAAAUCUCUUGGUAUCAUAGUGCCCAUGAUUUCAGCUGAAAGCCGAGAUUAAUCAUCCAGCAUUAUUCUCUAACUGAGGGGCUUUCUCCUACCCUGCAUUUGUCAUGAUUUGGUAUAAUCGUUUUGUUUUGUUUAUUUCCUCUUAUUUGGUCCAACUUCAUCUUGCCUCUCGUUAAAUGCAAAAUCAUCCAGCUUCAAAUGGAAAUCCUCGAAAUCCAAAUUCUUUGCACUAUAUUGAUCCUUCAGGCAGAUUGAAUUCUUACCAGCAGGUAAGGUUUUGUUAUGACUCACAUUUUGACAAGUGAUCUCUGAACUCUGAAGGUCAUAAAAUGGUCAUUUUGUCCAGUGUUUUCGACUUAGAAAAUGCAUGUGACUUUCAAGUCUUUCUAUGGCCGUCAUAGGGAAAUAGAUAUUUCAAUAGUUCGUAGAAGUUGAGAGAGAAUAUCACUGAUUAGUUAUUGGCCUCUUAAACCAUUUACAGGCAAUAACGGAAAUUGGGGAGGUCAUACAAUUUUAUGAUUCUGAUAGACGCUUUCCUGCAUGGGGAUUUGGAGGGAAGACAUUUGAUGGCACUGUAUCACAUUGUUUUAACUUGAAUGGAAGAGCAGGUGGCUUUGAGGUAGGGGUAGCUGGAGUUCGCAACUUUGCUAUAAUCCUUAUUUGGUUGGCUUGUCUCCCAUAACUUUUCAUUUUUAAUAACAAACAAUAUAAUAUGUUUCUACAUUUUUAAAAAAAUUUCCUUGGAAUUUUAUCCUAAAAGAUGUGUAUUUUAUCCUCUUCCAUUUUUUCAUUAACUGCUGGUUUCUUUAUUUAAUAGGCAGAUGGAGUUGAAGACAUUAUGGCUGCCUAUGCAAGCGCUCUAAACAAUGUUUCUUUGGCAGGACCGACUCUGUUUGGUCAAGUGAUCAACACAGCUGCACGAAUUGCUGGACAGUCCCUCUCAUACGACAGAAGCAAGUAUUUCAUCUUACUCAUGAUAACGGUGAUUACAAUGAUUCUAUAUAUUCACAGUUUUCUCUUUCUAUCAUUCUUUUUGGGUGAUUUGUAAAUUUGCAUGGUCUAUCUAGGAUGGAGUUCUGACAGAUCUCCAAGAAACGAAAGAUGCUUUGGUAAGGGCUUCUGAUCUUCCCCUGUCAAUUCUAAUUGUGGGUGUGGGAGGUGCAGAUUUUACACAAAUGGAGGUACACAAUGUUUUCUAACUGGAAUAUCUUCUUACUAGCAUCGAACUUCUUUUUUCUAUAGUUUGAUAGAUUCAAUUUAGAGUAUAUAUGCAGUGUGGUAUUAUCCCACUUUUGUUGCAGAUUCCUGAUGCUGAUAACUUUGUUGGCAGAUUCUUGAUGCUGAUAAUGGCCGUAGAUUAGAGAGCUCUACCGAUCGGGUAGCUACCAGAGAUAUAGUACAAUUUGUUCCAAUGCGAGAAGUUCAUAGUGAGUGCAUAAGAUUCUUUGAAAAAAUUAGUUCAAACUAUUGAAUUUGGGAGUUAAUUCACAGAAGUUUCUAAAUUUUUUCAUGCCUGAACAAAGGAACCCAUUGUUUUCUGAACAGGUGGGCAAAUUUCUGUUGUACAAGCACUUUUGGAGGAGCUGCCUGGUCAGUUUUUGACCUACAUGCGCUGCAGAGAUAUCAAACCACUCAAUGUUCAGAUGGCCCAAACAUGCGCUUGAGUAAAUAUUCAUAUAUUUGGAAAGGAUACAAAACCAAGCCAAAUAUAUUAGACAAGACCAAGCCAAACAUAUUAGGCUAUACAAACAUAACAUAGCAGAAAUUGAUAAUGGUACAUUACAUAUGUUAGGAUAUAGCGGUUUUAGAUGAUGGUAAAUUACAUAUGUUAAGAUAGAGUGGUUUGUAACUAACUUUUGAUGGCUUAAUGAAUUGAUUGAAUUUGUAUUUAGAUUCUAUCAAUGAUCUCCUAUCCAUGUCUUUCGAUUUUUAUUAUUCCCUCUACCCACUUGUUUCACAAUUGUUUGUGUCUGAUGGCCUAAAACUCCAGUUUCUGUUGCUGUAUUAUCAUCUUUGUUGAAUAUCUACUACAAUGAACAUGUGCUGAAUGUCAACUUUUACUACUACACCAGCAAUCUAACACAUGGCUCACGUGCACACAAGACAAGUCUGAUUCACACAUCUUUAAUUUAGAUUCUUAUAUAGUCUUUCAAGAUGUCUGAAACAGCAUAGAUGAAGGACCCUUCCACCAUUCAACCUGGAAUGAUGUGAGUGAAAGAAAUUUCCAAUAGGUGCACGAACACAAAUAUGAUGCACACAUCUCUUUAAUUAAUUUAGGGCUUAAAGAGAUUUUCAGAUGCCUACAAAUUGAAUAUGGCAGAUCUUGGACACCAUCCAUAAGAAAUAAAACUAGCCUCAAAUUGGAUUUAUGAGUACUCAAACAAAGCUAAAAGCAUAAUAAUGAAUGAAAACUGAAACAAAAAAUCCUCUCACCAACACCAUAUGACUCUUAAUAUAUAGAAAGAACUCAAGCUCGAGCCUUAUCCAAAAUGCUGCACAAGUAGCAUGAAUCGUCUUCAUAAGUUUGGAGACUCUGUAGACAAAGAGUAAAAAGACAUUGAAGGUGUAGUUUUUACAUAAUUAAAUUGCACAAAUUAGCCUCUAUUAAGGACACAUAAAUCCUUCAAUUCUCUCUCUAAGCAAUUAAUUUCAUUUUUUAUUCUUUUAUUUUUCGCUAUGUCUGUCUAACAACUAAUCCUCAACAUAACAACAGAGCAGAGUAGUUAUAUUUUAAAAAGAUGUACCAAUAUGAUUUAACAAAAAUUCAACAUAAAUAAAACAUUUUUAGUUAGCAAAAUAGAAUAAAAUCAAAACCUCUCAAAUUAUAUAGAUUUUAUCUUACCACUGUUUUUCGCAUCUUUCUCCUUUUCAUUCGCCUUGGCGGACUUCUCUUUCUCUUUUUCCUCCUCUUCCUAAUCAGAUUUAAAAUGAAUUCAUAAAAAAAUUAAUAUGUACUUUUUUCUUUUUACUUUUAUAUAUAUAUCUGUUAUUAAAUCAGUAAUUUUUAGAAAAAAAAAUAAAUCAACAUCUCAUAGUGAAUGAAUACUUACCUUUUUUCUUUUAAGAUAUACAUAUUGAAUGGUUGUAUUAAGGUCCCGAUCCCAAGCCCAAAGUUUUUCAUCGACUAGGCUCAGCUGCACUUUCUGUAACUUGGGUGUGCUUAAUUCCCCUUUUGAGAAAAUCUUCAUAUUGGGGCAAUUAUGCACCAUUAAUCUUUCCAGAGAUGGGAAUUUGAAGUCGCAAUUAUUCCCAGAGCAGCUGAAACUAGUCAGACUUUUUAAGUCCCAAAGCUGCAAUUCCUUUAAUUCGCUGAAAACAAUUUCAUCUUUUGCUGCAUAAUUAUCUCCCUCAUCAUCCUCAUCUGCCACUAUUUCUGUUAUCAUCUCGCAGAAACUUAUCUGCAUUUGUCUCAGUCGCACCAGACUCCUUGCUGUUGAGGAUGUUAGUACGUGUAUCAUUCCAUGGCAACUACUUACCUUCAAAGUUGUUAGGUUCUGAAACGAUGUCGAGGAUGGCACUAGAUUAGUCAAAUUGCGACAAUGAAAUAUCUCUAGCUGUUCCAAAUUGUUGGUAUUGGUUGACUCUUGUUUGAAAAUCUGCUUUAGUUCACGACGAUGGUUUAUCCCUCUCAUCCUUGCAUUCAUCCCAUUUUCAAGGUUUUCAAAUGAUCUGUACAAAACCUGAUUGUUUCCUCCUACAUAGAGAAUUUUGAUGGUGUGAAAUCUAUGGAGGAAAUCGUCAAGUGAUAAAAUAGUACUUGACUCAUCAAGCCUGACAUCAAGACAUUUAAGUUUGCAAAGCCAGUCUUCUGGAAAUAGGCCUAUGUGCUUUUCAUCAACACUCAAUUCUUCCAAAUUGGGGAACACCUGGGUGAUCAUCAAUCACGAAAAAAGCAAGAUGGAGUUAACACUUCUUUCUUACGAUUUCACAAAUUAAAGUAAAUACAAAGCAUUCCAUUUAAGAAGCUAGUAUUUCAUAUGCGGAGAUGGAGUUAUACAUAUGCGGAGAGAGUAUGAUUUUCAGCUGUAAAUACAAAGUAAAUACAAAGCAUUCCAUUUAAGUAAUGUGUAUUUUCUUCCAUUCUCUCUUCUUAACUCUUGUCCAGUAGAUAGAUUUUCAAAGUUUAUUAGAUUUGUGCAUAAUCUCUAUGAAAAAGACUUCAAUUAUUCUCAAAUUGCAUUUAAACUUUGAGAUUCUUUUAAUUGAUCCGUUUAUUUGGUUUGAAUUGAAAAUCUUACAAAUUUCUUUUUUAAAAGUUUAAUAAUAUAGUAAGAAGCUAGUAUUUCAUUAAUAUUCAUCCAACUCAAUGGAAUUGGAUAUAUUUACUAUUGUGCAAGAAUGGAUUUUAUUGUACAUAAAGUUUAAUAGAAUAUGAUUUCUUAAUUUGAGUUUUGUCCAUCUUUCUAUAUAUAUUUCAAAAAUAUUAUUUAUGUUAGCACAAGAUGACCAAUUUCUACUUCAACAUCAAAAUUGAUAAUCAUUUUGUAUGUAACAAUACUGUACUAAGGAGUACUAAUUUGGAAAUAGCUCUUGAACGAUUUUCAGGGAAUUAACUAUGGCUUGAAAAACUCUAAAUCUUAUGAGUAUUUUCUUUGUUUGGCUAAUCAAAUGCACUGUCUCUUCCGUGUAUUUAACUAAACAUAUAGACAUAAAAUAAAAAGUAGAAGAAGAAGAAAAACUCUGAUAAUUAAGAGAAAAAAAAUUGAACUAACAUUAUUGAAGAGUGAUAAUUAUGUUUAUUGAAGAUUUAUUGAAUUCAAUAUUCGAUAAUGAGAAGAUUUAUUGAAGAGUGAUAAUUAUGUUUAUACGGUAUUAUAAAGUAUAAAUAAAGUGAUUUAUAGAACUAACAUUUUCUUACUAAAAGACAAAGUGAUGAGGGCAAUGACGAAAAGAAAACUCUAAACUCUCAAAGUAGAAAUGCUUUUAAGUACGUAAGAAUUGAACAAUAAUUACAAAAAUCUUGCACGUGUACCUUUUCAAAAUGCAGAUCACGACGCUGAUUUAUUCCUGUUAUCACUACCUUCAUUCCAUUUUCAAACUCGUCAGGUGGAUCUUUCCAAAAAUCAUCGUUUUCUUUUAUAACAAGAACUUUGAUGGCGUGAAAUCUGUGGAGGAAAUCGUCAAGUGAUACAAUAGCAGUUGACUCAUCAAGUCGGACAUGAAGACAUUUAAGUUUGCAAAGCAAGUCUUCUGGAAAUAGACCUAUGUGCUUUUCAUCAACAAUCAAAUCUUCCAAAUUGGGGAUGGCCUGGGUGAUCACCAAUCACAAAAAAAGCAAGAUGGAGUUAGAUCUUCUUUCUAACAAUUUCACAUAUUAAAGUAAAUAAAGCAUUCUAAUGAUGAAUAAUAUUGAUGGCCAGACAAUAUAUAUAUACAUACAUACAUACAUACAUACAUACAUACAUACAUACAUAUAUAUAUAUUGUUCUCAAUUAUUCUCAAUUUACAUUUAAACUUCCAGAUUCUUUUAAUCCAUCGGUUUAUUUGGUUUGAAUUGAAAAUCAUACAAAUUUAUUUUUUUAAAAAUUGGAUAUUUUAACCUUUUUUUUUUUAACAAAAGCAAAAAGAAUAAACAGCUUGAAUUGCUAGCACAUAUGAAAAGAAGGAAAAUUUGCACAAAUUUAAAAAAAUUAAUAAUAUAGUACGAAGCUGGUAUUACAUUAAUAUUCAUCCAACCCAAGGGAAUUGGAUAUAGUUUACUAUUGUACAAGAAUGGGUUUUAUUGUAAAUAAAGUUUAAUAGGAUAAAAUCUCUUCAUUUGAGUUUUGUCCAUCUCUCUACAUAUAUUUUUAAGCAUAAUAUAUAUGUUAACAUGAGAUGAACAUUGAUCAUCAUUUUGCAUGUAUGUGGCUUGAAAAUGGCACUCAGAAAUACUUUUGAUGUACUGUGGCUUGAAAAACUCUAGAUCAUAUGAUCAUUUUCUUUGUUUGGCUAAUCAAAUGCACUGUCUCUUUCGUGUAUUAACUGAACAUAUAGGCAUAAAAUAAAAAGAAAAAAAGUAGACGAAGAAGAAAAUCUCUUGAAGAGUGAUAAUUAUGUUUAUUGAAGAUUUAUUGAAUUCAAUAUUCGAUAAUGAGAAGAAUUAUUGAAGAAUGAUAAUUAUGUUUAUAAGGAUAUUAUAAAAUAUAAAUAGACUGAUUUAUUUAACUAACAUUUUGUCACUAAAAGAUAAAGUGAUGAGGGCAAUGACGACAAUAAAACUCUGAAUUCUCAAAGUAGAAAUACUUUUCAGUACGUAAGAAUUGAAAAAUAAUUAAAAAAAUCUUGCACGCGUACCUUUUCAAAAUGCAGAUCACCUGUGCAGAAGCUUGUAAGCUGCGGAAGAGAACGAAGCUCAAGUGUCCUCAAUUGAGUGAGUUCAAUCACUUCAGUACCGUUAUUAUUGCUGGAUUCAUCUCCUCUCUCGGCAGCAAAAAUCACUUCCAUAUUUUGGCAACUACUCACUUUAAUGGACUGAAGUUGUUGAAGGCCUCUGCCAAUGACCAAUGGAAAUACAUUUUUCAAUUUAUCACACCCUUCCACCUCUAUGGUCUUUAAUUUGCAAAAGGACUCUGCUGUGAGUGGACCACGACAUAUUUCCUCAAGGUUCCUUAAAUCUCUCAGAAAUAAUGACCCCAAAAGGGGGAAUGCAGUCGUCCGAGCUGGCGUACAAUCCAUUGAGUCAACAAGACAAGAAAGGUUGCCAUUACGUCGGAUUUGGAGACCCUUCAGUUUUGGAAAGACUUCUCUGCCUAGUUCGCAAAGAA